rnacentral:lncRNA from 1 species
CUCUACAACAAAAAGUUUUAAGUAAACAAUCCUAAUGCCUGCAGACAAAUAAAACGCAGUAAGAAUAUUCAACUUAAAAAUCUGAAAGCCAUCAUGGUGAAUUGCCUUCUUAGGUGAAGUUCCAUGCUUUACUACUCUUGACAGAAAUGAGCAAAAGCUUCCAUACAACAGAUUUUGAAAAUGAUGAUGCCAAUAGAUACUCAUUCAAUCCAUUGAAACUCCUAAGGUUCAUUGUUCAUAGAGGUUUACAGAGUUUUGGUCAUCAAAUAGCUCAGACCAUAAUCCCAAACAAAAAACGAGUGAAAAUUAGAUCACGAGCAGCUAAUUGUAAAUUUUAACUUAACUCUUCAUCUCCUUUGUAAACAGGAAACAAAAUGGAGAUGCGCAAAAUGAAUAAGGAGAACAUUUGAACUCAAAUGAAAUGAGGGCACGAAAGCAAACAAAUGGCAUACACAACCAAACAAAGCCUCAAUCAAAAACUAAUCAACGAUUAAAAGAAAUAAAAAUUGGUCAGAGAAUGAACUCCAAAUUCGGGAGUGAAGCAAGAAGUUUUCAUUAUUUCAGAAGCUCCUGUACAAAUUAAUCAGUUAUGCUCUUUCGAAACAAACCUAAAUUCCAAGAGAAACAGAACCCAAAAAAUUUGCAAUUAUACGCAAAGGAAGUGAAGCACAGCAUUCUAUUACACAUAGGAAUUGUAUAACAAGAGAUUGAUAUAUCGGAUUAGAAGAACUCAAUUCUAAUUUGUGUCAAAAAUCAAAAUUAGAAGAUUUCACAUUUCGAGAGGAACAAGCAACAGGUGAGGUUAUAAAUUUCAGCCAUAACUAGCUAAAAAUGCUAAACUUAACGGGUUAUUUUCGUGGAUUUUCUCGGGAAACAAACAGAAAAUUACGGUUUAGAGAGCUGACUAACCUUUUGGCUUUCAGAAAUUAGAAUUGAGAGGAUCGCGCGCCAAAGUGGAAGAGGGGAAGAAAAAGUGCGGGUUUUAAUAGGGUAUUAGAAAAGGAAAUUUCAUUAGUUUGCGAGGGUAAAAUAGGAAAGACGAUCACUAUUUUAUCAUUGAUAAUUAUUAACCGAUUUUUUUUCAAAGAAAAAAGAAUAAUCAAGGAUAUUUUAUUCUCAUUUGCAACCUUUAUUUCUUUUAAAUGCUAUUAGAAAAACAGGACAACAAGGAAAUACAUUUUUUUAAUAUUUUUCCUGAAGGCAAAAUCAAUUGUUUAGCUUCUUAUUUUAUAAUUAAACUCCAUAAUUUAGUUUAAAAAAAAGUGUUUGAAAAUUACUCUGAAUAAUAUCCAACAGACCAACAAAGUAAUCGUUUUUAUUUUUUUUCAUUUUUACCGGAAAUUUAAAACUUAAAAAUAUUGAAAGCUAUUGUAAAUUUUUUUAUUAUCAACCUCAUAAUUUAAUUUUUUUGGGGGAGGGCAGUGGGGGUGGUGGGAAUUGAAACUUUUUUUUUAAUUUCCAAGAAUUCCACCCUCUAGUUUUUCCAUUAGUAUUACUUAUCUUGAUACCCAUCUUAACUGAAUGCUAUAAUUUUUUUUUUCAAGAGUGCUAUACAUUCACUCACAGACAAAAGGCUUUUCCGCAGCAAUAUUAUUGUUUAAACUAUAACAAAGGGGAAAUCAAACACAUAAUACGGAAACUUAAGGCUCAAUCUACAAAAUCUAGAGCUCUGAACUACAUAAAUUACACUUGAUGAUCCUCUACAAGAUGAAGCUUGUUCAAUAUCUCAUCCAAAGCUUGUAAAGUAACCUUGUAACGAUCUUGAGAUCGCCUGCCUUCCUCGACGACCUGCACGAUGCGUUUAUACAAAUCAUCAUACCUGUGCGCCGGAUUUUUAAUAUCAAUGCCACUGCAGCUGUGAUCAAGAACAUAAGAACGUUUAACAUCUUUUCUCCAUCGAGAAAGAAUGUAGUGAGAUGGGAUCUCCUGCAUGCCACUCUGGUUUAGAACACAAAGAAUGUGUCUGCAUAAAUAUCCUCUGCAAUUGAACAACCCACAAACACAAAGCACCUCUAAGUCGGAGGCAUUGUACAAAACAUCGAAAGCCCUUGAAUCUUUCUCGUUGCUACCAACCUCGAAUUCUUCCUUCACUAUGUAUGUUAUAGGUCCAUCAGCACUAACAUGUUUUGUGCUAUAGCAAGAGUACAUAGCCUCCACCUCCGUCUGAAACUUCCUUAACAUUUCAUUUGUGUACAGUUUUGAGAGUUGAAAUUCAUAGUAACAUCUUGGUUUCUGGAUACAACUUGAAUUUCUUGAAUCCAUAUCUGCCAAGGCUUCCAGUUGAUAAUUCGCCCGCAGUGCUUGAUCAUACUUGUCUAAGAAUUCUUUCAAAGGAGUAUUCUUAUCAAGAUAUCCUUCAAAGUAUGAAGUAGAAACCUCAUUCUGCAGGAACGAAAACACUCCUGAUAAAUAAGCUUCCUUCAAAUAAACAGGAGCCCACCUUUUACGAUCUUCAUAUAAAGUUUGAAUCCAUCCGUGAUCCUUUAUUCCAUGACGUUGAAUCAUGUCUUCCCAAGCUGCUUCAAAUUCCUCAGGCCUGAGAGAGUGAUAAAUUGCUCUAUGUAAUGCAGCUCUAAUAGCUUCAUAUUCAAACAAUCCUUGGAGUUUCUCUGGAAUUUUUUGCAUGAUGCAUGACAAUGAAAAGCAAUGAUAAGCUCUUGGGAAAACAUCGCCAACAACAAUUUGCAAGAUUCUACAUUGGUCAGUGAUGAUUGUUUGUGGAGAGUGUCCUAACAUACAUGUAAGCCACGCCCUAAACAACCAUGUAUAUGAUUCUAUGGUCUCACUGGCAAGUAAACCACAACCCAACAACACUGAUUGUCCAUGAUGAUUCACCCCAAUGAAUGAAACCAGUGGUACAUCAUAUCUUUCAGUCAAGCACGUAGUAUCAAUUAAGACUACAUCACCAAAGUACCUAUAUGCAACUCUUGACCUGGUAUCAGUCCAGAACAGGUUUCUCAAGCAUCCCUUUUCAUUUAGAUCCACUACAUUAAAAAAGUUUGGAUCUGUCAACUGCAAACGACAAAAGAAACUCUGGACAGCUUGUGCAUCUCCUGGUUUAAGCUUCAAUUGAUUUGAGCUAUUAACAUUAUUUCCAAAUACUCCAUUAACGUCUACAUUACCAUUUCCCUCGGUAUCGAUGAUAAGAGUUCGAAACAGUCUAAUUUUUUGAACUUCUUCAGCACUAUCUAAUUGCAAUGUUCUUUUGGUUCCAAUACCUAUGUGCUUAUGUGACUUGUAAAACUUUCCGCUUCUUGGGCUUAACAAGUGGUUAUGCUCAAGCUCGACUUCAAUGAUUCUCCACCUUUUGGUUUCCAUCAACCUAAACUUUAUCAUUGCUGGACAGCCAGUUCUUGUUUCUGGUCUUGGGCGGUUUGCCUCGCUUUUCUUCUUGAAGCCUGCACUACUACAGCUCAGCUUUCCUCUAUACUUUUCUCUACUCUUUCGGUACCAUGUAUUGCUAACUCUAACACCAAAACCCUGUUCCUUGGCAUAGCAAUUGUAAAAGUAAUAAACGUCAUCAUACGUCUCGAACUCCAUUCCAACAGCAGGAGGCAAUGGAUUUUGGAUUAUCCCAAUUUGUCCAACAUAUUCAGUCAUUGCACAAUCUCCUACGACCUCAAAAUCAUCAGCAUCAUCAUCACCUACUGGUUCAGUAUUCAGAGAAACUUCAUCCAUCUACAAUAGAUGUUUAAUGAAGUGAACUUUAAAGAGAAAUAGCAAAAUCAGUUCAAGGAAUGAUAAUAUAACCAUACAGUUACUUUCACAAAGCUGCGUAUUUCAUCAAUACCUUAACAACAUACAACUGCCUGAGAACAUAUAGACAUGUCAUAGACGCUUGAAUUAAGUAUUGGUACAAAUUAGCACACAUCAUGUGGGACACAAUUUCAGUCACUAAACCCAAUGCCUUUUUUUUUCACAUCAUACCAAGGAACGGAUUAAACCCAAUACCUUCUUUUACGCCAUACCAAAGAACAGAUUAAAUCAUCAAUGAAAAAUUAAUCACAUAAUAAUUUAACUAGACAAAUAAAGAGCUCGAAACAGCACAAAACUUGAAUAUGAUUAUGAUAAUUGUUGAGUCCUUGUAUCUACAGCUUUCCUUCAACAAGAAGAUUAUGAACAUAAACUACACACAAAAAAUUUAUUUUAAACUGACAUAAAUUUAUUCAGUUACAUUGAAACACAAAAAAGGAAGCAGGAGCCAGAGAAAAACAACAGCAGAGAAACUUAUUUCCAGAAGGUUUACGAAAUAAGGAAUUUAUUAAGACACAAAAUUUGAGGUCAACAAUAAGAAUUUGGUUCUCAUUCUCUUUUUCUUCAUUUUUCACUUAUUGAUGGAGUUAGCGUACAAUCCUAAAUGAUAAAACCCCAUCUCCAUCUUUUUGAACUAGAGUUAAAGCAAAGCUUUUUAAGAUGUUUUUCCCUAAAAGACUCAAUAGUACAAUGUUUUUCAAUAUUAAAUACACAACUCAAUCUUCCCCUAAUUUACUCUAAUAAUCUCUUAACUAAGGAAGAUUAAGCUCCACUUGUAAGCUAAAACAAGUUUCUUAAAUCAAGCCCCAAUGCUCUAUGCUAUUCAACAAGGCCUCAUAAAUGAUAAAACUACCUCUACAAAGAUACCCAUUUUAAUUUCGCAAACUAAAAUCAAACUCCUGAAACGUAACGAGCAUUAAAACAAACAAGUCCGAACAAGAACUCAAAAAUGAUACGUAAACCCGUUUCGACAAACAGUUUCCAAUCAAUGAGCAAAAAAGUUAAUGGACAACAUGAAAUUCAAACGAAACAUACCUUAGGUUGAUAAAUUAGUAGCGCAAAAGAAAUUUUAGCGAGAUAUGGGAUCAGGGAUUUUGCCACGGUGAUGUUAAUUGCGACAUUCGGGUGACUCAGCAGCCUUCGAGGCUGAAACUUUGAUUGACCAAAAGCUUCCGGUUCGUUGAUUAUCUAAUUGCAGAAACGAAACUGGCAGUGUACAGAAGAAGUACGCUGAUUUGAUAAUUCUGUGAAAAUCAUUGUUUUUUUUUUCAGAUUUUUAAUGUGUUCGAUAAAAUAUCAAAAUCUCAAAAACUUUUGUCUUUCAUUUUGGGGGGGAAAAACCCAUUGAGAUCCUUAUGUUUUUUCUUAUAUAAUCUGGCUUAAUAAUUUGCAAAGUCUAUUACUUUGCACCCAUGCAUGCUGCGUUCCAAUUUACAAAAUUGUACGUGAGUGCAUCCAGCUAAAAUUUGUAAAAAGAAAAUAACAAUAACAUGUUAAAAAUGUGAUUAUUAUGAAGAAAUUUUAAUUUAGUUAAAUAGGUGACGAUGGAUAGGUAUAAAAUCUGAGAUCUUUUAUAAGAUUAAUAAAUAUGUUGAGUUUGGAUUAGUUCAAUUUUAAAAUAAUAAUAUUCAAAAUAUCUCUUAAAUCAUUAUAAACCUCAAAUCUAUUUUAAUUUUAUUUAAAAGAUAAAAGAAAAAUAGGUUAUGUUGGUGAUUUUUUAUUAUCUUUUUAAUAAAAAUGAAAUAAAUUGAUGUUUAUAAUUAUUUAAAGUAUUUUAAAGACUGUCAUUUUAUGAGAGAAAAAUAUUUCACUUUUUUUUAGUGUGAAAGACCGAAAAAGGACAAAGCAAGUUUCCCUAGUUUUUAUUUAUUUGAAAUUGGUCAUCUCAUAUACUUCACCCUUCAACACUAUAAUUUUUUUGGUUAUAAUUUUAUUAUUUUUUCUCUUUUACACAUGCAUGUGAAUUACUUUUCUUUAAGCUCCUGAAUAUUUAAGACAAAUCAUGGAAGAGAUGAGAGUAUAACAAGAUGAUCAAAAUAUGUAACAAAAAAAUUUUAUAAGUGAAAAAUAUGUUAGAGACUUACAGUGGAAGUAAAACUCUGAGGUGAUGUUUGAUUUGAAGAAAAUGGAGGAAAUGAAAAGACUGGAAUGUAGAGGAAAAGAGAGAAAAGGAGAGGAGAGGAGAGUGAAAUUUUUUUCUAAUGUUUGGUUUGUCACAUAAUUAUACAAAGAAAGGAAAUCUCUAAUUUUUUAUUUAGACAAUUUUAACCUUAAUAAGUAUUAAGUUUUCAAUAUUUAUCAUGUGUAUAAUUAAAAAAAAAAAAGUAAAUGGUAGAAAGCGGUUUCUGAUUCCGGCCACAUCGCCCGCAAUGGAAGGUACUUAUCAGAACAUCAAGAGCCAGCCAUCAUUCCCUAGCCAUCACUGCUGUCUGAACACUGCCGGAAAGCUGCCGAUUGAACCGCGAAAAGUCGUGGAAAUCGCUGCCUCAAAUCGGUGAGUUUCGCCCUUUUCUGGUCACGCCGUCGCCAUGGCUUUGUCCAUCAAGCCUGCCACUUCCAUUUUCAACCAUCCAUAGCCACUAUUAAUUGCCAAAUCACCGCCGAUCAGCGGGAUCUGUGGAAGUUAAAAAGUUUCUAAAUUUUUUUAACUGGAUUUGAACAACAUACGACCAUUUUUUUAUCUCGAUAACGACGUAGUAAUGUUGAUCGUUGGUCGGCAAGUCGAAUGGUAGUGGCAGUGAGUAACACGCGCCAAUCACAUCGGCGGCGGCAGCGGCACUAUCCGGCGACUGUUAAAAUUAAUAUUUUAUAUUUUCAGAUUAAAUAAAUUUAUUUUAUUAAACUUUUUAAAUCAUUAUUUAAAUUUAAUUAAUUUAAAAUUAUCUAUAAUGUUGAAUUGAUAAAAUAAAUUUAUAAAUAAUAAUUAUGUGAUUACAUUAAAUAAGUUAAAAAGUUGAAGGGUUAGUUUUGGAAGAUUUAGUUUCCAACGCAAAGGGAAUUUGAAUUCUUCACUUCUUAGUGUGGAAUUCAAAUUCUAUAUUGUAAUGGAUAUUAAAUUUCAAUAGAAAUUAAAUUCUUAUAAGUUAUGUCAAACCAAACAACGAAAAUAAAAAAGAAAUUUAAAUUAUUUUCCUUUCCUCCACCCUCUCCUUCCAACUAAAUACAUCAUGAAAAUAGAGAUAUUGAUUAAUUUAGAAGAGAUGUAAGCAAAAAAUAUUCAAAAAAAAAAAGCAAUAUGUCCCUUUGGAGGGCAAACUUGUCAGUUUCAAAAAAGUACAUGCUUUGGAUUGAUAGUUGUAGGAUAUUUGUUUUGUCACUAUGUAUUAGUUGGAGAAGUCCAGCCUUGUGGAGAAUGUUAUGAAAGAGCAAAGGAUAUUCCUGAUAGCUGAUAGAGCUCUAUCUGAUUAUGUAUCCAGUGAAUGGAUGUGUUGUUGGAAGAUAUCUGAGUGCAUUAGUUCAUAUGUGUCUGUCAAUGUGCUUUUAAUGAUUUUUCCACCUGUUUGUUGUAAAAGAUUAUUGUAAAUUGAAAUGAACUUGAUGUUUUAAUAUUUUCUUCCGUAAAUUGAAAUGAACUUGAAUUAAAUCUCGUUGAAUUUAAUAUUAUCUCCUUAGUGGAAUUUCACCUAGUAUGUAUUCAGUUGUGUUGUCUAUAAUUUUGCAUUCGAGUAAGUUUCACCUAAAACAUUAGCAUGAGUAGUGGCCCUUGAACCUUUGGUCAAAAUUAUUGUUAUUAUUUCUGACUAGAUGUAAAUUUUGUAUUAAAUCUCGUUAACACAAUUCUUAAUUAAAAGUAUAGGUUAGUGUUGGUGCAAGAUUUGCCACACCAAAUUCUGCCUAGCUGUCAAAAGUGCAAAAUAAAUGAAGAGAAAGCACAAAUACACGACUUGAAUAAGGAUACAACGAAACUUAAAUUCAAGAGAAAAUGAUAGCUAUAUCCCAAGAUUUGAAAAAGUGGUCAUGUAGAUUUUUAAGAUUUCAAUAAGCGACUGAGAUUCAAAUAAUAUCCUUUAAUUCUAUUAACAAAAAACAAAGACUCAAAUAUUUUAUGAUAAAUAAAAAUAUAAUAUUAAAAUAUAUGUGAUAAUAUACACAUUUUAAAUACUUUCAAUCCAAAAAAAUAGUUAUGUUUUACAAUCUAUUAGACAUAUUUUAUUAAAUUAAUAUAAAUUUUCUAUAAAAUAAGAAUAUAAUAUUAAAACAAAUUCACAGAAAUUUAAAGAAUUUUGAAUGUAAAAUAAUUUUAAUAUAUUAAUACGUGAGUUUUUUUAUUAAUAUAAAAAUUAUUUAACUUUAAGAUUUUUUAAAAUCUUUACAAUAAGUAUAAAUAUAUUAUUUACAUUUAAAAAUAUUUAAAUAUUAUUAACCUACAAUUAUAUUUGCAUUUGUUAGAAAUUUUUAAAGUCAAAUAUUUUGCACUUCUAUAUUAUUAGAAUUAUUGCACACAAAGAAAGAAACAUAUACGUUUAGAAAUUGUUUUCUUUUAAAAUAGAGAUGAUGAUUAGUAUAAGGAUGAAAAAAAGGAUAAAGAAUAUUAAUGAUUAACGAAAACUCUAUACAAAUUGAUUUUAGUAGGAAAAGAGUGAGAUGAAUGAUUUCUUUUACAGUUAGAAACAUAGAUGAUGAUUAUUAUAACGAAGAAGAAAAGAUAAAGAAUAUUAAUUAUUAAUGGAAUCUCUAUGCAAAUUGAUUUCAGUAGGAAAAAAAAUGAGUUAAAUGAUUUAGAGUGCGUUUGGAAUUGAGAUUGGACAGGCAUAGAUUUUAAGUUACAACACUGAAGUGUUUGGUAAAUACUUUCAGUGUUUGGUAAAUACUAGCUGCUGCAGAUUGAAAGUUAUGUUGAUAUGAUUUUUCACAUGUAUCAUAGAAAAUAUAUUACAUCUUUAAUAAUUUUUUUAAAAUUUGUAUUUGCUAUAUAUUGUUUUUUUUAUAUAGUUAUAACUUUUUUUUUUCCACAGCAGCUGUAGCUUAAAAGCUACAGCACCUCAAUCUCAAACAAGUCCUUAGACAUUCAUAGUGUGUUUAUUUUUUGGAUUGGUGAAUCAAAAUUAUUGACAACGCUAACUUCAUCUUCACCGUUCGCAAUCCAACAGCAGCAAUUGUCGCCAAUAAUGAUAUCGCCGAUGAUGAUGACAAUAAUAAUAAUAAUAAUAAUAAUAAUAAUAAUAAUAAUAAUAAUAAUUAUUAUUAUUAUUAUUAUUAUUAUUAUUAUUAAUUAAUUAAUUAAUUAAUAUAUUAAUAUAUUAAUGUUAAUAUUAUUAUUAUUAACAUUAACAAUAAUUAUUAGUAAUACAAUUUUUUGAAUAAAAAUAAUCACAAUAAUUAAAAUACAAAUUAACAAUUAUGACAAUAGUUAAUUAAUGUCUUUUUAGUAAUUUGUAAUAAUCUAACUCAUUUUAAUUCUGAUUAUUACAGCUUAAGUAAAUAAAUUAUUAUGAUUCCUAUUCUCCUUUUCUAUUUUAACUCACUUCGAUUCCAGUCUAUUCUGAUUUUUGUUUAAUAAACGCACCAUUAGUGCUAAAGUAAUAUUUCAUACAUAGAAAAGUAAAAACUACACCUAAGGUUAAGGGAAAGGACUUCAAAACUCUCUUUUGAUCAUAAUACAUUUUGUACUAAUUAACUUAAAGAUUUUGAAUCUAAUAUUUUAUAAUAAAUAAAAAUAUAUUCCUAAAAUAAAUAUAAUAUCAAUAUUUAAAAUAUGUUUUAAUAUUUUACACAUUUUAUUAUAUUAAAGUAGAUUUUAUAAUAAAUACAAACGUCCUAUUAAAAUGAAUAUAUAAAAAAUUUAGAAAAUUUAGAAUAUUAUAUAAAAUAAUUUUAAUAUAAUGCGUGAGAUAUAUUUUAUUAAUUUAAAAUGUUAUUUUACCUAAAAAAUAUGAUAAAUUAAUAAUUACAUAUUUGAAGUUAUUUCAAAUAUUAAAAAAAUUUAAUAUUAUUAGUCUUUUAGAUAGAUUAAAUUAUUUUUUUUAUAAGAGAUAGAUUAAAUUAUUUUAAAAUGCCUUAAUUAUUUUUACUUUUAACGUUACCGGCCUUUCUUUUAUUUUAUUGCAAAUUAAUGCUAACAAGAAAAAGCUAGAUCAUAUUCCACAAAAGCAAAAGUGACAAACACAACCAGCUGGAAUCUUUUAUAAAACUACAAAUUAAAAUGGAUUUUUUUUUUUGAUAAAUUACACAUGAAAGUGGAUUCUUUUGAAUAUAAGUGGGGUAGGCUCUUUUAUUUUAUUUUUGAAUAUUGUAUAACGGGACUGUAGACUCUUUUAUUAAACUACAAAUUGUAUAGUCUUUUUAAAAUUGUUAUAAAUUAAUGGCCCCCACAAUCCUCAACAAUUGUACCGAUAUUCACAAGUUGGUGGCCCCUACAAUUCUGUUCCGAUAAUUUAACUGUGCAAGUGCUCAUUCACAAUCUUCCAGGUCAUGCUCUCAAUAAUUGUUUUUUUUUUCCUGCAUUCCCUUUGGGAAAUUUACGAAAAUAAUCAUUAAUAUUUUAUUAUUUUUACAAUUAACCGUCUUAAUUUUUUUCUAUCAACAUUAGCCAAACACAAGCCUUUCUUUCCAAAUUACCCUUCUUUACAGAACAAAACCAACAUUGUUUCUCCCAUAUCGCCAAACCAAAAGCAGCUUUUUAUUCUUAAAUCAUCAGCCAACGGCGACCGCAAAAGACAACGGUAAAAGUGAUAUUCGAUCAUAAUCUAUCUGGAUCCAACACAAAUCUACAUCACUCAGUGGUAUGAAUUAUUUUUUGAACUUACUGAACUCAGUCGGGUGAAUCUGAGUCUGGCGACAGGCUGCCUGUCGCAGUAAAACUUGGUGCGACAGGCAACCUGUCGUACCAAACCUUGGUGCGACAUGCACCCUUGGAGAUUUAUUAAAAAUGUAUUAUUUUAAAUUUUAAUAGGACUCAAAUAAUUUUUUUUUUAUAAUUUCAGGCUUAAUGGAUUCAGUUGUACUUGAAUUGUGUUACGAUGGUUGGUGGGAGACAUUAGAGAAUGGCUGUAUGGAGUACGUGAAUGGUAAAAAUCGAGCUUUUUUGGUUGGAAAAAAUUACUUGUUUGAUCAGUUAUUGGCAAGAGUAUACGAGGUGUUAAAAAUAAACCCUAAUGACUAUAGUAUCACAAUGAAGACAACUUUGAGGUCUAGUAACACAUUAUAUCGUAUAUGUGCAAUGCCCAUGGAUAUAUGUGAUGAUGAAAUGGUGAGGGUUGUGUUGCAUAUGGCAUCUGACGUAGCUAAUUUUGGAUGCAUUCCUAUAUUCGUGACCACAUCACCUCGACUUCCGAGCGAAGGUAUUGAGCCACAUGUCGAUAUAGAAACUUCGUUUAGAGCAAAUAUGUCUGGCCCCGAUAAUGAUGAAGAGGUGUUGCCAAGGACAAUAUCGCUGCAGCAAUAUUACUCUCCAAUCCACGACAAUUAUGAUAACAUUGAUGAUAAUAGCGUUACGUUACAUGAUGUUGGAGCAACGGUAUUUCCAAUAACAACGUCGUUGGAGCAACGGUAUUCUCCGUAUCACAACAAUGAUUUUCGGGACAAUGAUGAUUUUCAUAAUGAGACAGAGGAGGAUAAUGUUUGUGCAGAACCUUCUAAUAAUACGAGGCGGGGCACUCGUUUCAAUAAUGAUGGUGAUGAUGGAGGAGUUGGUCAUUCGAAUGUUCCGUCGUUUCAGCAUGAGGAUGAGUGUGAAGACAAUACUCCUGUGAAUAACAGAGGCAAUAGACCUAUUCCUUCUAUGGUUCGAUCGAGAAGGAGAAUUGACCCCCUUACAAGUCUUGCUCCAACUUUACCUUCGAACAUGGUUGCUCCAAGCUUUGUUAGCAGUUGUGACUCAGAUGAUAUCAGCGUGGGUAAGCUAUUUGCUGAGAAGAAUGAGCUUAUAUUACAACUACGCAAGGUGGCCUUUAGAGAUAAGUUUGAUUUCAAGAUUGCACGGUCUACUACGACACGUUUCGAGGCUCACUGUUGUUCAGAAUCAUGUAAAUGGCGUAUUCGAGCAACUAGAAGUUCGAACGAGCAAAAUGUUCCUUGGGUGGUGAAGAGAAUUGAUAAUGUACACACUUGUCAUAAUGAGGUAUUGGUUGAUGGACGUCAUCAAGUAAGGAGCCGGGUUGUCGGUCAUAUUAUCGCAGAAAAAUAUAUUCAAGAUAAGAGGAUUUAUACUCCCAAUGACAUAAGAGCAGAUAUGCAACAGGAAUACGGUGUUCAGUUAACAUACCAGCAUGCAUAUAGGGCGAGAGAAGUUGGUCUUGAAAUAGUUCACGGCAACCCUGCAGAGUCAUACAACUUGCUCCCUAAAUACUCUCACGUACUAACUACAACGAAUGAGGGUACAGUCACUCACCUCGAGCAGGAUGGAGAUGGUAAUUUCUUGUACUAUUUUGUAGCACUCGGAUAUUUCAUCAAGGGGUUUAUGCAGUACAUUCGGCCUGUCAUUGCUGUAGAUGGUACUCAUCUAAAGGGAUUAUAUCGUGGAAGCAUGUUCGUGGCAACAUGUCUUGAUGGUAACAAUCAAUUGUAUCCGUUAGCCAUUGGGAUCAUGGAUUCAGAAAAUAAUGAUGCUUGGGAAUGGUUUAUGAUGAAGUUACACGGAGUGAUUGGUGAUAGACCUGAGUUGGUAAUUAUCUCUGAUCGAUGCACUGCCAUAAGGAGAGCCGUUCUUGAAGUAUUUCACAAUGCAACUCAUGGCGUUUGUUUUUACCACGUCAAAGGUAACAUUAAGUCACAAUUUAGAAUGUCCAAAGCUCUUUGGGAUGAAUUUGAGCAUGCCUUUAUUAAUGCAGCAAAAGCAUAUGACCAUGAGGAAUUUAAGAGACAACUUGAAGGGUUGUGGAUGAUCCACUUGGGUGCGGCUGAUUACCUAGAAAAUAAUGUCGGCACGUGUAAUUGGGCAAGGUCUCAGUUUCAAGGUAGGAGGUACAACAUUCUUACCACCAACAUCGCGGAGAGUGUUAAUGCUUUCAUGAGGGAACCUCGAAAAUUUCCUGUUACUCAUCUUGUUGAUCACUUCAGGAAAACAUUAUAGCAAUUGUUUUAUGAUAGAAAAAUUGUGGCUGAAUCAAUGACUACUCGGCUAACAACAUGGGCGGAUGAAAUAGUCACUGAGAGGAGAACUAUAGCUGAAAGAAUGAUAGUUCGGCCGGUGUCUCCACAUCGCUUUCAAGUUAUAGGCGGUGGGCUUAAGGAAGGGUUGGUUGACUUGCAAAAGAGAACUUGCUCCUGCAGAGUGUUUCAGCUUGAUCAGCUUGUGUGUGCUCAUGCAAUUGCGGCGUGUCUAACACACCGGGUGGAUUUUAUUAACCUUUGCUCGGACUUUUACACUACAGAAUCGUUGGCGAUGGCUUAUGCACAACCAGUGGAGCCAGUUGGUGAUGUGGCUGAUUGGGAAGUUCCAGAUGAAAUUCAGGAGAUGCAGGUAUACCCACCAGUUGAGGCACCACCACCUGGCCGUCGUAAAGAGCUCAGAAUACCCUCGGCUGGCGAGGACGUUGACCGGCGGACUGUAAGAUGCGGCCGGUGUCAUGAACUAGGCCAUAAUCGUAAGCGAUGUAAGAAUCCUAUUGCGUCGACUCGAAGUUAGUUGUAUUUUGUGUGUUAUUCGUUGGUUAAAACUAUUAUUGUUUUUGUGUUACAUUGGUUAAAACUGUUAUUGUUUUUUGUAUUUCGUUGGUUAAAACUGUUAUUGUUUUUUGUGUAUUGUACACUUAUAUUCAUAAAACUUUAUUUUAUUUUAAAGUUCAAAAUGUGAGGCAUUAAAAUUAUAUAAACUUAAGUGCGGAAAUUAAAAAAAAUGCAAAUUUCAACAUUGAAAUUACUACAUAGGUCUACAAUAUAAUAUCGUCAUUAAAUAUAUCAACCGCAAUCUUCUUUCUAAAGUACUCGACAUGACUAGCGUUAAACUCCAAUCUAAGCCUGAACAUUAAAUACAUCGUAACCAUCAAUACAAAAACACUGCAAUCGCUAGUUCCGGGCUCUUGUUGUGGUGCGCUCUUAACUGCGAUAACUUUCCACGGGUCUUCACUCCGCAACUCAGGUCGGAUAUUGUAGAAGCCAACAUAUUCAAACCAUCGAGGGAAUAUAACUUCAAGUGGCUUGAAUUUCAACUUGUACUUUUUGUCGUCGCGAAAUGUGAGUAAUGAGUCAUAAAUCCAGACUUUAUUUUUCCGAAAGUCAACUCGUGCUAGUACCCAAUGUGCGCCGUCCAAGUUAACAGGGAUGAGUAACUGCAUAUAAAAAUUAAAAAAACAUGUUCGUUAUAUAUGAAAUUGAAAUACAACAAAGAAAAAGCAACAACUCGAAUAUUUUCAUUAUAGAGCAUGUGAAAUGUAAUAAAAUACACACCAUAUCGACAUCCGUCAUUAAUUUUGACAUUGUGUGCUGUCGCCCACAAAGAUAACUAUUCAAGCGGUCGUCGAAUACCGUUGAAUCAACUGCACAAUUCCUGUUAUUCCAUAACUGAUUCAAGAACACCUAGUACAUAGAUAACCAAGAAAUGCAUAAAUUAAUAAAACUUAAAGGCAAUAAUUAAACAAAUUAAAUAGUAUUUAUAAGUUUUGUCGGCACGUUACCCAAAAAAAUGUGUCAGUAUGUGUGACACGUUGGAGUAAGGCAUUUGGAUACUGCCGUUGUUUCUCGCUAAUCAAGCGGAGAUACUCGUGAAUAUGCUGUAGAGAAACAGAAAUAUUACGAUUUAAAAAAAAAUUUAUACACAAAUCCACAACAGUAUACACCACGAGGAAAAUAUAAAUACCUUAUCGCCUAGCCAUCCCAUCGAAGCUGUCCCCAAAAUUAUUUGAAAGAAUGACCGCGGGUGCUGGACUCUCCGGCGGACUCUGCUAUCACCAGUGAACCAUCGAUCAAACUCAGCAAACAAACUAGAGUCCUCCAAUCCUCUCAGUGGAUUUACAUCCACACUCGUACUCAUGUCAAUCGCAUGCUCCAUCAUUUGGGGUCGAGGUAACCUCCGGACGUUCUGUCCACGCCUGACCGGAGGAAUCAUGUAAGGACUGUUAUAAACAUACGACGGUAUGUACGCGCGGCCGAACUUACUAACGCCCGGAGGCACCUCUGUGAACACCUGCAUGCUCUCCCCACUAACAUCCCCGUAUAAACUAUACAAUGACGUGGGCGUAGACAAAUUUUCAUUGCCCACGUCAGUAUACACUCCAUAGUCAUCCGGGGCCUGUACAUUCGCCAAAAAGAACAUAUUAAAUAAUUAUCAAAUUAAAAGUUAAACGAACAUAAUUAUUUAAUUUAAAUUAGCUUACCGCAUACGAGCGUGCAGUGGGAGAAUCCUUAUUUGGAUGUUUAGAAAAUGUGUCGAUGAAGCCAACAACGGUUUCUUUAAAAUCUUUUAAUUCUGACUUUAUUUCAUACACGUUACGAUCAAUCUUAUCCAGCCGUCGUCGUACGUAAUCAUUAAACUGCUUUGUCCUCGACUAUUACAAAAGAAAAAAAUAAAACUUUAGAAUAACAAUAAAAAAAUAAUAAUUUAUAAAGGAAAAUAUCGUAUAUUAUUUAUAACCUCAUAAUCCCGUGCGUCAUCAGAGUUGUCUGUUUGCUGCUGGUGGUCAUCAACAGCCACCUCAUCCUCAAAAGUGUCAUGACGCUGCUCUGGUAUUGGGUUUAGUAUGUCGUCAUGAUCAUCAUGCUCGUCCGAUUGUCUUGUAACCGACGGCAUCGCGUUGAUUGAGGGUUGGUGCUGUAUAAAGUAUCAUUUAAAAUUACUAAAUGAAAAGUCAAAAAUUUCGAUAAAAUUUUUUUUAGUACUUACAGUAUACCGACCUUAUGAAUCCAGUCUGGAAUGCUUGGCAAGUAAUCCUUCACAGAGAGCCAAUAUUUUCUGCUACUCUCUUUUGAAUUUGGCUCAAGAGUUUGUAAAACGUCCGUCUGCCAUAAAUUCAAUUGAAAAUUUUAAGUAAGUAUACCCAACUUAAAUUUAGUAAAGUUAAAAAAUAAGUAAUACAUAUUACUUAUAAGACGAGAUUCGUCGUUGAAGAACGAAUAAACCUCUGCAAAGUUGAUUCUCGAAGACGCCAUGGGCUUCCAUUGCAGAAUGCGGGGAAUCUUACUCUUCGUUUUGACGACCCAUGUUGAUGGCAACCCUCCGAUUGCUUCGUAAAUCCAAGCCUACAACAAACCAAAGUGAAAAAUCAAAUAAAACAACUAUCAAAUAUUUAAUACUAUAAAACUUAUUAAUAAACAAAAAAAAGCACCUGCACCCCAGACGUAAAGCCGUAAAGAUUGUAUUUUUCAAUAUUAUGAUCUGGAUUUUUCAACCGAGUCUUCUUAAAUUUCUCGUCUUUCUCGAACAGUGCAUUGUCAAGACUCUCGUAAAUCAUUUCCCACGACAAUAGACCCCAUGGCGCUUUCGGAAGUACUGUAUAUCAUCAACUUGGUCAAGCCAAUCGAAAUUAAUUUGACAGUGAUUUUUUCUUGCAUUUAGUACUUUGUCCGCAAAAUAAAACAGCGCAAUCUUUAAUGCGUCCAUAUCGUCCAUUUCCUCGAAAUUCAACUCCUUAAAUACUGCAUCAAAUUGCUUCACAUUAAUCUUACGAUGCACACCACCAAAAUACGUAUUCCGUAGCCUCUGCUCCAUUUCAUCAUUUUUUUCAUUGGUAUCAACACCAAAUGAAAGUCCAGUAACCAAGCACCAUUCGAUAAUUGACAAGCGAAUCAAAUGCUUACCAAUUUGAAACCAUAACUGAUCCUCACAGCUAUCUUCUUCAUGGGCCACUUGCCGCAGUAAACGAUUGUGCAAAAUUACCCCACUAAAUGGAAAACUUCGGCACUCCAAGAAAUGCCCAAAUAUAUCCUUUUUGAACAUACUCAACUGCCGCUUUGUUAAUUUUUCCUCGAUGGCUUUUACGACCGAAGAUAACAUACACAUGCUCGAAAUUCGACCAGGAAAGUGAUCAGCAUAACGAAAAUACAUCUUGCCUACUUCAAUAUCCGGUGAUUCUGAUUUCGCCAUGUAUCUGUAAUAUUUAUAAAAUUAUUACAUUACAUUUACAGAAAUAAAAAAUUGACUCGUUAAAAAAAAAAACUCUAAUUUUUUGGUGCGACAGGCGCCUGUCGCUCCAAAAAACUGCCUGUCGCACCACAGCUGGUGCUCCAAAAUCGAAAACAAUACUCCCAAACACCACCAACUACCACAAACAUCAUCACCACCACUAUUAAUCUCAAGCUAUAACUAUUAUUAUUCUAAAAUCUCAUUUUAAAUUAAUGAAAAUAAGAAAAAUGACUAACCUAGGUUUUGUUGAAGGUUGUAGAUCGUAGAUCGGAUGCCGGUGAGAGAUGGAGCCGCCGCCGACGAGGGUUGAUGUCGCCGCCGAUGAUGGGAGUUGGAUCGGUUUGGGAGAGAUGAGUGAAAAAGGGAGUGUUGGGGAAGAGAUGAGGGAGGGGUAUUUUGGUCUCAAAUGUUGUUUUAUGGCUAAUGUUGAUAGAAAUAUUUUUGGGGGGUUAAGAUGAAAAAAAGCAAAUUUGUUUUGGUUAUUACUGUAAAUUUCCCAUUCCCUUUCAUGCUCUUAAUAAUUGAAGAGCAUACUUUUCAUUUUCAAAUGUGGAGCCGCAUCUAAUGUCGCUAAUUUAAUUUGGGAUUAAAUUAGGGGACCAUUAUAUUGCAGUGUGUACUAAUUUUUGUGUUUAUCUAAACUCCUUAAGUUUAAGACAUAUUAUGGCAUAAAUAAGAAUAUAACAAUAACAAAAGAGAUGCCGGAGCAGAUCAGCAGGGUUUGAAUAUGACCUUUGGCGGUUGCUUUUUUUUUGUGAUUUUUUUCAUUUUUUCCUUCCUGUCAUUUUAUCAUUUAUUUGGCUCUGUUUCUAUUGCGGGUGUUACUGCAUGCUUACUGUUGCUUGACAAAGUUUGCUAGCUUUUUGUUUGCAGUGCUGCUAUUCACCCCGAGUCAAGCUCCGAAAAUUUAUUAAACAACGCCGUUUCGAUAGUAACAAUUUUUUUCUUUUCCCUUUGUCUGUCUCUUUCAUCUGCUGUUUCUCUAUCACUUUUCAUUUUUUAUUUCCUUACUUCACAGCUGCCCCUAAAUUGUUAUUCUAGCAAUAUACUUUCUCAUCUUUGAAUUUUCAUCCUUGAGUACUCCCACAGCCGUAAUUUCAUCAUUAUAGACUUCACUUGGAAUGCUGUAUUUUUUCGAUUCUUAAGCUACUUCAAUUACAUCUUCCAGUAUAGGAUCCUCAUCUUCCUUUAUUUCUUCAUCUUAUGAGGUAACAAAUGGAUUUCACAACUCAUCUACUUUUAAGCAAUUACAUAUUAUACCUUGAAUGAUUCAACUGUUCCGACAGUUAAAGAUUUUAUGCUCAACCUGCAGUGCUACGAACAUUGUCCAUGAAAGAUGAGUUUCAGCAUAUAAAAUGAAAUAUAGAUGUUUAAUCUAAAAUAACCCUUCACUGCCAAGAAACCUAGGUCACAAAAUUCACAGAUAAUGAUAAAGAGCUAAAAAAUUUGAAAAACUCUACAGAUCACACAUCAAGCAAGAUAUCAUGUUUUUUUCCCUCAUUCGGUGGUGAUUGAUUCGCUUUUUGAUGAUGGAUAUGGUAUAAAAGUUUUGACCCAAUUUCAAGCAAACACAAAUAGAAACACAAACACAAUCGGGACUAGAGUUGUGGGCGAUUAUCUCAGGUGUACAAGUGAAACGGUGGUGGCUGUCGAUGGUGGUAGUGGGGUGGUUGGGUAUGCGUGAUGGCUAGAUUUUAGGACAAUAAUGGUUGGAGUUGACCUCGAUCAACGAAGGAAAGUGACAACAAUUUUGACAUCAAACGGUGCAUUUUUUAGCUUAGUAAAAUGGAGCCGUUUCGAAUUUGGGGUUUUAUCCGGGGUUUGACUCAGCGCAAGUAUCAUUUUCCUUUUGUUUAUUAAAUUUUUUAUGGUCACAAAGUAUUACUCGUUCUAUUUGAGAGUGAUGUGAAUCAAUUUUUCAAUUUUAUAUUUUGUGGUCAAUGUGAAUUUAAUUUCAUUUGUCUCCUGCAAUUAUGAAAAAAUUGCAGUCAUAAUAUGGAAAAGUACACCGGCAAAAACUUUGUAAAAGCUUCGGAGUGAUACGGGGAAUUUACUUACUACUGAGAGGACAAUUGGUGGCAAAGCUAUUCCAUUCAUUUUAUGUACAUCCAUCUAUUUAGUUAUUGAAGAUUAGUGGUCCAUUUAUAAAUUUCAGAUCGUCUCUCUCUCUCUCCCUCUUGAAGUAACAAUAUUUAAUAUAUCUAUUAACUUAUUAUAAAUUUUAAUUUACUCUCGAUUUAAAAUGGAGCAUGUCGAUAAAUUUUUUUUCUUCUUAAUAAAAUUGACGUAAGUUGUGUUUACGGUAGUUUGAAGUUUGAAAUAUUUUAAAGAUUAUUAUUCUAUAAGGGAGUAAUAUGAACUGAAAUUUACUUUUCAUGUGUGAAAUGAAAAAGGACGAAGCAAGUGUCCCUACUUUUAUUUUAUUUCAAGGAGGAGUCAUCUCACAUACUUUAGCUCUUAACAUUACAUUUUUUCUGGUUACAUUUUUAUUUAUUAUUUUUUUUAACACAUGCGUGUGGGGUGCUUUUCUGUAAGCUCCUUAAUAUAUAUUUAAGACAAAUCAUGGAAGAGAUGGGAUUAUAUCAAGAUGAUCAAAGCAUGUAAAGAAGAAAAAAGAAAAAAAAAUUAAGAAGUAAGACACUGAAAAUGGAGAAGAGAUGGAAGCAAAAGAUAUUCCAAAACAAAGCAAUCUAUCCCCUUUCGAGGGUAGACUUAUCAAGUUUAAAAAAGUACAUGCUUUGGAUUGGUAGUUGCAAUCAAGGGAAAAUAAAUAGGAUCCAAUGAAAUUUAAAUCUCGGAGAAAAUAAAUAAUCAUGCAGAUUUUCAAGAUUUUAAUAAGGGAUACUAAUAUCUUAUUUUGAUUAAUAACAUUCUUUCACUGUGUUAACUCAAAAAAAAUAUUAUAAUGCUUUACAAUAAAUACAAAUGUCCUAUUAAAUGAAUAUAUAAAAAAUUUAGAAUAUUUAGAAUAUUAUAUAAAAUAAUUUUAAUAUAAUGCGUGAGAUAUAUUUUAUUAAUUUAAAAUGUCAUUUUACCUAAAAAAUAUGAUAAAUUAAUAAUUACAUAUUUGAAGUUAUUUCAAAUAUUAAAAAAUUUUAAUAUUAUUAGUCUUUUAGAUAGAUUAAAUUAUUUUUUUAUAAGAAAGAGAUUAAAUUAUUUUAAAAUGCCUUAAUUGUUUUUACUUUUAAUGUUACCGGCCUUUCUUUUAUUUUAUUACAAAUUAAUGCUAACAAGAAAAAGCUAGAGCAUAUUCCACCAAAGCAAAAGUGACAAACACAACCAUUGUAUAACGGGACUGUAGACUCUUUUAUUAAACUACAAAUUGUAUAGUCUUUUUCAAAUUGUUAUAAAUUAGUGGCCCCUACAAUCCUCAACAAUUGUACCGAUAUUCACAAGUUGGUGGGCCCUACAAUUCUGUUCCGAUAAUUUAACUGUGCAAGUGCUCAUUCACAAUCUUCCAGGUCAUGCUCUCAAUAAUUGUUUUUUUUUUUUCUGCAUUCCCUUUCAUGCUCUUAAUAAUUGAAGAGCAUACUUUUCAUUUUCAAAUGUGGAGCCGCAGCUAAUGUCGCUAAUUUAAUUUAGGAUUAAAUUAGGGGACCAUUAUAUUACAGUGUUCACUCAUUUUUGUGUUUAUCUAAACUCCUUAAGUUUAAGACAUAUUAUGGCAUAAAUAAGAAUAUAACAAUAACAAAAGAGUUAGAAAGUGUAGAGAAGAUCUUGCAGAAAUAUAAAUAAUAUCAAUAUUUAAAAUAAUUUUUAAUAUUUUAUGAUCCAUUAGAUAUAUUUUAUUAUAUUAAAAUAAAUUUUAUAAUAAAUGAAAACAUCCAAUUAAAAUGAAUAUAUAGAAAAUUUAGAGUAUUUUAAGUAUUAUAUAAAAUAAUUUUAAUAAAAUAUGUGAGAUAUUCAUAGUUUAUUAAUUUAAAAUACCAUUUUAAAAUUAAAGAUUUAUUUAUGAUAAAUUAAUAAUUAUAUUUUUGAAAUUACUUCAAAUAUUAAAAAAUUAAUAUUACUAAUCUAUUAGAUAGAUUAAAUUAUAUAUAUUAUUUUCUAUUUAUUAAAAAAUUAAAAUUAUUUUUAAUUACUAUUCAAAAAAUAUAAUGAUAAAAAAAAUCUUAACAUCUUUAUUAAAAAUUUAAAAAUUUACCUGAUCAAUUCUCUAAAUAUUUAGGGUAUAUGUGAACCACGGUGGAGAAGCUUUAUUUAAUAUUAUUGAUUUAAAUAAUAUGUCAAUUAAAAAUAUACAGAGAAGGAAAUUUCGGUAGGUAUUUUAAUCUUUUCAGCAAUUAUCAUGAUCAGAUCAGCCUUUAGCCUUAAAACGUCGGUCAGAAAAGUUUUUAAAUUAACGCAAACAAGAAAAAGCUAGGUCAUAUUAAAAGUGGAUUCUUUUGAAUGCAAGUGGGACAGACGAUUAGGCUCUUUUUAUUAAACGCAAGUAAAAAGUAGUCGAAUAGUCUUUUUCAAAUUAUUGUUUUAUUAUUUUAUUAUUUUUCCUUCAAAAGUUAGCGUGGCUCAUGUUUGCAGGUGCGAAUGUGCCAUGCUCUUUUUUUAAAGGCAAUUACAGUGGGUCCCGAAUCAUUACUAAAAUUUCUCUUCCACAGCCCACCGCAGCUUCAGUUAAUCAAACUCAAUCAAUUUUCUUUCUUAACAAAAUUCUAAAGAUGUGUAGCAUUUUUCAGAUCACAUGCGAUGGUGCUUUUUUCAAUCGUUGCUUGGAUUGCUUUCUUGGAAAAGCAGCAUACAUACGUAACCUCCAAGAUAAUCUUGAUGCCUUGGAGACUGAAUUGGGAAAUCUGAUCGCUAGAAAGAACGAUGUGAUGAGGAGGGUUGUCGAUGCUGAACGGCAACAAAUGAGAAGGCUGGACGGAGUGCAAGUGUGGGUUUCGAGGGUGGAUUCUGUUAAAACUGAAGCUGAUCAAUUUAUAAGAGACGGCUCUCGAGAAAUUGAAAAAUUAUGUGUUGGAGGCUACUGUUCCAAGAAUUGCAUGUCAAGCUACAAGUUCGGGAAAAAAGUGGCUAAAAAGCUACGGGAUGUGCGGACUUUAAUCAGUGAAGGAGUUUUUGAGGUGGUGGCUGACAGAGCUCCAGAGUCUGUAGCAGAUGAAAGACCUACUGAGCGAACAGUAGUAGGCUUGCAAUCACAACUUGAACAAGUCUGGAGAUGUCUUGUAGAAGAAUCAGCGGGAAUCAUUGGCCUAUAUGGUAUGGGCGGUGUUGGUAAAACUACACUACUGACCCAUAUCAACAAUAAAUUUCUCGAGAGUCCAACCAACUUUGAUUGUGUGAUUUGGGUUGUAGUUUCAAAAGACCUGCGACUCGAAAAAAUUCAAGAAGAUAUUGGGAAAAAGAUAGGUUUGGUUGGUGACUCAUGGAAGAGUAAAAGUGUAGAGGAGAAAGCUGUCGACAUCUUCCGGAGUUUAAGAGAGAAGAGAUUUGUAUUGUUGUUAGAUGAUAUAUGGGAGCGGGUUGAUUUAACAAAGGUGGGCAUUCCACUUCCCGGACCAAAAAAUACUACCUCAAAAGUCGUAUUCACAACCCGUUUCAUCGAUGUUUGUGGUAGCAUGGAAGUUGACAGGAAGUUUCAAGUAGCAUGCUUAUCAGAAAAGGAUGCUUGGGAACUGUUUCGAGAAAAAGUUGGGGAAGAAACUCUUCAGAGUCAUCAUGAUAUCGAUGAGCAAGCCCAAAUUGUGGUCAAAGAGUGUGGUGGUUUGCCACUCGCACUUAUUACUAUUGGUCGAGCUAUGGCCUACAGAAAGAAAGCGGAGCAGUGGAGACGUGCAAUUGAAGAGUUAAGGAGAUCAGUUUCAGAGUUUGCAGGUUUGGGAAAAGAGGUGUAUCCUCUUUUAAAAUUCAGCUAUGAUAGUUUGCAGAAUGAUACGGUUAGAUCUUGUUUCUUGUACUGUUGUUUAUAUCCUGAAGAUUAUGGCAUUCUUAAAUGGGACUUGAUUGAUUGUUGGUUUGGCGAGGGAUUUUUUGGGGAAUCUGACAGGUCUGGUGUAGAAAACCAAGGAAAUGACAUUUUGGACACUCUUGUUCGUGCAUGUUUAUUAGAAGAGGUGGAAGAUGAUGAAGUAAAAAUGCAUGACGUUAUUCGUGAUAUGGCUAUAUGGAUAACUUGUGAAAUUGAGAAGGAGAAGCGAAACUUUUUGGUUCGUGCAGGUGCUGGAUUAAAAGAGGCACCGGGUGUUAAAGGAUGGGAAAAUGUGAGAAGAUUGUCAUUGAUGCAAAACCAAAUUGAAACUCUGUCAGAGGUUCCCACAUGCCCUCAUCUCCUCACUUUAUUUCUUGACUUUAAUCAGGAGUUGGAGAUAAUCGCGGAUGGCUUCUUCCAACUUAUGCCUUCUCUCAAAGUUUUGAAGAUGUCAAACUGUUCGAAUUUGAAAUUACCUGUUGGGAUGUCAGAGUUGGGUUCAUCACUAGAACUUCUCGAUAUUUCAGAAAACAGCAUAACAGAGUUACCGGAAGAGUUAAAGAAGUUGGUAAAUCUGAAAUGUUUGAAUUUGAGGUGGACACAGCAUUUAAAUAAAAUUCCACGGCAACUAAUAUCAAAUUCUUCAAGGUUACGUGUGUUGAGAAUGUUCGCUACUGGCCGGUUCAAUUUUCAUGAAGCACCAGAAGACAGCGUUUUAUUUGGUGGGGGUGAAGUUUUGAUACAGGAAUUGCUCGGUUUGAAAUAUUUAGAGGUAUUGGAGUUGACCUUGGGAAGUUAUCAUGCUCUCCAAAUUCUUUUGAGCUCAAAUAAGUUAAAAAGUUGUAUUCGAUCUCUUUACCUCCAGUUGACCGGAGAUACAGCGUCAAUUAUUGAUGCUACGGCUUUCGCAGAUCUAAACUACCUCAAUGAAUUAUGUAUUGAUAAUGGUAUUGAGUUGGAAGAGUUGAAGAUUGAUUAUACGGAGAUAGUAAGAAAAAGGCGGGAACCUUUUGUUUUCCGCAGCCUUCACUGUGUUACUAUGAUUUCGUGCCGUAAAUUGAAAGAUUUGACAUUCCUCGUUUUUGCUUCAAACCUCAAGUCUCUUCGGCUACGCAAUUGCUAUGCUAUGGAAGAAAUAAUCAGCGUCGGAAAAUUUGCUGAGACUCCUGAGAUGAUGGGACAUAUAAGCCCUUUUGAAAAUCUCCAAAUGCUUGAUUUACAAGGUUUGCCACAUUUGAAGAGCAUCUUCUGGAAGCCAUUGCCUUUCACUCAUCUGAAAGAAAUGGAGGUACUUAGGUGCGAUCGGCUUGAAAAGCUUCCACUCGAUUCCAACAGUGCAAAGGAGCGUAAAUUUGUUAUUCGUGGAGAAGAAGACUGGUGGAACCGACUUCAAUGGGAGGAUGAAGCCACUCAAAUUGCAUUUCGUUCCUGUUUUAAAAGUGAUGCUUUAUUUAUAUCUUAUUCGUGAAAAGUGAUUUAAUUUCCUGCCAAAAGACGAACGAGAAGAACAUUAGAGUCAAACUAAUGCUCACAUAAAUUUCCCGUAAGAAUAUAUAAUUAGACUGGAAUGCACACCUCUAGAUUGAACAGAAUUAAAGCUGAGAAAAUAUUGAGUAUAGUAGCCCUCUUUACAGAAAAUGACGCGAAAGUUAAUUUAGAAAGAUAUAUUCUUGAUUAAUCCAUUUUCUGAAGUUUUUAUUUUGUAUGGUCAAUUAUACCUUCAUACUAAAAAUUUCUGAAGUUAUAAAUUAGUGCAACUUGACAAUUUUUACUGAUGAUAUCUUCUAUUUUUUUUUUUUUUUUUUUCACUUUCAUAGACUGGCAGCGGAUCCUGCGGCACCAAUUUGAGAGAAUAUACUGACACUACUUCGAACAGCAAGCAGAAGAAGUAAUAUGUCUACGGCAAAGGCAAUGCAGUCCUCAUUUUGGCUUGAGAUGCAGUAAUCAUCGAAGAGAGUUUCCUUGUGAAACUGGGCAACACAUUGAAUCCCUUCGCCACUGAGAAGGUUGUGGAGGAAGUAAGCUUUCUCUCCAGUGAGGAAGAGGUGGCAUACCUUCCCCAUUUUAUCGAGGGCAGGUAGGAAUCUUUUUUCUAAGAGAUUUACUUCGUUCUCUGUAAGAAAUGCUUUGAACUUCAUCCCUCUGUCUCUAUCCUCACUUAUCAGGAAAUAAGUUGAAAGCACUAUGAAGAGAGAGAGAGAGAGAAUUAAGAUAUAUAGACAAGAAAAAUAUUAGACCUUGAUCUUACAAACUAAUACUUCAAGCAGUAUCCUAGAAAGCUAAAAACUGCAAGAUGGCUUGAAAUUUGAAAAGAGCACGUGCUUUUCCUCCUUAACUUGAGAAAAUGUUUAAUAUAGUGCACCUUACAGAAGCAUUUAAGCAAUUAGAACUUUGCACAAAAACAUCAAGAAGACUAAACAAAUCAGAUGCAGUGUAUUUGUCCAAGCACAAAUUGCAUUUUGUCCUCAACUUUAAUAUUUAUUGAUGAGAAUCAAUACAGGUCCCUCAUUUGUUAUAGAAAGCUUUCUUGUAGUCUCACCAGUUAAUUCACAGGUCUAUAAUCAUCUUGCAAAGUUAAGGGCAUUUCUUUCGAUCUAAAGUCUUUGGAUCACCACCUCAUCACACACCAAGCCAAUAUUCCAUUUACCUCUACAACAAAAAGUUUUUAAGUAAACAAUCCUAAUGCACGCAGCCAAAUAAAAUGCAGUAAGAAUAUUCAACUUAAAAAUCUGAAAGCCAACUUGGUGAAUUGCCUCCUUAGGUGAAGUUCCAUGCUUUACUAUAGUUGACAGAACUCAGCAAAAGCUUCCAUACAACAGAUUUUGAAAAUGAUGAUGCCAAUAGAUACUCAUUCAAUCCAUUGAAAAUCCAAAGGUUCAUUGUUAAUAGAAGUUUACAGAGUUUUGGUCAUCAAAUAGCUCAGACCUAAUCCCAAACAAAAAACGAGUGAAAAUUAGAUCACGAGCAGCUAAUUGUAAAUUCUAACUUAACUCUUCAUCUCCUUUGUAAACAAGAAACAAAAUGGAGACAAGCAAAAUGAAUAUGGAGAAAAUUUGAACUCAAAUGAAAUGAGGGCACGAAAGCAAACAAAUGGCAUGCACAAAAAAACCAAGCCUCAAUCAAAAACUAAUUAACCAUUAAGAAAAAAAUUGGUCAGAGAAUGAACUCCAAAUUCAGGAGUCAAGCAAGAAGCUUUCAUUAUUUCAGAAGCUCCUGUACAGGAUUCUAUCACACAUAGGAAUUGUAUAACAAGAGAUCGAUAUAUCGAAUUAGAAAACUCAAUUCGAAUUUGUGUCAAAAAUCAAAAUUAGAAGAUUUCACAUUUCGAGAGGAACAAGCAACAGAUGAAGUUGAAAAUUUUCAGCCAUAACAUGCUAAAAAUGCUACACUGAACGGUUCAUUUUCAUGGGUUUUCUCGGGAAACAAACAGAAAAUUACGGUUUAGAGAGUUGACUGACCUUUUGGCUUUUGAAAUUGAGAAGAUCGCACGCCAAAUUGGAAGAGGGAAAGUGAAAGUGCGAGUUUUAAUAUGGGUAUUAGAUAAGGAAAUUUUAUUAGGUUGCGAGGGUAAAAAAGGAAAGAGAUAUCAUUGUUUUAUUAUCGAUAAUUAUUAAAAAAAUUUCCCCAAAAAAAGAACAAGCAAGGAUAUUUUAUUGUCAUUUGCAACCUUUAAUUUUUUAAAUGCUAUUAGAAACACAAGACAACAAAGAAAUACUUAUUUUUUUUCUAAAACUAAAAUUAAUUGUUUAACUUCUUAUUUCAGAAUCCAACUCCAUUACUAAGUUAAAAAAAUUGUUUCAAAAUUACUUGAGUCAUAUCUAAUGGACCAACAAAGUAAUCGUUUUUAUUUUUAUUGAUUUUUGCAGAAAAUUAAUAACUUAAAAAUACUGAAAGCUAUUGAAAAAAAUUUUUAUUAUCAACCUCAUAGUUUUUUUUUUUUGGGAAGAGAAUUCAAACUUUUUUUUUAUGAAUAUCGCUGUUUCGUUUGAGUUGGAUGUGAAUUCAAAUACAAAUAUUCUUUGUUUUUCAAUUUUGAACUCAAUUUCUUUUUCUCAAGAAUGUUAUGCAGAAAUGAUUUUUACUAAAUCAUUUUUGAUGAAUUGUUUAAAUUAAACAAUUGGAUUAAGAAUUGUAACGAUUUAUCAUAAGCGUGCUAAUAUGAUAACUUGUUUUACGAAGGAUUAAUUAAUCAAUUAAUAUUAAAUUAUAUAUUAGUCAAUUAGAUAUGUGUUACAUUUGUCAUGUUUUGUAGGUGAUACUACAUAAUUUCUAAAAGAAUAUAGUAAAAAAACGUUAAAAUGUUAUUUUAAUGAAGAAAAUUUUAUAAUUUUAUUAAAUAGGUGACACAAUAAUAAAUGGAUUUCUGUAAGAAUUGAGAUUCUUGAGAUAAUUAUUACAUAAGGAGAAGUUUAUUACAUAGGUGACAGCUAUGAUUUUGAAACUUUUGCCUAAAAUUGUUAUCAUUACUUCUUGUUUCUUAUUUAAAGAGAAAUUCUAGAAACAUGAAAUGAUUAUUCUACGCUUGUUUUAAUAUUAUACUAUGAAGAUUAUGAAGGUUUGAUUAAUGUCACUAUCAAUUGCCUUAAUCGUUUGUCGUAAAUCAAUUAAGCAUUUUGAUGCGAAUGAUUCCCUAUUAAAAAAUUCAAGUCAGAGCUGAAUUGCAAAGUAGUUAGUCGUGCUUGCAAUUCAAAUUAAGUAUUGUAUUUUCCCCCUGAUUUGGUUGAUUCAACUAUGUGCAUUUGCUUAUGAACGUUGUAGUACAGAAAUCGAAACAUCUUGUCUUUUGCUAAGCCCAGAAGCAAAUUCUUUGUAUUCUACUCAUCAGUUUUCUUCAUUCUCUUCGUUGAAAUUUUAUCCAAACAGCGGUUUCGAAAUUGUUUUCACCACAAUACCUUAGUCUUUCAGAUGCUCCCGUCACUGAGUUGCCAGAAGAGCUAAAAGCCUUGGUAAAUCUUAAGUGUUUGAACCGGAGUACACAAAUUAUCUCUCUACAAUUCCAAAACAACUGAUUUGUUACUUUUUGAUGCUACAUGUUCUGCGAAUAUUCAGUUGUGAUUAUCUUGUUCAAAUACCAGAAAAUAGCGUUCUAUUUAGUGAUAAUGAAUUCUUGGUUUGGGAGUUGCUUAGUUUAAAACGUUUAAAUGUAUUAAGCAUCAUCUUGAAAAGUUUUUCUGCCGUCCAAAAACUUAUGAGCUCCCAAAAGUUUCAAAGCUGUACACAAUGCUUGGAGCAUAUAGGCUGUGAUGACCCAAAGUCAUUUGCCUUGGCAGAGUUGAAACAUCUUGAAAAACUAGGUUUUUCGAGUUGUGGAAAUUUGGAAGAGUUAAAGUUCUGCUGUGUUGAAGUUGCAAAGGCUCGAGAAUGUUUUCGUUUGAACGGCCCUUGCUGAGUUAAGAUGAAGGCUUGUCAUAAAUUGUGGGAAUCGACAUGUUAUUCAAAUAGAAAAAUGUAUGGAGAUGGAUGUUAAUCUUAAGGUUAUUCAAGCAGACAAAUUCGAAUAAAACUUAUGGUAAGUGCUUUUCCAUUUAUUGCAUAUUUAUAUCUAAUUUUUAUUUUCCUUUAUUGUUAAAUUUUGCUCUAUAUUUGUUUUUGUAUGGUGGCAUUCUUGUACAAUUAUUAGCUUUUCAUUUCUCUUCUCACAUUAACUGCCCUUCUGAUCAUGUAGGAUUUGCUGAUGCAAAGAGUCAUAAUUUGGGAUACAAAUGUAAGAAUUAGACAGAUGACAUGUUGUUUUGAAGCUCUCGAAGAAGAAGGACUAAUUAUGUCAUUGAAAGCCUCCAAUUUUGUGAUUGGUUUCUUUUUAUUUUAUUUGUUGUUUUCUCUAUUUUCAGAUCGCUUAAUUGUUAGUUGUUGUAAUCUAAUAUUUUAGUGUAGAAAAUUAUAUUCGGCCAAGACAGCGAUAGGAGGGCACAUUGUGCAUGCACACUAGUGGAUUUGUCAUGCCAAAUCCAAUUAGGAUGGAUAACACUUUAUAAGCAUUAGGCGUCUCUCGUACCUGAGUAAUAUAGAAUAUGUUUAUAAGUUGUGAAUCACCCUUUAUAAGUGUUAGGCUUCUGCUAUACUCAGUGAUGUGAAAUAUAUUUAUAAGCACUAAACUUCUCCCAUACACUUUAUGUUAAAAAUAAUAAUAAUAAUAAUAAAAUAAACCUAUUUUAACAGACUCUUUUUUCUUUUUCUAUAUGAACAAACGCAUUCUUCAAAGCAAUUGUGGGUAGAAGAAGUGAGUAGAGAAGAACUGGGCCCCUUUCAUUCCUUUAAAACCUCACCAAAACCUCUCUUGUAAGCUUCUCGGAUUUUCUUUCUAUAUUUCUUAGGAACUCAUUUUUUAUUGAAUCACUUCUUUUGCAUGCUGCAUUUUUUGUUUGUCGUAUUUGGGUAUUAUCUUAUCUGGAAUGCUGUUAUGAUUGAUGGAACAAGUAAUCGAUUUUUGGUCUAAUGGAAGUUGAUUUAUUUAUUUAUUGUUAUUUUUAUUUGAAAUUAUGUACAAUUGCAUUUCAUUCAUUUCUCUCUCUCUUUUUCUUUUUUUCCCCCCAUAAAUUUGUUAUGUAUAAUUGCGUUUCAUUUAAUAUUGAUCAUACUGUAGGUAACCAUGUGAUUGUAGAUGGGGAUUUCAAGUUUGUUGAAUAUUCAUGUAAGUGAAGUAACCGUCACAAUACUAGUGAAAUUGGGAGCUUUAUUCAUGAGUUUGUGGUUUUGAAAAGUACCACAGUUCAAAUGAUGAAGGCUCCUUUUUGGGAUUCUUCUUUUUCUAGGCUGCAAUUAGGAUAUGUACAUGAUAGACAAUCUUUUGUUGGUUUGGCAUAUGUUCGCUGAUUUUGUCUUUUAUUCCCCAAUUUUAUAAUUACACACCAUGAAUGUUGGGUGAUUGUAUAGAAAAUUUGUGUUAUAACAAAAACAUUGUGAAGGAGUUUCCGUGCUAAUAGUUGUGGCUUCUGUUUUAUUGGCAUUGAUUGGGUAGAUUACGUGUUACAGUGAUUCAAUUUGUGUUCCAAACUUUGCUUUAAUUUUCUGUUUUCCCCAACUAUUUUUGUCAAAUUUAAAUCCAGAAGCAUGUACUGAUUUUGUCUUUUUGUAUUAAUCUGUGAAGUUUAUUUGGAAUGGAAGUAACUGGGUCAGGUCUAAUGGAUUAAAUUAUGACAUUGAGGGGAAGGCACUAAAAGGGUUUGCUUGACACAUUUGGUUCUGUGUUUACUCUGCAAGAAAUAGCUUUUGCUUAUUGCAAUGCAGGGGGAAAUCCCGAUUUGGCUGGUGAAUUUCUCUGCAACAAACAGGCAAACACCUCAACCUCUUCUGUCCAUACUUCUGCUGGGGAGGCAAGGGGUAAAGAGUCUUCAAAAUCAUCAAAUAGUAACAUCUCUGAGAAUUCAUUUUAUGGAAAUGGAAAAUCUAGAACUUCUAAUACAAAAUGGCAUCUGGUAUCAGGACGUACCGUUUCAAGUUUUCUUGGUAAAGAUUAUGUUAAACCUGCACAGCCAGCUAAUGGCACUUUUCUGGCAUCAAAGCCAUUGAAGUUGGAUCCAAAGGAGUUUCCCAUGUCUGCACUUUGCAGAGAAGAAUCUAAACCGAAACAAUCAAAGGAUGACCAUUUGCAGAAGGACAUGGAAGAUUUUCUGUUUAAAUUUCCAGGAGACGGUUCCAGCUGAACAGGGAUGUGAUUCAGGAGGUUCUCGGUAAUGUCUUAAAUAUAUUGAUGCCAAUUUAAUACAUAUUGUCCUUUUCAAUGUUCUUUCUUUCUUUCUUUCUCUUCUUUUAUUCUUCUUCUUCUUUUUUUUUUUCAUGUGCAUGUGAUCGCUAAUUUGGUAUUAUUUUUAACUUGCAGAUACUUGUGGAUAUGAUAUGCAAAAGGUAAGGACUAUAUCCUCCUGAUGGAGGCCUCUGCUUUUCCCUUCUUUGUACGUAAUUUAGUAAAUCGCAUCUUCUAUAUAUCAUACCAAAAUCCAGUCUUAAAUGCUGCUGGCAUAUGUUAAGGUUCAACUUGCAUUUUGAUUAACGUCCAUUUGCUACGGCUUCCAAAAUUGAGAAUGAGAUACUUUGGUUAAUUUCAGUAGUUGAACCCAAUAGGGUACUUUAUUUAGAUCUUCAUGGUUCAAAGGCCCGAAAAAACUUACAGGUAUACCUGCAAAAUGACACUCUGUGCUUUUAUUUAUACUUAUUAUUUAAGUGAUAAAAAUUCCCCAAACCUGCGGUCAAGAAAAUUUCAGAGAGUUAAAGACUCCAUUUUGUUUCAGCCAAAAAUGUUUAUUUCAAUUAAAGAUUUGAACCAUUUUCAUUUAACCUGAUUGUGAUGCUUUACAUUGUGCACGCUCCUCUCGAUCAAUAAACGUUGAGGUCAUGAUUUUAUAUUUCUAUAUUGUAACCUGAAAUAAUAAUUGGUUUGCAUGUUUCUGUAGCUUGAUAACAUGAAUUUUCCUUCUGAAGUUACUUUGAUCAAUAAAGUUAUUCUUCGGAGAAGAUAUGCCCAUUCUAUAAUCAUUUUCCUAGCUAAUAUGUUUUUUUCACUCUUCUGAGCAUGUCUAAACUAAUUGAUCGCUCGGCAGAGACUUUGGGUAAGAAAACAAAAUUUCAUGGUAAAUCCUCUGAAAAGGUAUGCAUAAUUGAAACAAUCCGCCCCGAAUCCCCCCAGGCGAGUCUAUCUAGUCUCAUCAAAACGGACUUGAUAAUAAUUCUAUUAGUAAAGACGACAGAAUCUCUUUUAUAUAUAUAACACUCCCAAUGUACAAAUAUAAAUAUAAUACUUUCAAUACAAUUCAAUAUACAACAAACUCCAGUGAUCAAUAUCCUCAACUAAAAUGCUGAGUUUUAUAUUAGAGUCUCAAAAGAUAAUAUUAUAACUAAUAUUAAUAUCUCAGUUUAUUUUUAAUCCCAAAAGAAUAAUAUAACAAAAUUAUACAAUCCCAACAGGACGAGAUAACCAAGAUGUCCUAACAAAAACAUUUAUAUCUUCUAGCACCAUCACGUGGCCAAGACUCAAAAUAUAUUUACAAUCGCUGGGUCGGUCUGGUGUACCUGCAACCUACUGGUGAGGGGGGAAAAUAUAAUAAAAACAGGGUGAGUUUAAAACUCAGUGAGAUCGGUGAGUAGAUAGUAGUUUUGUAAAUUAAUUCUUACUUUAAAAGAAAUAAUCAUGUCAUUUCCAAACAUGAUUUCAUUAAACUAUAAGCGAGAAACCAGUAAUAAAUCAUUAAACAUUUAAAUCAGAUUAUUAACCAUGGAAAUCAUAUCACAAUAUCAUAUAGAAUUCACAAAUCGGAAAAUCAUCACCAAACAAGUACCCAGAGAAAUAAUCUCGUCAUAUCCGGACCUCAACGGACGGGCAAUGACGUACUAUCUGGGUAACGUCACACCCCGGAGCUACACGGAUAGACAGGGAAAUACCAUCUCAUAUCUCAUCAUAUCUGUGCAUGCAUAAUCUAGUCCCCAAGGGACAAAAGCGCCCAAGCACACGGCCCAAAGCGCCCAAGCACACGGCUCAAAGCCUCUAUGUGUACUCAGACGGGCCCCAAAGGCCUGUAUCUCACAUGUAUCAUAUGUAUCAUUUGUAUCUCAAUAUUUGUCUGUAUCUCAUAUCCGUAUAUCUGUAAUCAUCAUACCGCAUGCAUAUGCCCCCAAAAGGCAAAAAGCGCUCAAACACACGGCCCAAAGCUUUUAUAUGUGUUCAGACGGGCCCCAAAAGCCUCUCAUUUCAUCUUAUCUGUAUCACUGUAUCUGGAGGGAAGGGUACUGUCUAAUGAUUUAAAAAACAAUCAUUAUACUCAUAUUUACAUACCUCUUAACCAUAUUUGAAGUCAUAUCACAUUUGAAUCCACUUUUCUAAUCUUUAAAAUAUUAUCAUACUUUAUUCAAAGUCGAUACGCAAAAUCAAUAACCAAACAUUUUAAUAAAAUACCAAUGCGUAAAUAAAAUCUAUUUCGAGAAAUCAUUAAAUCAGAACAUUUAAAAUACUUAUUUUGCAAACAUGUUUUACUAUUAUCGCUAACUAUGAAAAUAAGUUUUGUAUAUUCCACUCUCAGUGACGAUGUUCACGGUCGGUUAUCGUCCAUAUCUGCAGACCGAUUCUCGCUCGCGGAUCCUCCUAAAUCAAGGAAACGACAUAAUUAUUUUUCGUAAAUCGGAAUUAUGACUAAAUUUUAUGCAAUAAACUCAAAACGAACAUCUAUUCAUAAUUGACAACUCCUAUAUCCAUAAAAUUACUAAAAUGUCCUUGAGUCCGUAGAUCAUUAACAUGCUCCGAAAUCGUAAAUCACUUAAUUACCCUCGGAAUCGUAAUUACACCUGAUCCUCAAUUCUAGGAAUUACUAACAUAUCCACAGGCUCAGAAAUUACAAAAUUGCCCUCAUAGUGUGAAAUUACCAAAAACCGGAAGUUGGUCAACACUGGCUAGGAAGCUCGAAUCGUAAAGUUCCAAUCACGCUGAGUUCAAUGGUACCGGCGGUGAGCUCCAAUGCGCGGCAACGACGCUGGAAUCUAGCUCGGCAGUCGUGAAUUCCACCAAUCGACCGGCGGCAAAACAGUGACUCUCGGUGCCUAUGGAUGGUCGGAACUGGAAGAGGGAGUCGUGGGGAACAAACUCCAACCGGUGGUGUCACCAAAACCGGCGAAAAUCCCGGCGGAGCAAAGUGAAACAGUCGCGGGUUUCAUGCUUCGAUCGCCGGUGUUCCGAUUGGUUUUUGGCGAGGAGGAUGGCAAGGGAACGACGGCCGGCUUCUAAGCUUCAGAUUGGUACCAAGCUCGGCCGAAAUGGUGGCUGGCAAUGGGAGAUAUGGCCGGGUCAAGGUCGCGGGUUCCGGGUCGGGUUUUCGGGUCUGUAGUUGGGUCGGUUUGGCAGCUUCUCUCUCACUCUCUGUUACACGUGCAUAUGUUUCGUCUGUUUCCAGCUUAUUCUUUUGCUUUUACUAACUUCUUAACCGCCUCAUACUUAUUCAUUUUUAAUUCUCAUAUGUUACAAUAAUUCCCGAGUAUUAAAUAACCAGUGGUCAUAAUUUUUGUACAAGAUUCUUUUUUUUUUGGAGAUCGUUAAAAGUGGUUGACGAUCCAUUUUGUAAUAUCAUAGAGGGAUCAUCAAUUCCUUUUCUUUUCUGUGGCUAGGCAACACUUUUUGGCCAAACUAAGGAAAUCUAUUUUAGGUAAUGUAAAAACCAGUUAUAGGAUGUAAUAGUUUAUUAUGUACUGACAAUAACUUUUUGUAUAAUUGUCAGUUUAAUGAAUACAAGAGGAACUCUGUUGGCAAAUUCAUCCAACUAAAAUUAUUUAUGCAUGCCCGUUGCCUUAACUAAGUUUUCUCAGCACUGGUUUUGAACAGGAAAAUGAAUAUGCAAUUUGUAUAUUGUGCCAUAGUGGAGAAUUUGGAUAUUCUUAUUUAAGUAACAAGGAGAUUAUUUGCCUCAUCUUUAAACAAUGAAUCUUUGAGAGAUGAGGAGUGGGUGAUUGGCUGUGUCUUCAUGUAAUUGUUCAUUUAUUUGUAUUUUGAACUGUUAUGAAAAUCUUUAUAUGCCAAAUUAGUAAUACAAGUAUUCAGAUGAUUUUUCCUAUUGAUCAUGCAUUUGUAUCUGCCCACAACCAUUGUAUAUCACUUUAUUCUGAUGCGCAAGCAUCUGUAAUUUAGAAGAAAAGAAAUAAUAAUCAUAUUUUAUUGCUUGGUUCAUGAUUAUUAACGAUUAUGGCUUUAAAAAUCUACAAAUUUCUUGUGUUCAUGUAUGAAUGUGCCAAGUUUGCUGUAUCUUAGAUUACCUUCUUCCAAGAUAACAAGUUCAUAUAUUUUUUUUUUUAAAAUCCUUUUCCAUUACAGUUGAAUUUCAAGUGUUAGUUUUGUUAUUAGUACCUGGUUUCCUGUUAUUAGGAUCUAAUAAACAGUGUACGGAUAUGUGCUCUACUUUUGGAGGGCCUCCACGUGAAAGAAAAUUGCAACAAUUGAAUUCUUCCGGAGGGUAUGGUAAUUAAUUUAUUUUCUCAACUUGUUGUAAGACUAAUAUAUUUCCUUCAGUAGGCACGGCAUGGUGGGAAGGGUUUUUAUUGAAAGAAUUCUGAUAUUUCUUAGACUUUGUUUUGGAAGGGGGUGGAGGGAUUUCUCAUCCAUAUAUGGUUACUUGAUUAGCUUUUGACUGUAUUGUCUCCGUCGUGCAAAGGAAAAUCUAAAUACUAACGAUGGGGAAUUGCUUAGGCACCCAAAAGGCAGAAAUGAAUUACAGAAGGAAGUUUUUGCUGCUUUAUUUAGUGCUGCUGAGAAAUCUGAUGAAUUUCCUGAAAUUACGGUGAAGACCGAGUGGAGGUCCAAAGCAUUAGGAAAGGUGGUGAGUGAACUGCCGGAGGAAUUAGUACCAGAAUACAAGGCUAAUGUGGUGCACUUGCAGCAAGAUAACCAGACCGGUAUGUGCUCUUAUAUUAACUAUAUUGACUGGAUUUGUUAGUGUGUGCAUUUUUUUGUGUAUACUCACUUUUGUAUUUAUGCAUAUUAACAUGUGUAGGAUUCUUGAUUUCUGCCACUUACUGGAGAACUAGUGGAAAGCUUUAUACUGAUAUAUCUGCAAUAACUAAUGGAAACUAUGAUAUGAAUAUUUUCUCUCACCUGGGGAGCUGUGUAACAGAUAUACUUUGUGGCUCUGGAAUGCUGAAGAUUCUGCAAUAACUAAUGGAAAAUAUGAUAUGAAUAUUUUGUCUCACCUGGAGAACUUUGUUACAGAUACCCUUUGUGGCUCUGGAGUGUCUAAAGAAUGCUUCCGUUAGAUCAAAUAUCUUUUAGUUAGAAAAGAUAAAAUUCUCUGAGUCUGAAAGACUGAAACAUUUUGCAUAUUUUGUGAAAGGGAAAUAUCUGUUGAUACUAGCUCAUGCAUUGAGGUAAUAUCGAUGUUAAAGAAAAACAGCAAUGAUUUAUGAUAUAGAAUUGGGUUCACUUGCUUUAAAUGCUGGUCUGAUCAACCAUAUCAACCUGUAAUGAUUCUGCAGAAAUAUAUAUACAAGGAGAAAGUAGCUAAAUUUUUCUUUCAUUUAUGGGUUCGGUCUUUUUUCCCCUUAUUUUUCAGCUUUCCUUCUCCUGAAGUAUGUUAACAAUUGCAGAUAAUGAUGAAGAGGACAGCUUCCAGGCUCUCCUUAGAGCCGUGAUGGAAUAUAGGGGCACAAUGAAGGAAUAUUGUAAAGCUGUAGGUACUUUUUCUCCUGUCAUUUAUGUUUUCUCACACAUUUUGUAUAUGCCCUGAACAUGCACCUUUGUAUGUAUCAAUUGACUUUUAAAUUUUAAAAGCCAUAAAGUAAGAAUACGGUUCCUUGUCAGGCUACUGAUGACAUUCGCUCAGGGGGAUCAUGUUCGAGCAGGAAAAUUUCUAGAACAGGUAAGGUUUCCAUCUACAGCCAUCCAUUGACAGCAGAUAAAUUUUCAUUCAGCAGACUCUGUUAGCAUUCAAGAUGCUGGCAGAUUCACUUGAUUCUUAUUAGCUUGUUUAGUGGCAAAGCCUAUAACCUGUAUUUCAAAGCCAAGUUGUGCUAUUGAUUAUGUUAACUUUUUUGUUAACAUAAAAUGAUAUGGAGGAAAUAAUCAGUGUUGGAAAAUUAGGUGAAAAGAUGAUGUCAAAUCUUGAACCUCUUGCGAAACUCUAAGUUCUUUACUUGAAGAGGCUACCAAAUUUGAACAGCGUCUACUCGAAGGCCUUGCCAUUCCCUGAUGCAUGCAGAAUUUUUGUAUUUAAAUGCCCAGAGCUUAAGAAGCUGGCACUGGAUCUUGAAGGGGCAGACCAAGGUAAAAUUCUUAUCAAGGGAAAGGAAGAUUGGUGGAAACAACUUAAUGGGAGGAUCAAGUAACUCAGAAUACAUUGCUUCCAUUUUUUAAAUCGACUGACAAGUGAUUGAACGGGGCAUCAUCAAUAUCAUCAACAGGGAUGGAGAGAUGCCGGAGCAGAUCAGCAGGGUUUGAAUAUGACCUUCGGCGGUUGCUUUUUUUUUUUGUGAUUUUUUUUCAUUUUUUCCUUCCUGUCAUUUUAUCAUUUCUUUGGCUCUGUUUCUAUUGCGGGUGUUACUGCAUGCUUACUGUUGCUUGACAAAGUUUGCUAGCUUUUUGUUUGCAGCGCUGCUAUACGCCCCGAGUCAAGCCCCGAAAAUUUAUUAAACGACGCCGUUUCGACAGUAACAAUUCUUUUCUUUUCCCUUUGCCUGUUUCUUUCAUCUGCAGUUUCUCUAUCACUUUUCAUUUUUGAUUUCCGUGCUUCCCAGCUGCCCCUAAAUUGUUAUUCUAGCAAUAUACUUUCUCAUCUUUGAAUUUUCAUCCUUGAGUACUCCCACAGCCGUAAUUUCAUCAUUAUAGACUUCACUUGGAAUGCUAGAUUUUUUCGAUUCUUGAGCUACUUCAAUUACAUCUUAGUAUAGGAUCCUCAUCUUCCUUUAUUUCUUCAUCUUAUGAGGUAACAAAUGGAUUUCACAACUCAUCUACUUUUAAGCAAUUACAUAUUAUACCCUGAAUGAUUCAACUGUUCCGACAGUUAAAGAUUUUAUGCUCAACCUGCAGUGCUACGAACAUUGUCCAUGAAAGAUGAGUUUCAGCAUAUAAAAUGAAGUAUAGAUGUUUAAUCUAAAAUAACCCUUCACUGCCAGAAACCUAGGUCGCAAAAUUCACAGAUAAUGAUAAAGAGCUAAAAAAUUUGAAAAAACUCUACAGAUCACACAUCAAGCAAGAUAUCAUGUUUUUUCCCUCAUUCGGUGGUGAUUGAUUCGCUUUUUGAUGAUGGAUAUGGUAUAAAAGUUUUGACCCAAUUUCAAGCAAACACAAAUAGAAACACAAACACAAUCGGGACUAGAGUUGUGGGCGAUUAUCUCAGGUGUACAAGUGAAACGGUGGUGGCUGUCGAUGGUGGUAGUGGGGUGGUUGGGUAUGCGUGAUGGCAAGAUUUUAGGACAAUAAUGGUUGGAGUUGACCUCAAUCAAUGAAGGAAAGGGACAACAAUUUUGACAUCAAACGGUGCAUAUUUUAGUUUAGUAAAAUGGAGCCGUUUCGAAUUUGGGAUUUAAUCCGGGUUUGACGCGGUGCAAGUAUCAUUUUCCUUUUGUUUAUUAAUUUUUUUAUGGUCACAAAGUAUUACUCGUUCUAUUUGACAGUGAUGUGAAUCAAUUUUUCAAUUUUAUAUUUUGUGGUCAAUAUGAAUUCAAUUUCAUUUGUCUCCUGCAAUUAUGAAAAAAUUACAGAGUCAUAAUAUGGAAAAGUACACCGGCAAAAACUUUUUAAAAGCUUCGGAGUGAUACGGGGAAUUCACUUACUACUAAGGACAACUGGUGGCAAGCUAUUCCAUUCAUUUUAUGUCCAUCCAUCUAUUUAGUUAUUGAAGACUAGUGGUCCAUUUGUAAAUUUCAGAUUGUCUCUCUCUCUCUCUCUCUCCCUCUUGAAAUAACAAUAUUUAAUAUAUCUCUUAAAUUAUUAUAAAUUUUAAUUUACUCUCGAUUUAAAAUGGAGCAUGUCGAUAAUUUUUUUUUUCUUCUUAAUAAAAUUGACGCAAGUUGUGUUUACAGUAGUUUGAAGUUGGAAGUAUUUUAAAGAUUAUUAUUCUAUAAGGGAGUAAUAUGAACUGAAAUUUACUUUUCACGUGUGAAAUGAAAAAGGACGAAGCAAGUGUCCCUGCUUUUAUUUUAUUUCAAGGAGGAGUCAUCGCACAUACUUUAGCUCUUAACAUUACAUUUUUAUUUUUUUUUUACACAUGCGUGUGGGGGUUGCUUUUCUGUAAGCUCCUUAAUAUAUAUUUAAGACAAAUCAUGGAAGAGAUGGGAUUAUAUCAAGAUGAUCAAAGCAUGUAAAAAAAGAAAAAAGAAAAAAAUAAUUAAGAAGUAAGACACUGAAAAUGGAGAAGAGAUGGAAGCAAAAGAUAUUCCAAAACAAAGCAAUCUAUCCCCUUUCGAGGGCAGACUUAUGAUGUUUAAAAAAGUACAUGCUUUGGAUUGGUAGUUGCAAUCAAGGGAAAAUAAAUAGGAUCCAAUGAAAUUUAAAUCUCGGAGAAAAUAAAUAAUCAUGCUGAUUUUUAAGAUUUUAAUAAGGGAUACUAAUAUCUUAUUUUGAUUAAUAAUAUCCUUUCAUUGUGUUAACUCAAAAAAAAUAUAUUUUAAUGUUUUACAAUAAACAGAAACGUACUAUUAAAAUGAAUAUAUAAAGAAUUUAGAAAAUUUAGAAUGUUAUAUAAAAUAAUUUUAAUAUAAUGCGUGAGAUAUAUUUUUUUAAUUUAAAAUGUCAUUUUACCUAAAAAAUAUGAUAAAUUAAUAAUUACAUAUUUGAAGUUAUUUCAAAUAUUAAAAAAAUUUAAUAUUAUUAAUCUUUUGGAUAGAUUAAAUUAUUUUUUAUAAGAGAUAAAUUAAAUUAUUUUAAAAUGCCUUAAUUGUUUUUACUUUUAACAUUACCGGCCUUUCUUUUAUUUUAUUGAAAAUUAAUGCUAACAAGAAAAAGCUAGAUCAUAUUCCACAAAAAAGCAAAAGUGACAAACACAACCAGCUGGAAUCUUUUAUAAAACUACAAAUUAAAAUGAAUUUUUUUUUGGGAAAAGGACACAGAGACCCCUAAUGUUUGAAUAAGGGACACAGAGAUCCCUAACGUUUGAAAAAGGGACACAAAACCCCCUAAGGUUUUAAAAAAGAUACUAAGACCCCUAUUUGUUAACAGAAAUUAUAAUUUUAAAGUGCAAUUACCAUUAUAUCCUUAUAGCAUAUUAAAAAAUAAUUAUUCAUUGUCCAAUUUAUUUCUAUAUUAUUAAUAAAAUUAUGAAUAUAACUUCAUUACCCAAUUUUUCCAUUUUAUUUAGUACAAUUAAGAUUUUGUAAUUAUUGUUGUAACCAAUUUUUUUUUUAUUUUGUUGAUUAUAUAAGUUUAAAUGAAGAAUUGUUAUUGAGAAUUGUUAUUUUUAUUAUAUUAGUAAUCAAUUUAAUUUAUUUUUAUUCUUGAGCAAUGAAUUAAAUUUAUUUAGUUGAAGAGAAAAUUUGACAAAAAAUAAAUGAAAAAAAUUGGAUAAUGAAGUUAUAUUCGUAAUUUUAUUAAUAAUAUACGAAUAAAUUGGACAAUGAACAAUUAUUUUUUAAUAUGCUAUAAGGGUAUAAUGGUAAUUACACUUUAAAAUUAUAAUUUAUGUUAAUAAAUGGGGGUUUGAGUGUAUUUUUUGAAACCUUAAGGGGUUUUGUGUUCCUUUUUCAAACGUUAGGAAUUUUUGUAUCCCUUAUUCAAAUAUUAGGGAUCUCUGUGUCAUUUUCUCUUUUUUUUUUUUGAUAAAUUACACAUGAAAGUGAAUUCUUUUGAAUAUAAGUGGGGUAGGCUCUUUUAUUUUAUUUUUGAAUACUGUAUAACAGGACUGUAGACUCUUUUAUUAAACUACAAAUUGUAUAGUCUUUUUCAAAUUGUUCAGAUAUUUAUAAAUUGGUGGCCCCUACGAUCCUCAAUAAUUGUACCGAUAUUCACAAGUUGGUGGCCCCUACAAUUCUGUUCGCAAGUGCUCAUUCACAAUCUUCCAGGUCAUGCUCUUAAUAAUUUACAUGAUCAAUUCUCUAAAUAUUUAGGGUAUAUGUGAACAUCGGUGGAGAAGCUUUAUUUAAUAUUAUUGAUUUAAAUAAUAUGUCAAUUAAAAAUGUGCGGAGAAGAAAUUUCGGUGGGUAUUUUAGUUUUUUUAACAAUUAUCAUGAUCAGAUCAGCCUUUAGCCUUGAAACGUCGGUCCGAAAAGUUUUAAAAUUAACGCUAACAAGAAAAAGCUAGGUCAUAUUCCACAAAAGCAAAAGUGACAAAAUAACCAGCUGGUUUCUUUUACUAAACUACAAAUUAAAAGUGGAUUCUUCAGACGAUUAGGCUCUUUUUAUUAAACGCAAGUAAAAAGUAGUCGAAUAGUCUUUUUCAAAUUAUUGUUUUAUUAUUUUUCCUUCAAAAGUUAGUGUGGCUCAUGUUUGCAGGUGCGAAUGUGCGAUGCUCUUUUUUUAAAGGCAAUUACAGUGGGUCCCGAAUCAUUACUAAAAUUUCUAUUCCACAGCCCACCGCAGCUUCAGUUAAUCAAACUCCAUCAAUUUUCUUUCUUAACAAAAUUCUAAAGAUGUGUAGCAUUUUUCAGAUCACAUGCGAUGGUGCUUUUUUCAAUCGUUGCUUGGAUUGCUUUCUUGGAAAAGCAGCAUACAUACGUAACCUCCAAGAUAAUCUUGUAGCCUUGCAGACUGAAUUGGGAAAUCUGAUCGCUAAAAAGAAUGAUGUGAUGAGGAGGGUUGACAAUGCUGAACGGCAACAAAUGAUUAGGCUGGAAGGAGUGCAAGUGUGGGUUUCGCGAGUGGAAGCUGUUAAAACUGAAGCUGAUCAAUUUAUAAGAGACGGCUCUCGAGAAAUUGAAAAAUUAUGUGUUGGAGGCUACUGUUCCAAGAAUUGCAUGUCAAGCUACAAGUUCGGGAAAAAAGUGGCUAAAAAGCUACGGGAUGUGCGGACUUUAAUCAGUGAAGGAGUUUUUGAGGUGGUGGCUGACAGAGCUCCAGAGUCUGUAGCAGAUGAAAGACCUACCGAGCGAAAAGUAGUAGGCUUGCAAUCACAACUUGAACAAGUCUGGACGUGUCUUGUGGAAGAAUCAGCGGGAAUCAUUGGCCUAUACGGUAUGGGCGGUGUUGGUAAAACCACACUAUUGACCCAUAUCAACAAUAAAUUUCUCGAGAGUCCAACCAACUUUGAUUGUGUGAUUUGGGUUGUAGUUUCAAAAGACCUGCGACUUGAAAAAAUUCAAGAAGAUAUUGGGAAAAAGAUAGGUUUGGUUGGUGAUUCAUGGAAGAGUAAAAGUGUAGAGGAGAAAGUUGUCGACAUCUUCCGGAGUUUAAGAGAGAAGAGAUUUGUAUUGUUGUUAGAUGAUAUAUGGGAGCGGGUUGAUUUAACAAAGGUGGGCGUUCCACUUCCCGGACCAAAAAAUACUACCUCAAAAGUCGUAUUCACAACCCGUUUCAUCAAUGUUUGUGGUAGCAUGGAAGUUGACAGGAAGUUUCAAGUGGCAUGCUUAUCAGAAAAGGAUGCUUGGGAACUGUUUCGAGAAAAAGUUGGGGAAGAAACUCUUCAGAGUGAUCAUGAUAUCGAUGAGCUAGCCCAAAUUGUGGUCAAAGAGUGUGGUGGUUUGCCACUCGCACUUAUUACUAUUGGUCGAGCUAUGGCCUACAGAAAGAAAGCGGAGCAGUGGAGACGUGCAAUUGAAGAGUUAAGGAGAUCAGCUUCAGAGUUUGCAGGUUUGGGAAAAGAGGUGUAUCCUCUUUUAAAAUUCAGCUAUGAUAGUUUGCAGAAUGAUACAAUUAGAUGUUGUUUCUUGUAUUGUUGUUUAUAUCCUGAAGAUUAUGGCAUUCUUAAAUGGGACUUGAUUGAUUGUUGGAUUGGCGAGGGAUUUUUUGGGGAAUCUGACAGGUCUGGUGCAGAAAGCCAAGGAUAUGACAUUUUGGACACUCUUGUUCGUGCAUGUUUAUUAGAAGAGGUGGAAGAUGAUAAAGUAAAAAUGCAUGACGUUAUUCGUGAUAUGGCUAUAUGGAUAACUUGUGAAAUUGAGAAGGAGAAGAGAAACUUUUUGGUUCGUGCAGGUGCUGGAUUAAAAGAGGCACUGGGUGUUAAAGGAUGGGAAAAUGUGAGAAGAUUGUCAUUGAUGCAAAACCAAAUUGAAACUCUGUCAGAGGUUCCCACAUGCCCUCAUCUCCUCACUUUAUUUCUUGACUUUAAUCAGGAGUUGGAGAUGAUCGCGGAUGGCUUCUUCCAACUUAUGCCUUCUCUCAAAGUUUUGAAGAUGUCAAACUGUUGGAAUUUGAAAUUACCGGUUGGGAUGUCAGAGUUGGGUUCAUCACUAAAAUUUCUCGAUAUUUCAGAAACACCAUAACAGAGUUACCGGAAGAGUUAAAGAAGUUGGUAAAUCUGAAAUGUUUGAAUUUGAGGUGGACACAGCAUUUAAAUAAAAUUCCACGGCAACUAAUAUCAAAUUCUUCAAGGUUACGUGUGUUGAGAAUGUUCGCUACUGGCCGGUUCAAUUUUCAUGAAGCACCAGAAGACAGCGUUUUAUUUGGUGGGGGUGAAGUUUUAGUACAGGAAUUGCUCGGUUUGAAAUAUUUAGAGGUAUUGGAGUUGACCUUGGGAAGUUAUCAUGCUCUCCAAAUUCUUUUGAGCUCAAAUAAGUUAAAAAGUUGUAUUCGAUCUCUUUACCUCGAGUUGACCGGAGAUACAGCGUCAAUUAUUGAUGCUACGGCUUUCGCAGAUCUAAACCACCUCAAUGAAUUAUGUAUUGAUAAUGGUAUUGAGUUGGAAGAGUUGAAGAUUGAUUAUACGGAGAUAGUAAGAAAAAGGUGGGAACCUUUUGUUUUCCGCAGCCUUCACUGUGUUACCAUAUAUAGUUGCGGUAAAUUGAAAGAUUUGACAUUCCUCGUUUUUGCUUCAAACCUCAAGUCUCUUCGGCUACGCAAUUGCUAUGCUAUGGAAGAAAUAAUCAGCGUCGGAAAAUUUGCUGAGACUCCUGAGAUGAUGGGACAUAUAAGCCCUUUUGAAAAUCUCCAAAUGCUUGAUUUACAAGGUUUGCCACAUUUGAAGAGCAUCUUCUGGAAGCCAUUGCCUUUCACUCAUCUGAAAGAAAUGGAGGUACUUAGGUGCGAUCGGCUUGAAAAGCUUCCACUCGAUUCCAACAGGGCAAAGGAGCGUAAAUUUGUUAUUCGUGGAGAAGAAGACUGGUGGAACCGACUUCAAUGGGAGGAUGAAGCCACUCAAAUUGCUUUUCGUUCCUGUUUUAAAAGUGAUGCUUUAUUUAUAUCUUAUUCGUGAAAAGUGAUUUAAUUUCCUGCCAAAAGACGAACGAGAAGAACAUUAGAGUCAAACUAAUGCUCACAUAAAUUUCCCGUAAGAAUAUAUAAUUAGACUGGAAUGCACACCUCUAGAUUGAACAGAAUUAAAGCUGAGAAAAUAUUGAGUAUAGUAGCCCUCUUUACAGAAAAUGACGCGAAAGUUAAUUUAGAAAGAUAUAUUCUUGAUUAAUCCAUUUUCUGAAGUUUUUAUUUUGUAUGGUCAAUUAUACCUUCAUACUAAAAAUUUCUGAAGUUAUAAAUUAGUGCAACUUGACAAUUUUUACUGAUGAUAUCUUCUAUUUUUCCUUUUUUUUUUUUCACUUUCAUAGAAUGGCAGCGGAUCCUGCGUCACCAAUUUGAGAGAAUAUACUGACACUACUUCGAACAGCAAGCAGAAGAAGUAAUAUGUCUACGGCAAAGGCAAUGCAGUCCUCAUUUUGGCUUGAGAUGCAGUAAUCAUCGAAGAGAGUUUCCUUGUGAAACUGGGCAACACAUUGAAUCCCUUCGCCACUGAGAAGGUUGUGGAGGAAGUAAGCUUUCUCUCCAGUGAGGAAGAGGUGGCAUACCUUCCCCAUUUUGUCGAGGACAGGUAGGAAUCUUUUUUCUAAGAGAUUUACUUCGUUCUCUGUAAGAAAUGCUUUGAACUUCAUCCCUCUGUCUCUAUCCUCACUUAUCAGGAGAUAAGUUGAAAGCACUAUGAAGAGAGAGAGAGAGAGAGAGAGAGAGAGAAUUAAGAUAUAUAGACAAGAAAAAUAUUAGACGUUGAUCUUACAAACUAAUACUUCAAGCAGUAUCCUGGAAAGCUAAAAACUGCAAGAUGGCUUGAAAUUUGAAAAGAGCACAUGCUUUUCCUCCUUAACUUGAGAAAAUGUUUAAUAUAGUGCACCUUACAGAAGCAUUUAAGCAAUUAGAACUUUGCACAAAAACAUCAAGAAGACUAAACAAGUCAGAUGCAGUGUAUUUGUCCAAGCACAAAUUGCAUUUUGUCCUCAACUUUAAUAUUUAUUGAUGAGAAUCAAUACAGGUCCCUCAUUUGUUAUAGAAAGCUUUCUUUCUUGUAGUCUCACCAGUUAAUUCACAGGUCUAUAAUCAUCUUGCAAAGUUAAGGGCAUUUCUUUUGAUCUAAAGUCUUUGCAUCACCACCUCAUCACACGCCAAGCCAAUAUUCCAUUUACCUCUACAACAAAAAGUUUUAAUUAAACAAUCCUAAUGCACGCAGCCAAAUAAAAUGCAGUAAGAAUAUUCAACUUAAAAAUCUGAAAGCCAACUUGGUGAAUUUCCUCCUUAGGUGAAGUUCCAUGCUUUACUAUAGUUGACAGAACUCAGCAAAAGCUUCCAUACAACAGAUUUUGAAAAUGAUGAUGCCAACAGAUACUCAUUCAAUCCAUUGAAACUCCAAAGGUUCAUUGUUCAUAGAAGUUUACAGAGUUUUGGUCAUCAAAUAGCUCAGACCUAAUCCCAAACAAAAAACGAGUGAAAAUUAGAUCACGAGCAGCUAAUUGUAAAUUCUAACAACUCUUCAUCUCCUUUGUAAACAAGAAACAAAAUGGAGACACGCAAAAUGAAUAUGGAGAAAAUUUGAACUCAAAUGAAAUGAGGGCACGAAAGCAAACAAAUGGCAUGCACAAAAAAACCAAGCCUCAAUCAAAAACUAAUUAACCAUUAAGAAAAAAAUUGGUCAGAGAAUGAACUCCAAUUCAGGAGUCAAGCAAGAAGCUUUCAUUAUUUCAGAAGCUCCUGUACAAAUUAAUAAGUUAUGCUCUUUGGAAGCAAACCUAAAUUCCAAGAGAAACAGAACCCAAAAAAAUUUGUAAUUAUACGCAAAGGAAGUGAAGCACAGGAUUCUAUCACACAUAGGAAUUGUAUAACAAGAGAUCGAUAUAUCGAAUUAGAAAACUCAAUUCGAAUUUGUGUCAAAAAUCAAAAAUUUGCAAUUAUAGCGUUCUAUUUAGUGGUAAUGAAUUCUUGGUUUGGGAGUUGCUUAGUUUAAAACGUUUAAAUGUAUUAAGCAUCAUCUUGAAAAGUUUUUCUGCCGUCCAAAAACUUAUGAGCUUCCAAAAGUUGCAAAGCUGUACACAAUGCUUGGAGCUUGUAGACUGUGAUGAUCCAAAGUCAUUUGCCUUGGCAGAGUUGAAGCAUCUUGAAAAACUAGGUUUUUCGAGUUGUGGAAUAUUCAUGUAAGUGAAGUAACCGUCACAAUACUAGUGAAAUUGGGAGCUUUAUUCAUGAGUUUGUGGUUUUGAAAAGUACCACAGUUCAACUGGUGAAGGCUCCGUUUUGGGAUUCUUCUUUUUCUAGGCUGCAAUUAGGAUAUGUACAUGAUAGACAAUCUUUUGUUGGUUUAGCAUAUCUUCGCUGAUUUUGUCUUUUAUUCCCCAAUUUUAUAAUUACACACCAUGAAUGUUGGGUGAUUGUAUAGAAAAUUUGUGUUAUAACAAAAACAUUGUGAAGGAGUUUCUGUGCUAAUUGUUAGUGGCUUCUGUUUUAUUGGCAUUGAUUGGGUAGAUUACGUGUUACAGUGAUUCAAUUUGUGUUCCAAACUUUGCUUUAAUUUUCUGUUUUCCCCAACUAUUUAUGUCAAAUUUAAAUCCAGAAGCAUGUACUGAUUUUUUCUUUUUGUAUUAAUCUGUGAAGUUUAUUUGGAAUGGAAGUAACUGGGUCGGGUCUAAUGGAUUAAAUUAUGACAUUGAGGGGAAGGCACUAAAAGGGUUUGCUUGACACAUUUGGUUCUGUGUUUACUCUGCAAGAAAUAACUUUUGCUUAUUGCAAUGCAGGGGGAAAUCCCGAUUUGGCUGGUGAAUUUCUCUGCAACAAACAGGCAAACACCUCAACAUCUUCUGUCCAUACUUCUGCUGGGGAGGCAAGGGGUAAAGAGUCUUCAAAAUCAUCAAAUAGUUACAUCUCUGAGAAUUCAUUUUAUGGAAAUGGAAAAUCUAGAGUUUCUAAUACAAAAUGGCAUCUGGUAUCAGGACGUACCGUUUCAAGUUUUCUUGGUAAAGAUUAUGUUAAACCUGCACAGCCAGCUAAUGGCACUUUUCUGGCAUCAAAGCCAUUGAAGUUGGAUCCAAGGGAGUUUCGCAUUUCUGCACUUUCAGAGAAGAAACUAAACCGAAACAAUCAAAGGAUGACCAUUUGCAGAAGGAUAUGGAAGAUUUUCUUUUUAAAUUGCUAGGAGAAGGGUUCCAGCUGUACAGGGAUGUGAUUCAGGAGGUUCAUGGUAACGUCUUAAAUAUAUUGAUGCCAAUUUAAUACAUAUUGUCCUUUUCAAUGUUCUUUCUUUCUUUCUCCUCUUUUUAUUCUUCUUCUUCUUCUUUUUUCUUUUCAUGUGCAUGUGAUCACUAAUUUGGUAUUAUUCUUGACUUGCAGAUAGUUGUGGAUAUGAAAUGCAAAAAGGUAAGGGCUAUAUCUUCUUGAUGGAGGCCUCUGAUUUUUUAAAUCGCAUUUUCCUUUGUGAUUGAUAUAUCAUACCAAAGUCAAGUCUUAAAUACUGCUGUCAUAUGUUAAGGUUCAACUUCCAUUUUGAUUAACGUCGAUUUGCUACUGCUUCCAAAAGUGAGAAUGAGAUACUUUGGUUAAUUUCAGUAGUUGAACUCAAUAGAAUACUUUAUUUAGAUCUUCAUGGUUCAAAGGCCUGAAAAAGCUUGCCGGUAUUUGCAAAAUGACAUCUGUGCUUUUAUUUAGACUUAUUAUUAAAGACAACAUUUUAUUUCAGCCAAAAAUGUUUGUUUCAAUUAAAGACUUGAACCAUUUUCAUUUAACCUGAUUGUGAUGCUUUACAUUAUGCAUGUUCCUCUCAAUCAAUAAAAGUUGAGGUCAUGAUUUUAUAUUUCUAUUUUGUAACUUGAAAUAAUUGGUCUGCCUGUUUCUGUUGCUUGAUAACAUGAAUUUUUCCUUCUGAAGUUAAUUUGAUCAAUAAAGUAAUUCUUCGGAGAGGAUAUGCCCAUUCUAUAGUCAUUUUCUUAGCUAACAUGUUUUUUCUUCACUCUUCAGAGCAUGUCUAAACUAAUUGAUCGCUCAGCGGAGACUUUGGGUGAGAAGACAAAAUUUCUUGGUAAAUCCUCUGAAAAGGUAUGCAUAAUUCCCGAGUAUUAAAUAAUCAUUGGUCAUAAUUUUUGUACACGACUCUUUUUUUGGAGAUCGUUAAAAGUGGUUGAUGAUCUAUUUUGUAAUAUCAGAGAGGGAUCAUGAAUUCUUUUCUUUUCUGUGGCUAGGCAACACUUUCGAGCCAAGCUAAGGAAAUCUAUUUUAGGUAAUGUGAAAACCAGUUGUAGGAUGUAAUAGUUUAUUAUGCCCUGACAAUAACUUUUUGUAUAAUUGUCAGUUUAAUGAAUACAAGAGGAACUCUGUUGGCAAGUUCAUCCAUGAUAGAUGCUAAAAUUAUUUAUGCAUACCAGUUGCCUUAACUAAUUUUUCUCAACACUGGUAUUGAACAGGAAAAUGAAUAUGCAAUUUGUAUAUUGUGCCAUUGUGGAGAAUUUGGAUAUUCUUAUUUAAGUAACAAGGAGAGUAUUUGCCUCAUCUUUAAACAAUGAAUCUUUGAGAAAUGAGGAGUGGGUGAUUGGCAGUGUCUUCAUGUAAAUGUUCAUUUACUUGUAUUUUGAACUAUUAUGAGAAUCUUUGUAUGCCAAAUUAGUAAUACAAAUGUUCAGAUGAUUUUUCCUGUUGAUCAUGCGUGUGUAUCUGCACACAACCAUUGUGUACCACUUUAUUCUGAUGCACAAAUAUCUGUAGUUUAGAAGAAAAGAAAUAAUAAUCAUAUAUUAUUGCUUGGUUCAUGAUUAUUAAAUGAUUAUGGCUUUAGAAAAUCCACAAAUCCUUUGUGUUCAUUUAUGAAUGUGCGAAGUUCGCUAUAUCUUAGAUUACCUUCUUCCAAGAUAACAAGUUCAUAUAUUUUUUUUAAUCCUUUUUCAUCACAGUUGAAUUUCAAGUGUAAGUUUUGUUAUUAAUAGCUGGUUUCCUGUUAUUAUGAUUUCAUAAACAAUGAGAGGAUAUGUGCUCUACUUUUGGAGGGCCUCCACAUAAAAGAAAAUUGCAACAAUUGAAUUCUUCUGGAGGGUAUGGUAUUUAAUUUAUUUUCUCAGCUUGUUGUAAGACUAAUAUAUUUCCUUCAGUACGCACGGCAUGGUGGGAAGGGUUUUUAUUGAAAGAAUUAUGAUAUUUCUUAGACUUUGUUUUGGAAGGGGGUGGAGGGAUUUCUCAUCCAUAUAUGGUUACUUGAUUAGCUUUUGACUGUAUUGUCUCCGUCGUGCAAAGGAAAAUCCAAAUACUAACGAAGGGGAAUUGGUUAGGCACCCAAAGGACAGAAAUGAAUUACGGAAGGAAGUUUUUGCUGCUUUAUUUAGUGCUGCUGAGAAAUCUGAUGAAUUUCCUGAAAUUACGGUGAAGACGGAGUGGAGGUCCAACGCAUUAGGAAAGGUGGUGAGAGAACCGCCAGAGGAAUUAGUACCAGAAUACAAGGCUAAUGUGGUGCACUGGCAGCAAGAUGACCAGACCUGUAUGUGCUCUUAUAUUAACUAUAUUGGCUGGAUUUGUGAGUGUGUACAUUUUUGUGUGUAUACUCACUUUUGUAUUUAUGCAUAUUCACGUGUGUAGGAUUCUCGAUUUCUGCCACUUACUGGAGAACUAGUGGAAAGCUUUAUACUGAUAUAUGUGCUAUAUAACUAAUGGAAACUACAAUAUGAAUAUUUUCUCUCACCUGGAGAGCAGUGUAACUGAUAUAAUUUGUGGCUCUGGAAUACUGAAGAUUCUGCAAUAACUAAUGGAAAAUAUGAUAUGAAUAUUUUUUCUCACCUGGAGAACUUUGUAACAGAUACAUUUUGUGCUGGAAUGUCUAAAGAAUGCUUCAGUUUAGAUCAAAUAUCUUUUAGUUAGAAAAGAUAAAAUUCUCUGAAUCUGAAAGACUGAAACAUUUUGCAUAUUUCGUGAAAGGCAAGUAUCUGUAGAUACUAGCUCAUGCAUUGAGGUAAUAUCAAUGUUAAAGAAAAACAGCAAUAAUUUAUUAUACAGAAUUAGGUUCACUUGCUUUAAAUGCUGGUCUGAUCAACCAUAUCAACCUGUAAUGGUCCUGCAGAAAUAUAUAUACGGGGAGAAACUAGCUAAUUUUCCUUUCACUUAUGGGUUUGGUCUUUUUUUCCCCAAUUUUUCAGCUUUCCUUCUCCUGAAGUAUGUUAACAAUUGCAGAUAAUGGCGAAGAGGACCGCUUCCAGGCUACCGGCAAAAACUUUGUGAAAGCUUUGGAGUUAAACAGGGAAUUCACUUACUGCUAAGGACAAUUGGUGGCGAGCUAUUUCAUUCAUUUUAUGUCCAUACAUCUAUUUAAUUAUUAAAGAUAAUGUACGCAUUUGUAAAUUUCAGAUUGCGUGUCUCUGAAAAUAACAAUAUUUAAAAUGUCUCUUAAAUUAUUAUAAAUUUUAAUUUACUCUCGAUUUAAAAUGGAACAUGUUGGUGAAAUAUUUUUUCUUCUUAAUAAAAUUGAAAUAAAUUAUGUUAGCAGUAGUUUGAAAUAUUUUAAAGAUGAUUAUUUUAUAAGGGAGUAAUAUGAAAUGAAAUUUACUUUUCAUGCGUGAAAUGUUGAAAAAGGACAAAGCAAGUGUCCCUGCUUUUAUUUUAUUUCAAAGUGGAGUCAUCUCACAUACUUUAGCUCUAUCAUUAGGAGCCGGCUAAGUUACGUUAAACGUAACUUACGCCAGGCACAACAACAGUGACAAGUCCCAUCACUAGCACUGUUGCUGUGUUUGGCGUAAGUUACGUUUAACGUAACUUAGCCAAAGCCCUAUCAUUAAUAUAUAUUUAAAUUUAACACAUGCAUGUGGGUUACUUUUCCGUAAGUUCCUUAAUAUAUAUUUAACACAAAUCAUGGAAGAGAUGGGAGUAUAUCAAGAUGAUCAAAGCAUGAAACAAAAAUAUUUAAGAAGUAAAACACUGAAAAUGGAGAAGAGAUGCAAGCAAAAGAUAUUCUAAAGAAAAGCAAUCUAUCCCCUUUCGAGGGUAAACUUACCAGGUUUAAGAAAAGUACAUGCUUUGGAUUGGUAGUUGCAGCCUUGCAGGAUAAUUGUUUUUGCCACUAUAUUAGUUGGAGGAGUUGAACCCAGUGAAGAAUGUUAUGGAAGAGCAAAUGAUAUUUCUGAUAGACUCUAUUUGAUUAUGUAGCCUGAAUAGAUGUCUUGUUGAAAGAUAUAUCAGUGCAUUAGUUCAUCCUUGUCUGUCAAUGUGUUUUUAAUGGUUUUUCCAAUUGUUUAUUGCUAUAGAUUGAUUGUAAAUUGAUGUGAACUUAAUGUUGAAAUAUUUUCUCUUUAGUGAAAUGAAAGUUAAACAUUCAAUAUUAGAUUAUUCAAGGUCCACAUAGUAUGUGUUCCGUUGUGUUGUCUGUAAUUUUGCAUUUAAAUAAAUUUGAGUGCUGCCGUUUCGCUCCCACAAUCUCUCGCCUUUUUUUAAUUUUAAAAAUUAAAAUAUUAAUAAAAAACAAUAAAGAAAAUCGAAUCCUUUAUGUCAUUCCAUCUUUACAACUCUCUCUCACAAACUCCAUCUAACAGACUUCUCUCUUACUAUCUCGGUCGAACAAGACCAGUGACAAUGAUGACACGACCGCCGACGAUGAGAUGGUCAUCGCUAAAGAAUCGGGCCGUGUAUUUUACAAUUUCUUGGUUUGUGUUGGUGUAAGGAUUUGCAGGAGCAAUUACUGCCUAGCCAAGCCCUUGAAACUUUGGUCAAAAUUAUUGUUAUUAUUACUUUUAGAGGAAAAACUUUUAUUAAAACCUCAUUAACACAAUUCUUAAUUAAAAUUAUAAGUUUGUGUUGGUGUAAGGAUUUGCAGGAGCAAUUACUGCCUAGCCAAGUGUCAAAAGCACAAAAUAAAUCAAGAGAAAGUAGACAUGAAUUAGGAUCCAAUGAAAUUUAAAUCCCGGACAAAAGAAAUAAUCAUGCAGAUUAUCAAGAUUUCAAUAAGGGAUAUUGAUAUCCUAUUUUGAUUAAUAAUAUCCUUUUACUGUGUUAACUCAAAAAAUAUGUAUAUUCUAAUAUUUUACAAUAAAUAGAAAUCUAAUAUUAAAAUAAAUGUGAUAUAUAUAUAUAUAUAUAUAUAUAUAUAUAUAUAUAUAUAUAUAUAUAUAUAUAUAUAUAUAUAUAUAUAUAUAUUAAAUAAUUUAAAUAUAAAAAAUAUUUUAAUGUUUUACAAUCUACUACACAUAUUUUAUUAAGUUAAUAUAAUUUUUCAAAUAAAUAGGGACAUAAUAUUAAAAUAAAUUUAUAAAAAUUUAAAUUAUUUUGAAUUUAAAAUAAUUUUAAUAUUAUUAAUAUGUUAGAUAUGUUUGAUUAAUUAUAAAAAUUAUUUAAGCAAAUUUUUUUAAUAUUUUCAGUAGAUAUAAAUAUAUUACUUACAUUUUGAUUAUUUAACUAUUAUUAUUCUACAAUUAUUUAUAUAAUGUUUGCACUUAUUAGAAUAUAUUUAAAGUCAAAUCUUUUGCACUUCUACCUAGCUAGAAUUAUUGCACGCAGAGAAAUAAGCAUAUAUGCUUUAUAACUUUAGAAAUCGAAUUAUCUAUACAAAUUGAUUUUAGCUGGAAAAAAAGUGAGCUGAAUGAUAUAGGCGAUUAGUGUGGUAAUAUUUCAUAGAGUUAGACUAUUGAAUUUGGCACCCCUCCAAUCUUCUCAUGAUUACCUUUUUGAGUUAUUAAUACACUUCUAAUUUUUCGUUUAAUUUUUUUUAUUGUUAUACUCAAAGUAGUAUUGUGAUAUUUUAUAUUUCUUUUGCAAUCUUAUUAUUAUUUUACACAAAAAUUAAAAAGUUUUCUAGGUGAUGAACUUUUGAGUUUUGAACAUUAAUCAUUGGCUUAAAUUUCAUAUAUUUUACAUUAUAAUUUGAAAUUAAGUACGAAAAUAUUUAAUAAAUUAUGAAAAGAUUAACAUAUUAUUCUAAAUUGAUACAACUUAUUUUAGUUAAAUAAAAAGUAACAGGUAAAAAAAAAAAGGAUUGGUUAUGAAAUUUGUUGGAAAAAAAUAUGUGUGUGUUUAAUUUUUAUUUGUCCUUAAUUGUAAUUUAUUUGAAGUGAGGUUUUAUAAGGAUAAUGAAGGGGUGCCAUAGUUUCACUCUAUUUCAUAUGGAGAGAGAAGUAAAAGGUACACCUGAGGUUAAUGGAAAGGACUUCGAAAGUUUCUUUUGAUUAUAAUACUGUUUGUUCUAAUUAACUUAAAAAAUUUUACUUUAAUAUUUUAUAAUAAAUUAAAUUUUAAUCUUAAAAUAAGUAUAAUCAUAUAUUUUAAAAUAAUCUUAAAAUAAAUACAAUCAUAUAUUUUAAAAUAAUCUUAAAAUAAAUACAAUCAUAUAUUUUAAAAUAAUCUUUAUAUUUAAAAUUUAUUUAUUUGUACAUAUUUUAUAUAAAUUUUAUAAUAAAUAUAACACAUACUAUUAAAAUAAUAUAUAAAAAAUUAAAGUAUUUUGAAUAUUAUAUAAAAUAACUUUAAGAUUCUUAAUAUGUAAGAUAUAUUUUAUUAAUUUAAAAUUCUAUUUAAAAUUUUAUUAAUUUAAAAUUCUAUUUAACCCAAAGAUUUAUUUAAGAUAAAUUAAUAAUCAUAUUUUUUAAAUCAUUUCAAAUAUUAAAAAAUAUUUUGAUAUUACUAGUCUAUUAAAUAGAUUAAAUAUUUUUAUUAUUUUGUACUAAUCAAAAGUUACAGCUCGAAUGAUAUUAUGAGAAAACAGAAUUUUUAUGUCUUUAUUAAAAAUUUGGGUUUGUAUAAUUAUUUUUUCAAAUGUUAGGGGCAUAGCUGUCUUUUUACUUUUAUAUAUGUGAACCGCGGUGGUGAAAAAGUGUGAUUUAAUAUUUGUUAUUUAAAUAAUAUCUGAAUUAAAGAUGUACAGAGAAGAAAUUUCGGUGGGCAUUUUAGUCUUUUAACGAUUAUCAUGAUUAGGGAUUAGGUCCUGCUCUUGAAACGUUGGUCAGAAAAGUUCUAAAAUGCGUACAUUAUCUUUACUUUAAAAAAGUUAUUUUAUUUUAUUACAAAUUAAUGCCGACAAGAAAAAGCAAGAUCUUUAAAAUUCCACAAACGUAAUAUUCCGCAAAAGAUUAUUGCACACAGAGAAAUAAACAUAUAUACUUUAUAACUUUAGCAAUCGAUUCUUUUAGAGCUGGAAACAGAGAUGAUGAUUAUCAUAAAGAUGAAGAAAAGGGCAAAAAAAUAUUAAUGAUUAACGAAAUCUCUAUCCAAAUUGAUUUUAGCAGGAAAAAAGUGAGCUAAAUGAUGUAGACGAUUAGUGGUAAUAUUUCAUAGAGUUAGACUAUUGGCACCCUUCCAAUCUUCUCACGAAUCCUCUUUUUGAGUUAUAUUUAUUUUAUUUUUAAAAUAUCUUUUUUCUCUUUUACUACACUUCUAAUUUUUCAUUUAAUUUUUUUAUUGUUAAACUCAAAGUAGUAUUGUGAUAUUUUUAAUUUCUUUUGCAAUCUUAUUAUUACUCUGCAUAUAAAUUAAAAAGUUUUUUAGGUGAUGAAUUUUUGAAUGUUAAUCAUUAGCUUAAAUUUCACAUAUUUUACAUUACAAUUUGAAAUUUAAUAUGAAAAUAUUUAAUCAAUAAGAAUUAUGAAAAGAUUAAUAAAUUAUUCUAAAUUUAUACAACUUAUUUUAGUUAGAUCAGAAGUAGCAGGUUAACAAAAGAAAGGAUUGGUUAUGAAAUUUGUUGGAAAAAAAUCUAUGUGUGUUUAAUUUUUAUUCGCUGUUAACUCUAAUUAAGUAGGUUAAAUAUUUUUGUUAUUUUUUACUUAUCAAAAAAUUUAAGAUCAAUAUUUUUAGUUACCAUUCGAAGGAUAUUAUGACAAAAACAGAAUUUUCACGUCUUUGUUAAAAAUUUGGGGGUUUGUAUAACUAUUUUUUCAAAUGUUAGGGGCAUAUCUGUCUUUUUACUCUAUAUAUAUAAACCAUGGUGGUGAAAAAGCGUGAUUUAAUGUUAUUUAUUUAAAUAAUAUCUCAAUUAAAAAUGUAAGGAGAAGAAAUUUCGGUGGGCAUUUUAGUCUUUUAACGAUUAUCAUGUUUAGGCCCUGGUCUUGAAACGUUGGUCAGAAAAGUUCUAAAAUGCGUUCAUUUGUCUUUACGCCAACAAUAAAAAGCAAGAUCUUAAUGUUCCACAAAAGCAAAUCGUAAUAUUCCGCAAUGGAGUUAGAUCCGCAAAAGCAAACAAAUUCUUUUAUUAAACUACAAAUUAAAGUGGAAUCGUUUACUAAACAUCAAAUUAAAGUUCAAAUAUUUAAAUAGUAGUGCGUUAGACGAUUAGAGACUCUUAUUAAAGGCAAGUAUAAAGUAGUGAAGAAUCGAAUAUUUCUAUUGUCUAGUCUUUUUUUUUUUAAAUUUUUCUUCUAUUACUUUUCAAAAUAGUUUUUGGUGAUUAUAAUCGGGUUAUUAUUCAGAGUUAUUGUUAUCUUCCGGGGCAGUUUCUGUUCAUCGAAUUCGUUAAUAAAAUUUUAAAACUCUUAUUGAAAGAAUGUUUUUCCGUUAUCUUUUUUAUAAUCUAAUUUUAAGUGUAAGAAGUAGUCAUUUUAGAAUUUGGGUCUUGAAUCGAAUUUCAAUGCAUGAAUUAAUAUUUAAAAAAAAUUUACUACAUGCAGUUUAGGUUACAAACUAUUUUUUGCAAAGUUGACUAUGAAAUUGGAGAAAUUAAGUAAUUUAUAAUGUUUGCAAAGAAAGAGACUAACAUACUUCCAAUUACACUAUAUCUCAAUUAUCAUAAUGUUAAGAUUAAACUAACUUAAAAUAAAAUUUAUUUAAAAAGUUUAUCAAACGCAGUCUAAUUUUAUUAACUUGAAGAGAUAAUAGUUAUAGAAAUUAUUAUUCUAACUUGAUUAGUACAAGUGGUAUAAAGGUUAAGUGUGCACUAAAUCUAUUUAAAUUUUUUUCCAGUAUAACUAACAGAGGUCAUUACUAGAAUUAUAUUACUAGUCUAUUAGAUAGAAAAAAUUAUUUAUAUUGUUUUAUAUUUAUUAAAAAAAUUUAAAGUCAAUCUUUUUAAUUACUAUUUAAAGGAUAUUAUAAUUAAAAAAAUUUUAAUGUCUUCAUUAAAAAUUUAAAAAUUUAUAUGACCGUUAUCUAAAUAUUUAAAGUGUAACUGUCAUUUUCUCAUAUAUAUAUAAUUUCAUCUAACCCCUUAUACUUUAUGUUAUUUAUAUUUUAUUCAUGAAUAUUAUAAAUUUUUUGAAAUAUAAAAUUUCAUUUAACCCCUUAUACUCAAUUUUAUUUUAUUAAAACCCUAGAGUAUGAAUUCGCCCCUAUAAUAUUAAAUUCUCAAAAUAACCUCUAUUUAAUUAAAAAAUAUAAUUAUUGUUAAAUGAAUUAUAAUUAUUAUUAUUAUGUUAUUAUAAUCAUAAAAAGCGAGAUCAUAUUCCACAAAAGCAUAAGUGACAAAACAACCAACUGGAUUCUUUUAUUAAUCAACAAAUUGUAUAGUCUUUUUCAAAUUGUUAUAAAUUGGUGGCCCCUACAAUCCUCAAUAAUUGUACCGAUAUUCACAAGUUGGUGGCCCCUACAAUUCUGUUCCGAUAAUUUAACUGUGCAAGUGCUCAUUCACAAUCUUCCAGGUCAUGCUCUUAAUAAUUGUUUUUUCUUUUCUGCACUCCCUUUCAUGCUCUUAAUAAUUGAAGAGCAUACUUUUCAAAUGUGAAGCCGCAUCUAAUGUCGCUAAUUUAAUUUGGGAUUAAAUUACGGGACUAUUAUAUUGCAGUGUGCACUAAUUUUUAUGUUUAUCUAAACUCUUCAAAUUUAAAACAUAUUAUGGCAUAAAUAAGAAUGUAACAAUAACAAAAGAGUAAGAAAGUGUAGAGAAAAUCUUGCAGAAAUAUAAAUAAUAUUUAUUUUUAAAAUAAUAUUAAUAUUUAAAAUAAUUUUUAAUAUUUUAUGGUCCAUUAGAUAUAUUUUAUUAUAUUAAAAUAAAUUUUAUAAUAAAUAAAAACAUACUAUUAAAAUGAAUAUAUAGAAAAUUUAGAGUAUUUUAAGUAUUAUAUAAAAUAAUUUUAAUAAAAUAUGUGAGAUAUUCAUAUUUUAUUAAUUUAAGAUACCAUUUAACCUAAAGAUUUAUUUAUGAUAAAUUAAUAAUUAUAUUUUUGAAAUUACUUCAAAUAUUAAAAAAAAUUAAUAUUACUAAUAUAUUAGAUAGAUUAAAUUAUAUAUAUUAUUUUUACUUAUUAAAAAAAUUUUAAAAUUAUUUUUAAUUACUAUUCAAAAAACAUAUUCAAAAAACAUAAUGAUAAAAAAAUCUUAACAUCUUUAUUAAAAAAUUAAAAACUUAUAUGAUAAAUUCUCUAAAUAUUUACGGUAUAUGUGAACCACGGUGGAGAAGCUUUAUUUAAUAUUAUUGAUUUAAAUAAUAUGUCAAUUAAAAAUGUACAGAGAAGAAAUUUCGGUGGGUAUUUUAGUCUUUUAAGCAAUUAUCAUGAUCAGAUCAGCCUUUAGCCUUCAAACGUCGGUCAUAAAAGUUUUAAAAUUAAUGCUAAAUUGUUUUUCACUUUUAACGUUGGUGGCCUUGAAAUUGCUUGUAUUUUAUUAAAAAUUAAUGCUAACAAGAAAAAGCUAGGUCAUAUUCCACAAAAUCAAAAGUGACAAAACAACCAGCUGGUUUCUUUUACUAAACUACAAAUUAAAAUAAAUUUUUUCGAUAAAUUACAAAUUAAAGUGGAUUCUUUUGAAUACAAAUAGGACAGACGAUUAGGCUCUUUUUAUUAGAGGCAAGUAAAAACUAGUCAAGAAUCGAACAGUCUUUUUCCAAUUCUUGUUUUAUUAUUUUUCAAAACUAGUUUUUGGUAAUUACAACCGGGUCAUUAAUCAUUAUUCAGAGUUACUGUUAGUCUAUUAUCUUCGGGGGCAGUGGGUAAAAGAUAAUUACUAACUGUUUUUCCUUCAAAAGUUAGCGGCUCAUGUUUGCAAGUGUGAAUGUGCGAUGCUCUUUUCUUAAAGGCCAUUACAGUGGGGCCCGAAUCAGACGUGCCUAAAUCUUUUUAAAAUUUUUGCCGUAUAACGAACAGAGGUCAUUACUAAAAUUUCUCUUCCACAGCCUACAGCAGCUUCAGUUUAUCAAACUCCAUCAAUUUUCUUUCUUAACAAAAUUCCAAAGAUGUGUAGCAUUUUUCAGAUCACAUGCGACGGUGCUCUUUUCAAUCGUUGCUUGGAUUGCUUUCUUGGAAAAGCAGCAUACAUACGUAACCUCCAAGAUAAUCUUGUAGCCUUGGAGACUGAAUUGGGAAAUCUAAUCGCAAUAAAGAACGAUCUGAUGAGGAGGGUUGACGAUGAUGAACGGAAACAAAUGAUAAGGCUGGAAAGAGUGCAACGGUGGAUUUCGAGGGUGGAUGCUGUUAAAACUGAAGCUGAUCAAUUUAUAGGAGACCGCUCUCAAGAAAUUGAAAAAUUAUGUGUUGGAGGCUACUGUUCCAAGAACUGCAGGUCAAGCUACAAGUUCGGAAAACAAGUGGCUAAAAAGCUACAAGAUGUGAAGACUUUAAUCGCCGAGGGAGUUUUUGAGGCGGUGGCUACUGAGGUGGUGGCUGAGAGAGCUCCGGAACCUGUAGCAGAUAAAAGACCCAUUGAGCCAACAAUAGUAGGCUUGCAAUCACAGCUUGAACAAGUUUGGAGAUGUCUUGUAGAAGAAUCAGUGGGAAUCAUUGGCCUAUAUGGUAUGGGUGGUGUUGGUAAAACCACACUAUUGACCCGUAUCAACAAUAAAUUUCUUGAGAGUCAAAACAACUUUGAUUGUGUGAUUUGGGUCGUAGUUUCAAAAGACCUGCGGCUUGAAAAAAUUCAAGACGAUAUUGGGAAGAAGAUAGGUCUGUCUGAUGAUUCAUGGAAGAAUAAAAGUUUUGAAGAGAAAGCUGUGGACAUCCUGCGGAGAUUAGGAGAGAAGAGAUUUGUAUUGUUGUUAGAUGAUUUAUGGGAGCGGGUUGAUUUAACAAAAGUGGGCGUUCCACUUCCCAGCGCACAAAAUACUACCUCAAAAGUCGUAUUCACAACCCGUUCCAUUGGUGUUUGUGGCAGCAUGAGAGCUAGGCCGGUUAAAGUGGCAUGCCUAUCAGAAAAGCAAGCUUGGGAACUGUUCCGCGAAAAUGUUGGGGAAGAAACUCUUGAGAGUGAUCAUGAGAUCGUUGAGCUAGCCCAAACUGUGGCCAAAGAGUGUGGUGGUUUGCCACUCGCACUUAUUACUAUUGGUCGAGCUAUGGCCUUCAAAAAGACAGCCGAGGAGUGGAGUCAUGCAAUUGAUGUGCUAAGAACAUCAGCUUCUGAGUUUGCAGGUUUGGGAGAGAAGGUGUAUCGUCUUUUAAAGUUUAGCUAUGAUAGUUUGCAGAAUGAGACCAUUAGAUCUUGUUUCUUAUAUUGUUGUUUAUAUCCCGAGGAUUAUGGCAUUCUUAAAUGGGACUUGAUUGAUUGUUGGAUUGGUGAGGGAUUCUUGGAGGAAUCUGACAGGUUUAGUGCAGAAAACCAAGGAUACUACAUUGUGGGCACUCUUGUUCAUGCGUGUUUGCUAGAAGAGAUGGAAGAUGAUAAAGUAAAAAUGCAUGACGUUGUUCGUGAUAUGGCUUUAUGGAUAGCUUGUGAAAUUGAGAAGGAGAAGAGAAACUUUUUGGUUUGUGCAGGUGCUCGAUUAGAAGAGGCACCGGGUGUUAAAGAAUGGGAAAAUGUGAGAAGAUUGUCAUUGAUGCAAAACCAAAUUGAAACUGUGUCAGAGAUUCCCGCAUGCCCUCAUCUCCAUACUCUAUUUCUUGCCUCUAAUAGGAAUUUCAGGAUGAUCACGGAUGGCUUCUUUCAAUUUAUGCCUUCUCUCAAAGUUUUGAAGAUGUCACGCUGUGGGCAAUUCGAAGGUUUUCAAUUACCUGUUGGGAUGUCAGAGUUGGGUUCAUCACUAGAACUUCUUGAUAUUUCACAUACCACCAUAAGAGAGUUACCCGAAGAGUUAAAGUUGCUGGUAAAUCUGAAAUGUUUGAAUUUGAGGUGGACAGGUGCGUUAAUUAGAAUUCCACGGGGACUAAUAUCAAAAUUUUCAAGGUUACGUGUGUUGAGAAUGUUGGGUACUGGCGGGUUCAUUUUUUAUGAAGCACCAGAAGACAGCGUUUUAUUUGGUGGGGGUGAAGUUUUGAUACAGGAAUUGCUCGGUUUGAAAUAUUUAGAGGUAUUGGAGUUGACCUUGGGAAGUUAUCAUGCUCUCCAAAUUGUUUUGAGCUCAAAUAAGUUAAAAAGUUGUAUUCGAUCUCUUUACCUCUAUUUGACCGGAGAUAAAAAGUCGAUUAUUGAUGCUACGGCUUUCACAGACCUAAACCACCUCAAUGAAUUAUGGAUUGAUAAUGGAAUUGAGUUGGAAGAAUUGAAGAUUGAUUAUACGGAGAUAGUACGAAAAAGGCGGGAACCUUUUGUUUUCCACAGCCUUCACCUUGUUACGAUAUAUAGUUGCCAUAAAUUGAAAGAUUCGACAUUCCUCGCUUUUGCUCCAAACCUCAAGUCUCUUUCGCUAUUCAAAUGCCGUGCUAUGGAAGAAAUAAUCAGCGUCGGAAAAAUUGCUGAGAAUCCUGAGAUGAUGGGACAUAUAAGCCCUUUUGAAAAUCUCAAAAGUCUUGAUCUAUCAUAUUUGCCGGAGUUGAAGAGCAUUUUCUGGAAGCCAUUGCCUUUCACUCAUCUCAAAGAAAUGGGGGUAAGAGCAUGUGAUCAGCUUAGAAAGCUUCCACUCGAUUCCAACAGUGCAAAAGAGCGUAAAUUUGUAAUUCGUGGAGAAGAAGACUGGUGGAACCGACUUCAAUGGGAGGAUGAAGCCACUCAAAUUGCUUUUCGUUCCUGUUUCCAACCUGAUUCCUGAGCGGUGGUCGCAAAAUUUGAUUUCUGGUGAGUGCGUUUGUCUUUUAAAAGAAGAAUUUAAAAGAAAUUUAUUCUUGACGUUUUCUUCACUGUUUUUAUUUCAGUCUCUCUCUCUCUCUUUUUGUCUUCUGCUAAUCACAAUUAAAUGUUGAAUUAAUGGAAUUAAUGCUUCAUAAAUUUGCCGGCACUGCCAUUACUUUUUUUUUUUUAAUACAAAUUGAUACUUUAUUUAUAUCUUCUUAGCGAUUUAAUUUCCUGUCAAUUGACGAACGAGAAGAACAUAUGACUUAAACCAAUGCUCGCAUAAACUUGCUGUAAAAAGAUAUAAUCUCACUGAAAUGCACACGCCUAGAAUGAAAAGAAUUAAAAUAGGGAAAAUAUUAAGUAUAUUAGCCCUCUUUACCGAAAAUCAAAUGACAAUAAAUUUUUUGAAGUUUUGAUUUUCUAUGGUCAAUUCCACCUUUUGCAAUUUCUUCUGUUCUAACAAAAACCAAUUUCUUCUGUUCUAACAAAAACCAAUUUCUUUGUUCAAGUAUUUUCGUUUGGGUAUUAAUAAUUCUCCACCGAAAGAGUGAACUCUUGCUCAAGGGAUCUCUAAUCAAUAGCCGGAAGGGCGCCGAGACCUGAUCGGACCUAGGCCCAAGUUUGGUCUUAAACCCUGGGCUUGAGCCUGGCAAUUAAAUUAAAACAUUAAUUGAUUUCUUGAUUGAAUUGUCGUGUAAUUGAUUUAUGGGGGAUGACACAUCAACAUACUUGAAAAUACACUAAUCUCAGCAUCAUCGGUUAAUAACUUUUAGAUUUAUGGGUAAUCAAUAGUUAAGAUUAGUUAUCAUUAAUACUAAAUAAUUUUUACUUUUUUUUGUCUCUUCUAGAGGAUCUUCUAGAAAAAUGCAUCCACAAUUAAAUUUAAUACUUUACAUAAUAAACAAAGCAUAAAUGUUAAAUUUAAGAAACUGCAUUGUAUUUCAGCUGAAGUUGACUUUAAUAUUUAGGGUAGAAAAAAUUAAAUCCUUAAUGUGUUUAAUUUGUAUCACUUGUGUCAUUAAGAUUUUCUAGUCACCCUAACCAAUUACAUCUCAACCCACUUUUUUUUGGAUGAUUUUAUUUUUACACUAUUAUUUUCAACAUUUUUUUUCCUUUUAACACCAACAUUAGUGUAUGUUACGUAACAUAAUUCAUAUUUGGAUAAUUUGAAAUUUGUUUGUGUUUUAUCUCAAAAUAGAGCUUCAAUCAAUUUGUACCUCAUAAAUUCACAAUAUCUAUGAGGGCUAAUAAGACCAAACUCUGGCAUAUUGUCAAAUGUGCUUAUCCUUUUGCUUGACAUGUCAUUUUAAAAUUGUCAUUCAAUGCCAAAAAAUCACAUCAACUAAUGGCCGACUACUUUAAUUUGAAAGCAUGCAUGCGAUCGCCAAUAAUUAUAACUUAAUUGUUAUUUUGAAAUUUUUUUCUUUAUAAUUUUUAAGUUUAAUACUACUACAUGUGCAGCACAUAAGUUGGAAAAUAUAACAUAAAAUUUGAAAAAUGUGUAGCUUUCGUUCCUUUUUUUUCUUAAAAAUGGGAAAAAAGAAUGUAGUUUUGUUUAAAUUACUGUUGUGAUUACAAUUAUUAUUUUAUUGAUUAAUUGGCAGAGAAUCGUAAUGGUUUUGCAUGGUUGUUAAAACAUUGGAAAAUCCACUACAUCAUCCGUUAAUAACUUUCAGAUUUAUGAUUAAUCAAUAGUUGAGAUUUGUUAUCAUUAAUGCUAAAUAUUUUUUUAAUAUUUUCUCUCUCUCUUAGAGGAUCAUCCAAAGUAAAAAUUUAAUAUUAUAAAUAGUAAACAAAGUAUCAACGUUAAAUCGAAGAAACUGCAUUGCAUUUCAACUGAAGCUAACUUUAAUAUUUAAUGGAGAAAAGUAAUUAAGUCCUUAAUGUGCUUUAUUUACCCAUAUAUAUGGCUAAUUUUUUAAGAUAAAGGGGAAGGAUGAUGCUCAAAAAUAUAAAUUAUAGAAUUAGUUGAACUCUCAAGUAAGUUUAAAGUUCAUUAUUUUUAAUUACAUAUUUAUAAUUUAUUUUAUUUCGUAUUAAUCUAUAGAUCUAAAUCCACUUUGGAUUCAUAUACAUAUAUAGACAUAAUGUGUAUGUUAAUCUAUAGGUCUAAAUUCACUUUAGGUCUAUAUGGGUAUUUUGACAAAUGUACUCCAAUCAUGCAUAUUGGUAAAUUCUAACUACUAUAUUGGUAUGUCAAUAUUAUCUCUAAUUGCCCUAUACAUUCAGAAAUAAUCUAGAUAUACAAAUUAACAUAAAAUAAAAAUAAUUGGUAGAAAAUACAAAUUAUAAACAUGUAAUUAAAAAUGAUAAACUUUAAAUUUACUUAAGAGAGUAAUUAAUUUCAUAGUUAAAAUCUUUAAAUUUUACCCCUCAUCUUAACUUAAGAAAAUUAAUCACUUAUUUUAUUUAACAAAGAAGAGAAUUUUUUUUCCCCCUAUAUUUUCCAAUUAUUUCUCUCCCUCUCGCUCCCGUAAGUUAUACAACUUGAAGUGAAAUAUGAGUGGUCUGAUUCUAGCUUAAAUAAUUUAUUGUGACAUGCUAUCUAAGGACAAUACAUUACCUAGCUCUACAUAUUUUAUUUAACCUCUGGCUCACCCUGUGCAAACUUGCCUUUCCCCUGCAAGACAAGAUUAAUCAAUGUAUCAAGUCUCAAAUUCAAUUUGGAAUAUGACCAUCGUACGCUCUUGUUCUUCCCUCUUUACGAGUGCAUUCCCCCAACCUCAAGCUCCCUCUCUCGUCUUCAAUGUCACUGCUUAUAUCCUUAUGUUGUUCUAGUUUGAAAUAGUGGCUUCCACUAUUUCAGGGCCCCCAAAAAUCCAGAAACAUACUAUUCAUCACGAUGACAAAAUUUUUGGCAGGCAGGUGCUUCCUGACUUUCACACGGUAAUUCUCAAAUUCUGAUUUCACCAUAUUUUAAUUACUGAUUAGCAUAUAUUCAAGUGCUCUCCAUUAUAAUAGAAGCCGCCGCCUCACUCGUGAUUCCAAACUUUAUCUUUUUGCCUUUUUUAAAUUAAUGCAAGUAGCCGCUGUCCUUUUUAUUAAUUAAUUAGUUCGGCCGCCCACAUUUCUUUUCCUAAUGUCUUCUACUGUCGAUUUUCUUUUAUUUUCUCUUUAUUCUUAAAAUAUACUUAUAAUAAUAAAAUAUAAAAAUAAAAAUUAACAUAUCAAAAUAUAAUUUAAUAGAAAAUUAAGAUAAAAAAUAAAAAAAUUAUGAGCAUAUCAAUCAAUAAAUGAAAAAUAAUAAUUUUUAUUUUUAUUAAAUAUAUAUUUUUUAAAAUUAAUCAAUUAUCUGAAUAAAUAAAAUCAUUUAAAAAUAAAUAAAUAAAUUAUUCUUAAAAAAAAAAAAAGAAACUUUUUAUAACACUCACUAUGCUGGUUGUAGGGUAGACGCUUUGGGGACUGAAGCUGGUAACUUCUACAAGUAGUCUUAAGUUGACUGGCAACAACUAUAUUGGCAUUUAGACAUAAUGUACUGCAACCAUAUUGGUAUGUUCAAAUGUUCUUACUAUUGUAUUGGUGUGUCAAUAUUAUCUCUAACUGCCUUAUAGAUUAAAAAAAAUCUAAAUUUACAAUUUAACAUAAAUAAAAUAAUUGGUAAAAAAACAAUUAUGGUUUAUUUACUUAUCAGUAAUCAGAAUAGACUGAAAUCGAAAUGAGCUGUAUUACCGUUAAUGUGUUUAUGUUGUCCUUGAAUCGGAAUGAAUUAUUUUAAGUUACUAAAAUAUCAUUGGUUUGUUAUUCUAAUUAUUAUUAUUUAAUAUUUAUUAUAAUAUUUGUCAUAUCAUUAAAAAGAAAUAAUAAUGAUGAUAAUAUUAUCAUUAUUGUUUGUUACAUUAUUAUUAUUCAAAAAAAUUAUUGUUAAUAACAAUAAUUACUUUAUUUCAAUAAUAAUAAUGAUGAAAUUAAUAAUAACAAACAUGACAACAACAAUAAUUAUUUAUUAUGCCAAAAAUAACAAUAAUAAUAAGAAUAAUAAUCAUCAUCAUUUUUUUCCCAAAGAAGCAUUAUCAUCAUCAUUUAAAAAAAAAAUCAUCAUCAUCAUUUUUGUAGUUACUGUUUCAAUUUAGGAAGAAGCUGUUUCGUUGUGCUAACGAUGGGAGAUGUUGUGGCUGCGAUUCGGGGAGCUACUAGUUUAUUGCACUAAUGACGACAGGUGCGGCUGCUUGAUGCGAGGUCCAUGGCCAGUUGUCAGCAGUUCGACUUUGGUAUGGGCGUUGCUGGUUCGAUUUUAGGUGUUGUCUAAUUUCAUUUUCAGGAUUUUAAUUUUAAUUUUUUUUUAUAUUUUCAUUAAUUAAUCAGUGCAAAGUUUGAUUUUAGAAUUUGGAAUGAAGGUAAUUUUGUUAAUCAUGGAAAUGAGAUUCUGAUUGUCGAGAAUGAACUUACAAAAUUAGCUGCAAAUUAAGUGAAAACAAAACGCUUUUUCUCUUUGUGUGAUUAAAACAUGAAAUGUACCAUAAAUAAAUAGGUAAAAAAUAAAUCAACACAAUUCAAAAUAGAAAACCAAUUACAAGAGGCACAAAUUUUUAUGUGAAAUACCGAAAAUGAAAAAAAACUAUAGCAUCCUAGUCUAAUAUAAUCUUCUACUAUAUUAAUGGGAUUACAGCACAAAUUCUUCCCUAUCUAACACUAGAGAUUAACAAUAUCAAAAAUCUCAAUAAUCUUAACUUACAAUACAACCUAAUAUAUGUCUCUCUAAUAAGUAGAUAUCUAAAAUAACAGUCUCUAAUAAGUAGGUAUCUCAAAUAAUAGUUAAUAAGAGGAUAAAACAAAAAUUAAGAUUAGUAGAAUGUGUAUAAGGCGAUGCUAUCAACUUAUCUUCUAAAUUUGAGAAAAAUAGUUAAAUUCACUUUUUCGAUUGUACGACCAAAGAUGGAAACCCUUGCCCCAAAACCAAAGGAAUCACCAUUGUGUUUUUUUUCUCUCUUUCUCUUUCUCGUUCUUCUCUUCUACUUUUCUUAAUGUUAGCCGCCACUUGCUUUUAUUCUUUAUAGCAUUUAAAAAGCUACUUUUAAUGGUAAAUUCAUCUAAGUCCAAAACUUAGUGAUAAUUGCACACCAAACAAUCCUUUUUGGACUAUGGACUUUUGGGCCUCCAAAUGAGAUGAAUACAACAAAUCUCCCCCUUCAGAUUAUGUGGGGGGCACCACAAGCCCGCUCUCUGCAUAUAGCUUUUCAGCUUCUCCUUGAAUAAUGACUUUGUCAUCAUACAUAACCCAUUCUUCGUUGUGUAAAUCUUCUCAAGCUAUAACUGUUCUUUCUCAAGCACGUCUCAUAUCUAAUGAUAUCUCACAUCAAUUUACUUAGAUUUCGAAUGGUAUAUCAAAUUCUUUGAACGGCACUCUGACUGUCGCAGUACAUAACAUAGUUGUCUCAUUUUAUAUCCAGCUCUUGUAGGAAAUUCUUCGUCCACAAUAUUUUUUUGCAACCUUCAAUAAUUGUAAUAUCAUUUGCUUUAGUGGUAGAAAAGGCAACUUAUUACUAAAGUUUAGAUUGCGAUGAGCUCCCCCUGCAAAAGUGAGCAAACAUCCUAGUACGAAUUUUUCGGAAUCAACAUCUCCUGCCAUAUCUAUACACUUGUAACACAGGUUUGUCACCACCAAAAUAUAAACAUGCUCUGGAAAUGCCUUUAAGAUAUCUGAGAAAUUUUCACUGUUGUCCAGUGCUCUUUACCGGGAUUGAAGAGAAACCACUGACUACACUAGCUGUAUAAGCAAUAUCUGGUCUUGUACAAAUUAUGGCAUACAAUAAACUGCCAACUGCUGAAGCAUAAGGAACUCCUCUCAUGGAGAAAUGGGUUUUGCUCUUGAGAAUUUUGGGAACAUAAAGAAUAAAGAUGUAAUUUCUUGGACUGCCAUUGUUUCGAGGUAUAUAAACAGAAGACAAGUCGAUAUAGCUUGACAAUGUUUUGAUCAGAUGCCAGAACGAGAUUAUGUCUUAUGGACUGCCAUGAUUGAUGGGUACCUUCGAGUGAAUAGGUUCAAAGAGGCUUUGACGCUUUUUCAGGAGAUGCAAACUUCAAAUAUAAUGGGAGACAAGUUUACCAUUGUUAGCAUUCUUACAGCUCGUGCCAAUCUGGGGGCACUAGAUCUGGGAGAAUGGAUAAAGACUUAUAUUGACAAAAACAAAGUCAAGAAUGAUAUAUUUGCGGGGAAUGCUUUGAUAGACAUGUACUGUAAAAGAGGAGAUGUUGAGAAAGCUCAAAAGGUAUUCAGGAAGAUGCUUUGAAAGGACAAAUUCUCAUGGACGACCAUGACUGUUGGCCUUGCCAUCAGUGGCAAUGGUGAUAAAGCUCUUGAUAUGUUUUCCCAAAUGCUUAGGGCUUCGAUCAAACCGGAUGAGGUAGCUUAUGUUGGUGUUCUGUCUGCCUGUUCUCACAAUGGUAACGAAACUUUUGUGAUAAAUAGUUGCAACUUAAGGUGAGAAUUGGAGGAAAGGAAAUAGACUGAAGUUGUUCAAUCAUCAGUGGUUGCUAUUUGGUUUUAAGUUGUUCAAUUAUCGGUCGUCUCUAUUUGGUUUUCUCCAAUAUCUCAUCUUCAGUUUUGACUCAGAUUCUAUCUUACCACUAUUGUUCUGUUCAUUCUAUUUGUUUCCUACAAAAUAUUUCUCCUGCCUAAAAUUUUUUGAAUCAGUAAGUUUUUAUCUUAUGCAAGAAUUGUGCUGAGAGUAAUUCCAUUUCUCAGUCUCGUUAUGUUUCAAUGAAGACGUAAAACUUGUGUUCUAGUGCACCAAUGUUUAUGCUUCUUACAAUUUGACUUUAAUUUACUUUGUAAAACUUUUGUCAAAAAGUACUAAAAAGUAGUGCACCAAACACCAACUUUAUUAUAGAGAGGACUUUAGUUAAAUUUUAAGAAAACACUCAAAAGAAAGAGUUAUAAUUUAUUAUAGAAAUAUUUCACAUAAAUAAAAGCCAUCCCAUGCUGCAAAGAUCUUGCUAUAAUCACCAAAAACUAUCGGGAGCUUUUAGGGUUUCCAUAAAAAUGUCAUUUCGUUCCAAAAGUCAAUGGUGGGUAGAAAGUGGUGCAAAUGAGACUCAUUCUUAAUGGUAUAAGUUUUUGCUUAAUUAUGUCUUCCCCAAGAUGAUGAUUUAAUUUCCAUUCUCAAUUAAUUUUCAAGUUUCAACACUUUUCUAUGUAGCAUGACAUUGGAAAGAUCUUGUACAGUUGUACUACUAAAAGCUAGCAUCACACGUUAGUUAUUGUUAAGUUCUGUUUCAACGUGAAAUAAAGGAAGUAGUCCUUCAUUAAAACCAUUAUAGCCAAAUUUCACCUAAUUGGACACUUACAGACUUUCAUUUCAAGUUGGAUUUGGGUCCAACGUUUCAAAGUUUGGCCCAAUUAUUUUUGUCCGGUCAAGUCCUACGCAGCUAAGCCUCUCAAUGAAUGAGGGUGAGAUUGCUAAAAAUUACGACAGGUGAUAUUUUAUUAUUAUUAUUAUUAUUAUUUUUGGGGGAUAAAUCCUCACCAAAGUGAGGAGAUUUUAUCAAAAUCAAAAUAAAAAUAUAACAAGAACUGAAAGUCGGGCAGCCUAAAAGCUAGAUGAACUAAAAGUCAGGCGCCUAAAAACAACCUUAUGCAAAAGAGAAGCAAUAUGAGACCGAUCAAGUAAAAGAAUCCACCGCAACACCUAAAUUGGCCAAAUUAUCUGUUGGUAUUACAAGUUUCUUGUUAUAAAAGUGUAGAAUGAAGUAGGUGACGUAGUUUUAAGUUACAGCUGCAUGCCCAAUCGCAAUAUCAAAUAAUGCUUAAAUAUCAAAUAAUGCUUAAAGUAGUUGCCUAGGCCCGCCACAACUUAUAUUAACUCUUAAAUUUAUAAAUAAUUAAAUUUUUAAAAGUUUGGAUUUAUAUUAAAAAAUCUUCAUAUAAAUAAAUAAUAUAUGCACUUUUACAACAGUCUUUAAAUUUAAAUUUUUCAAAAAAAAUCUUCUGUAUAUCUUUUCUAUUAAAAAAAUUUCCAUAUAAAUAAAUAAUAUACCUAAUUUAAUUGGACCGAGCACAACGCACAUGCAUAGAACACAUUCCGAAAAGCCAUGCUAUUCAGAAAUUGACGAAUGAAAAGUGAGGAGGCAGCAGUCAAUGCUAUUUCGGCUUGGCCCAAAAUUGAUUUAUCAGUUUGACGUGUGCCAGGAAUGAAGAACUGGAAUAUCACCGUCAAGCAGCACCCUGUGGAGCAAUACCAUAGAAUGCACAAUCUGGCUUUGCCAGGUGACACUGGAGGCUUUUUGAAAAGUGCUUCAAAAAGCCUUUUCUGAUCGAGUCUGAGCACUCAAAUUUUGGUCCUCAGAUGGAGCUACAGCUUUCUCUCCAAUAACCAACAAUUUUCUAAACUCAGCUCCUAGUGUGAUGAGAGUUGUUGAUAUUUGUAAAUGGAGAUCCCCGUAUUUGCAAAUGGAGACAUUUACCAAAUCACCAACAUGCUUCAUCCAGUCUAUGAAAUUCUGCAGCUGAUUCAAAUCCGGAACCUGAACCAGAGUCGGAGGUAAAUCUUGAGCCAUAUCUAAAGCGGUCUGAAGUUCAAGUACUUGAGCCCUUGACAAUGGUUUUGAAAUUGGAACAUCUUGGAUUACUGCAGACUUGUACCUCUUGGUUUCAAAGGUAAGGAAAGGCAUUGCUUGAGUACAAUUUGGAGGCAGCUUCUUCACCAAUUUUAUUUGGAGGCAAUUGGCAGCGGAUCCAGCUGCACCAAUUUCAGAGCAAAUACUGACACUACUUCAAACAGCACGCUGAAGAAGAGAUAUGUCUAUGGCAAAGACAAUGCAGUCCUCAUUUUGACUUGAGAUGCGGUAAUCAUCAAAGAGAGUUUCCUUGUGAAACUGGGCAACACAUUGAAUCCCUUCACCACUGAGAAGGUUGUGGAGGAAGCAAGCUUUCUCUCUAGUAAGGAAGAGGUGGCAUACCUUCCCCAUUUUGUCUAGGACAGGUAGGAAUCUUUUUUCUAAGAGAUUUACUCCAUUCUCUGUGAGAAAUGCUUUGAACUUCAUCCCUCUGUCUCUAUCCUCACUUAUCAGUAAAAUAGUUGAAAGCGCUACAAGGAGAGAAAAGAAGAGUAUUAAGAUAUAUAUAGACAAGAAAAACAUUAGAUGUCGAUCUUACAAGCUAAUACUUCAAACAGUAUCCUAGAAAGCUAAAAACUGCAAAAUGGCUUGAAAUUUGAAAAGAACACAUGCUUUUCCUCCUUAACUUGAGAAAAUGUUUAAUAUAGUGCACCUUACAGAAACAUUUAAGCAAUUAGAACUUUGCACAAAAACAUUCAAGAAGACUAAACAAAUCAGAUGCAGUGUAUUUCUCCAAGCACAAAUGGCAUUGCAUUUUCUCCUCAACUGUAAUAUUUAUUGAUGAAAAUCAGUACAGGUCCCUCAUUUGUUAUGGAAAGCUUUCUUGUAGUCUGACCGGUUAAUUCACGGGUCUAUAAUCAUCUUGCAAAGUUACAGGCAUUUCUUUCGAUUUAAAGUCUUUGCAUCACCACCUCAUCACACACCAAGCCAAUAUUCCGUCUACCUCUACAACAAAAAGUUUUAAGUAAACGAUCCUAAUGCAUGCAGCCAAAUAAAAUGCAGUAAGAAUAUUCAACUUAAAACUCUGAAAGCCAUCUUGGUGAAUUGCCUCCUUAGGGGAAGUUCCAUGCUUUACUAUACUUGACAGGACUGAGCAAAAGCUUCCAUACGACAGAUUUUGACAAUAAUGAUGCCAACAGAUCCUCAUUAAAUCCAUUAAAACUCCAAAGGUUCAUUGUUCAUGGAUGUUUACAGAGUUUUGGUCAUCAAAUAGCUCAGACCACAAUCCCAAACAAAAAAGGAGUGAAAAUUAGAUCACCAGCAGCUAAUUGUAAAUUCUAACUUAACUCUUCAUCUCCUUUGUAAACAGGAGACAAAAUGGAGACACGCAAAAUGAAUAAGGAGAACAUUUGAACUCAAAUGAAAUGAGGGCACGAAAUCAAACAAAUGGCAUGCGCAAACAAACCAAGCCUCAAUCAAAAACUAAAUAACCAUUAAGAAAAAAAAACUGGUCAGAGAAUGAACUCCAAAUUCGGGAGUGAAGCAAGAAGCUUUCAUUAUUUCAGAAGCUCCUGUACAAAUUAAUAAGUUAUGCUCUUUGGAAACAAACCUAAAUUCCAAGAGAAACAGAACUCAAAAAAUUUGCAAUUAUACGCAAAGGAAGCGAAGCACAGCAUUCUAUCACACGUACAAAUUGUAUAACAAGAGAUCGACACAUCGAAUCAGAAGAAUUCAAUUCAAAUUUGUCUCAAAAAUCAAAAUUAGAAGAUUUCACAUUUCGAGAGGAACAAGCGACAGGUCAGAUGCACAAUUUUCAACCACAACAUGCCACAAUUAACGGUUUAUUUCCAUGGAUUUAGAGAGCUGACUGACCUUUUGGCUUUUGGAAUUGAGAAGAACGCGCGCCAAAAUGGAAGAGGGAAAGCGAAAGUGCGGGUUUCAAUAGGGUAUUGGAUUAGCAAAUUUUAUUAGUUUGCGAGGGUAAAAUAGGAAAGAUAUAUCACUAUUAACUUUUUUUUUUAUAAGAAAAAAGAAUAAUAAAGAAUAUUUUAUUGUCAUUUGCAGCAUUUAAUUUUUUUUAAAUGCUAUUAGAAAAAAACGACAAUAAAGAAAUGCUCUUUUUUUAUUUUUUUCUCGAAGGUAAAAUCAAUUAUUUAGCGUCUUAUAUGUAAUCUAACUCCAUUUCUUACUUUAAGUCAUAUCCAACUGACCAAUAAAGUAAUUGUUUUUUUUUUUUCAUUCAUUUUUACAGAAAAUUAAUAUUGAAAGCUAUUGUAAAAAUUUUUAUUAUCAACCUCAUAGUUUAAUUUUUUUGGGGAAGAAUUGAAUUUUUUUUUUAAUUUCCAAGAAUUUCAUUCUCUAGUUUUUCCAUUAAUAUUACUUAUCUUGAUACCCAUCUUAAUUAAAAUCUGUAGUUUUAUUCAAGAGUCAUGCUAUUCAUUCACUCACAGACCAAAGGCUUUCCGCAGCAAUAUUAUUAUUUAAAUUACAACAAAGGGGAAAUCAAAUACGUCAUACAGAAGCUUAAAGCUGAAUCUACAAAAUCUAGAGCUCUCAACUACAAAAAUUACACUUGAUGAUCCUCUACAAGAUGAAGCUUGUUCAAUAUCUCAUCCAAAGCUUGUAAAGUAACCUUGUAACGAUCUUGAGAUUGCCUGCCUUCCUCGACGACCUGCACGAUGCGUUUGUACAAAUCAUCAUACCUGUGCACCGGAUUUUUAAUAUCAACGCCACUGCAGCUGUGAUCAAGAACAUAAGAGCGUUUAACAUCUUUUCUCCAUCGAGAAAGAAUGUAGUGAGGUGGGAUCUCCUGCAUGCCACUCUGGUUUAGAACACAAAGAAUGUGUCUGCAUAAAUAUCCUCUGAAAUUGAACAACCCACAAACACAAAGCACCUCCUGCAUAAAUAUCUUUCUCGUUGCUACCAAUCUCAAAUUCUUCCUUCACUAUCUGUGUUAUAGGUCCAUCAGCACUGACAUGUUUUGUGCUAUAGCAAGAGUACAUAGCCUCCACCUCCGUCUGAAACUUCCUUAACAUUUCAUUUGUGUACAGUUUUGAGAGUUGAAAUUCAUAGUAACAUCUUGGUUUCUGGAUACAACUUGAAUUUCUCGAAUCCAUAUCUGCCAAGGCUUCCAGUUGAUAAUUCGCCUGCAGUGCUUGAUCAUACUUGUCUAAGAAUUCUUUCAAAGGAGUACUCUUAUCAAGAUAUCCUUCAAAGUAUGAAGUAGAAACCUCAUUCUGCAGGAAUGAAAACACUCCUGAUAAAAAUGCUUCCUUCAAAUAAACAGGAGCCCACCUUUUACGAUCUUCAUAUAAAGUUUGAAUCCAUCCAUGAUCCUUUAUUCCAUGACGUUGAAUCGUGUCCUCCCAAGCUGUCUCAAAUUCCUCAGGCCUAAGAGAGUGAUAAAUUGCUCUAUGCAAUGCAGCUCUAACAGCUUCAUAUUCAAACAAUCCUUGGAGUUUCUCUGGAAUUUUUUGCAUGACGCAUGACAAUGAAAAGCAAUGAUAAGCUCUUGGGAAAGCAUUGCUGACGGCAGUUUUCAAGAUUCUACAUUGGUCAGUGAUGAUUGUUUGUGGACAGCGUCCUAACAUACAUGUAAGCCACGCCCUAAACAACCAUGUAUAUGAUUCUAUAGUCUCACUGGCGAGUAAACCACAGCUUCGUUUACACGCUUCGAAAAACACUUUGAAAUUCAAACGAAACAUUCCUUAGGUUGAUAAAUUAGUAGCGCAAAAGAAAUUUUAGUGAGAUAUGGGAUCAGGGUUUUUGCCACGGUGAUGUUAAUUGCGACAUUGGGGUGACUCAGCAGCCUUCGAGGCUGAAACUUUGAUUGACCAAAAGCUUCCCGUUCGUUGAUUAUCUAAUUGCAGAAACGAAACUCGCAGUGUACAGAAGAAGUACGCUGAUUUGAUAAUUCUGUGAAAAUCAUUGUUUUUUUGAGAUUUUUAAUGUGUUCGGUAAAUAUCAAAAUCUCAAAAACUUGUCUUUCAUUUUGGGGGGAAAAACCCAUUGAGAUCCUUAUGUUUUUUCUUAUAUAAUCUGGCUUAAUAAUUUGCAAAGUCUAUUACUUUGCACCCAUGCAUGCUGCGUUUCAAUUUUACAAAAUUGUACGUGAGUGCAUCCAGCUAAAAUUUGUAAAAAGAAAAUAACAAUAACAUGUUAAAAAUGUGAUGAUUAUGAAGAAAUUUUAAUUUAGUUAAAUAGGUGACGAUGGAUAGGUAUAAAAUCUGAGAUCUUUUAUGAGAUUAAUAAGUAUGUUGAGUUUGGAUUAGUUCAAUUUUGACAUAAUACAGAAUAAACACAACCUGCUAAUCUAAGUUAUCAUCUUUUCUCGUCAUCAGGUACCUGUUUGAAAAAUAAUUAUAUACAAUUUUAUUUGCGUUGUCUCUCCAAAAAUUUUGGACUCGAAUGUUAUUUUUAAUUGCUAAAAGUACGAAAAUGCCCCCUUUCUCUUCAGCUAAAGGAGUGCAAAGUCAUCUGUAUAAUUGAAUCUGCAUCAUCAGUUUCUAUUGCUGGCUGGUGUUACUGCAUGCUUACAGUUGCUUGACAAAGUGAGCCAGUUUUUUGUUUAUUAAUUUUUUUUCUUGUCGAGACAGUCACAAAGUAUUACUUGUUCCAUAUGAGAAUGAUGUGAAUCAAUUUUUCAAUUAUGCAUUCUGUGGUAAUUAUUGUGAAUUUAGUUUCAUUUGUCUUGUCUCCUGCAAAUUUUGAAGAAAAUGCAGACAUACAAACUUACAAUAUGGAAGAGUUCACUGGAAAAAACUUUGUGAAAGCUUCCAAGUGAAACAGGGAAUGGGCUUACUAGUAAAGGACAAAUUGGUGGCCAGCUAAUGCAUUCAUUCUAUGUCCAUUCAUCUUUUCGAAUUAUUGAAGACAAGCGUUGGUUAGAUCCAGAUAAUCUCGAUUAUCAAAAUAAUCUCUAUUUUGAAAUAAUAAUAUUCAAAAUAUCUCUUAAAUCAUUAUAAACCUCAAACCUGUUUUAAUUUUAUUUAAAAAGAUAAAAAAAAAAGGUUAUGUUGGUGAUUUUUUAUUUUUUUAAUAAAAAUAAAAUAAAUUGAUGUUUAUAAUUGUUUAAAGUACUUUAAAGAUUGUAAUUUUAUGAGAGAGUAAUAUUUCACCGUUUUUAGUGUGAAAGGCUGAAAAAGGACAAAGCAAGUUUCCCUAGUUUUUAUUUAUUUGAAAUUGGUCAUCUCAUAUGCUUCACCCUUCAACACUACAAUUUUUUUUGUGAUAAUUUUAUUAUUAUUUUUUCUACACAUGCAUGUGAAUUACUUUUCUUUAAGCUCCUGAAUAUUUAAGACGGAUCAUGGAAGAGAUGAGAGUAUAACAAGAUGAUCAAAAUAUGUAACAAAAAAAUUUUAGAAGUGAAAAAUAUGUUAGAGUCAAAGCAAAACUCUGAAAAUAGAGAUAUUCAUUAAUUUAGAAGAGAUGCAAGCAAAAGCUAUUCCAAAAAAAAAAAGCAAUAUGUCCCUUUGGAGGACAAACUUGUCAGUUUCAAAAAAGUACAUGCUUUGGAUUGAUAGUCGUAGGAUAUUUGUUUUGUCACUGUGUAUUAGUUGGAGAAGUCAAGCCUUGUGAAGAAUGUUAUGAAAAAGCAAAGGAUAUUCUUGAUAGAGCUCUAUUUGGUUAUGUAUUCAGUGAAUGGAUGUGUUGUUGGAAGAUAUUUGAGUGCAUUAGUUCAUUUGUGUCUGUCAAUGUGCUUUUAAUGAUUUUUCCACUUGUUUGUUGUAAAAGAUGAUUGUAAAUUGAAAUGAACUUGAUGUUGUAAAAUAUUUUGCUUAGUGGAAUUUCACCUAAGUAUUCACUUUUUAUUAAAUUUCGUUAACACAAUUCUUAAUUAAUGGUGUGUUUACUUCAUGAAAUAGGGAAUGAGAAUAGAGAAAUGAGAAUGAAACUCAUGUUUACUUGGCAAAAUAUAAUUUGAGAAUGAGAAUAAAAUGUGUGGGUCCCACACAAUUUGGGAAUAAGAAAUGAGAAUCUCAUUCCCAUGGGGGGUUAGAAAUGAAAAUAAGAGAAUGAGAAUAGAAUAUAUAUUUACUUUUGUAUCUCUCUACUUUUUCAUAUUUCCCAAAUUACCUUCAUUCAAAUAACAAUUAAUUUAUUAUUUUAAAUGUCAUUAAUAAUAAUUAUUAUUAUUUUUAUUCUUAAAUUUUAUUAACUUUAUUAUUUUAGUUAUUAUUAAUUAUUUUUAUUAAUAUUAUCAUUAUUGUUAAUAAUGAUAAUAUUAAUAAAAAUAAUUAAUGUAUCAUUAUUAACAAUAUUAUCAUUAUUGUUGUUGUUGUUGUUGUUGUUAUUAUUAUUAUUAUUAUUAUUAUUAUUAUUAUUAUUAAUAAAAAUAAUAAUAACAAUAAUUAAUAUUAACUAAAAUAAUAAAGUUAAUAAAAUUUAAUAAUAAUAAUAAUGUAAUUUUCAUUAUCUAGAUACAUGUAUAAAUAUUAUUAUAAAAAUAAUAUUAAUUAAAAUAAUAAUAAUAAUAAUAAUAAAUGUUAAUAAUGAUAAUACUAAUAAAAAUAAUAUUAAUAGUAAUUAAUAAUAACUAAAAUAAUAAAGCUAAUAAAAUAUAAUAAUAUUAAUAAUAAUAAUAAUAAUAAUAAAUGUUAAUAAUGAUAAUAUCAAUAAAAAUAAUAAUAACAAUAAUUAAUAGUAACUAAAAUAAUAAAGUUAAUAAAAUUUAAUAAUAAUAUUAAUAAAUGUUAAUAAUGAUUACUUUAAUAAAAAUAAUAAUAACUAAAAUAAUAAAGUUAAUAAAAUUUAAUAAUAAUUGUUAAUAAUGAUAAUAUUAAUAAAAAUAAAAAUAACAAUAAUUAAUAACAACUAAAAUAAUAAAGUUAAUAAAAUUUAAUAAUAAUAAUAAUAAAUGUUAAUAAUGAUAAUAUUAAUAAAAUUAAUAUUAACAAUAAUUAAUAAUAACUAAAAUAAUAAGUUAAUAAAAUUUAAUUAUAAUAAUAUUGUUAAUAAUGAUUGUUAACUUUAUUAUUUUAGUUAUUAUUAAUUAUUGUUAAUAUUAUUUUUAUAAUAAUAAUAAUAAUAAUAACAACAACAACAACAAUACACGACUUGGAUUAGGAUAGAAGGAAACUUAAAUCCUAGAGAAAAAGAUAGCUAUAUCCCAAGAUUUAAAAAAAUAGUCAUGUAGAUUUUUAAGAUUUCAGUAAGCGAUUGAGAUUUUCUUUUGACAAAUAAUAUCCUUUAUCUCUAUUAACAAAAAACAGAGACUCAAAUAUUUUAUAAUAAAUAAAAAUAUAAUAUUAAAAUAUAUGUGAUAAUAUAGACAUUUUAAAUAAUUUCAAUCCAAAAAAAUAGUUAUUUUUUACAAUCUAUUAAACAUAUUUUAUUGAAUUAAUAUAAGUUUUUCUAUAAAAUAGGAACAUAAUAUUAAAUAAAUUUACAAAACUUUAAAGAAUUUUGAAUGUAAAAUAAUUUUAAUAUAUUAAUACGUGAGACUUUUUAUUAUUGUAAAAAUUAUUUAACCCAAAUAUUUUUUAAAAUCUUUACAAUAAGUAUAAAUAUGUUAUUUACAUUUAAAAAUAUUUAAAUAUUAUUAACCUACAAUUAUAUUUGCAUUUAUUAGAAAUUUUUAAAGUCAAAUAUUUUGCACUUCUACAUUAUUAGAAUUAUUGCACACAAAGAAAGAAACAUAUAAGCUUCAUAAAUUUUUUUCUUUUACAUUUGGAAACAGAGAUGAUGAUUGAUUAUAAGGAUGAAAAAAAGGACAAAAAAUAUUAAUGAUUAACGAAAUCUCUAUGCAAAUUAAUUUUAGUAGGAAAAGAGUGAGAUGAAUGAUUUCUUUUACAGCUAGAAACAGAGAUGAUGAUUAUUAUAAGGUUAAAAAAGAAGAUAAAGAAUAUUAAUUAUUUGUGGAAUCUAUAUGCAAAUUGAUUUUAGUAGGAAAAAAGUGAGUUAAAUGAUUUAGACAUUCAUAGUGUGUUUAUUUUUUGGAUUGAUGAAUAAGAAUUAUUGACAACGCUAACUUCAUCUUCAUUGUUUGUUAUCCAACAACAGCAAUUGUCGCCGAUAAUGAUACCUCCAAUGAUGAUGAUGAUUUUAUUAUUAUUAUUAUUGAUAAAAAGUAUUUUAAUUAAUUAAUAUAUUAAUGUUAAUAUUAUUAUUAUUAAGAUUAAUAAUAAUUACUAAUAAUAAUAAAUUUUUGAAUAAAAAUAAUCACAAUAAUUAAAAUAAAAAUUAAUAAUUAUGACAAUAGUUAAUUAAUGUCUUUUUAGUAAUUUGUAAUAAUGUAAAUAAUUUUGAUUUUGAUUAUUACAAUUCAAGUAAACAAAUUAUUAUGAUUCAUAUUCUCCAUUCCCAUUUCAGCUCAUUUUGAUUUCAGUUCAUUUCGAUUUCUGUUUAAUAAACGCGCCGUUAGUGAUAUAGUAAUAUUUCAUAUAGAGAAAAGUAAAAACUAUACCUAAGGUUAAGGGAAAUGACUUCAAACCUCUCUUUUGACCAUAAUACAUUUUGUCCUAAAUUUAAAGAUUUUGAAUCUAAAAUUUUACAAUAAAUAAAAAUAUAUUCCUAAAAUAAAUAUACUAUCAAUAUUUAAAAUAUGUUUUAAUAUUUUACAAUCUAUCAGACACAUUUUAUUAAAUUAAAGUUAAUUUUAUAAUAAAUACAAACGUACUAUUAAAAUGAAUAUAUAAAAAAUUUAGAGUAUUUUGAAUAUUAUAUAUGCGUAAGAUAUAUUUUAUUAAUUUAAAAAGCUAUUUUACUUAAAAAAUUAUUUAUGAUAAAUUAAUAAUUACAUUUUUAAAAUUAUUUCAAAAUUUUAAAAUUUUUUAAUAUUAUUAAUCUUUUGGAUAGAUUAAAUUAUUUUAAAAUGCCUUAAUUGUUUUUACUUUUAGCGUUACCGGCCUUUCUUAUAUUUUAUUGCAAAUUAAUGCUAACAAGAAAAAGCUAGAUCAUAUUCCACAUAAGCAAAAGUGACAAAACAACCAGCUGGAUUCUUUUAUUAAUCUACAAUUAAAAUGGACUUAUAUAUAUAUAUAUAUAUAUAUAUAUAUAUAUAUAUAUAUAUAUAUAUAUAUAUAUAUAUAUAUAUAUAUAUAUAUAUAUAUAUAUAUAUAUAUAUAUAUAAACUACGUAUGAAAGUGGAAUCUUUUGAAUAUAAGUGGGGUAGGCUCCCUUUCAAAAAAAAAAAAAAAAAGUGGGGUAGGCUCUUUUAUUAAAGACAAGUAUUGAGUAGUCAAGACGAUUAGGGUCUUAACCAAUUAGGCCUUAGCCCGGUGGUCAGAACCUUGCACUCAUAAUUAUGAGCGCAGCGGUUUAAGCCCCGCAAUGUAAGUAGGGGUUUAUUUUCUUCUUUAAUUAUUAAGUGAAUGCAGUCUAUUCUCUUUCGAAAUGUGAAUGGAGUAGACACCCCUCGAAUAUUAGAGAGGGUAAAAUCUAGGCAGUGCUACAUAAGAAUUCAUGUAAAUUAGGCCCAGUAAUUGACUGAUUGUAAAUAUUAAUUGUAAAUCUCAUAUAAUAUAAAUUAUAAUCUGAGUAUUAAUCUCAUGUAAUUAAAAAAAAAAAGAAAAAAAAGACGAUUAUGUUCUUUUAUUAAACUACAAAUUGUAUAGUCUUUUUCAAAUUGUACAGAUAUUUAUAAAUUGGUGGCCCCUUGGAAAUUUAAUGCCAAGCAGAUUCAAGUCAUCAUGCACAAUCCUCAAUAAUUGUUUUCGAUAUUUAUAAAUUGGUGGCCCCUACGUCCUCAAUAAUUGUUCCGAUACUUAUAAAUUGGUGGCCCCUGGGUAAUUUAACAGCAGCUUGCAAGUGCCAACUAGUGAAAAGUCAUCAUUUCAAAUUCUAAAUACAAUAAUACUACACAUCUCAAAUUUUUUAUCUCAAAAAAUUAUCUCAAAUGAUAUGGAAUUUAUUAAUUGGUUGGUGAGAUAAUACAAUUAAUUCACUUGAAUCUUGUAAAGAAUUAUCAACUACUCAAUUAAUGACACAUCAUUUGGGAUAACUUUUUGGGAUAAAAAAUUUGGGAUGUGUAGCAUUAUUGUUCUAAAUAAGGGUCAUUCUAUAAUGCCGUAACUAAAUUUACGGCAUUGAUACCGUAAUGGACGUGGACCGUUAGAUUUGAAUAAAAAAUCUCUACCAUUAAUUCUAAAUAAAUAGGUAACCUGUUACCUAAGUAGUAGGUAAUUAUUAUUUUUUGUUCAAGUUCCAGGUUACAUUUACUAAUUUUAUGUGUGAUUUACAAGUUUUAUAAAACUUUUACAAGUUAAUGUUGAUUUACAAGUUUUAUGCAAUAUUUACAAGUUUUUGUUUUGUUUACAAGUUCUUCUUACAAUUUACAACUCUAACAUUAAUUUACCUAUUUUUCCAUUAAUUUACUAGUUUUAUGUGUGGUUUACACAUUUUUUGUUUUAUUUCACACUUAAUGUCAAUUUACAAGUUCUAUGUCAUUUUUAUAAGUUUUUGUUUUGUUUACAAGUUCUUCUUACAAUUUACAACUCCAACAUUAAUUUACUCAUUUUUCCAUCAAUUUACUAGUUUUUUGUGUGAUUUACAUAUUUUUUGUUUCAUUUCCCACUUAAUGUCAAUUUACAAGUUCUAUGUCAUUUUUCUACAUUUUUGUUUUGUUUACAAGUUCUUCUGGCCAAUUACAACUCCAUCAUUAAUUUACUCAUUUUUCCAUCAAUUUACUAGUAUUAUAUGGAUUUACAUAUUUUGUGUUUCAUUUCAUAAUUAAUGUCAAUUUACUAGUUGUAUGCCAUUUUUCUAAGUUUUUGUUUUGUUUACAACUUCUUUGUGCAAAUUACAACUCCAACAUUAAUUUACCAUUUUUUCCAUUAAUUUAUUAAUUUUAUGUGUGGUUUACAAAUUUAUUGUUUCAUUUCACACUUAAUAUUAAUUUACAAGUUUUAUGUCAUUUUUCUAAAUUUUUGUUUUGUUUACAAGUUCUUCUUGUAAUUUACAACUCCAACAUUAAUUUACCAUUUUUUCCAUUAAUUUAUUAGUUUUAUGUGUGGUUUAUAAAUUUAUUGUUUCAUUUCACACUUAAUGUUAAUUUACAAGUUCUAUGUCAUUUUUCUAAGUUUUUGUUUUGUUUACAAGUUCUUCUUGUAAUUUACAACUCCAACAUUAAUUUACCUUUUUCCAUUAAUUUAUUAGUUUUAUGUGUGGUUUACAAAUUUAUUAUUUCAUUUCACACUUAAUGUCAAUUUACAAGUUCUAUGUCAUUUUUCUAAGUUUUUAUUUUGUUUACAAGUUCUUCUUACAAUUUACAACUCUAAUAUUAAUUUACCAAUUUUUCCAUUAAUUUACUAGUUUUAUGUGUGAUUUACAUAUUUUUUUGUUUUAUUUCACACUUAGUGUCAAUUUACAAGUUCUAUGUCAUUUUUCUAAGUUUUUGUUUUGUUUACAAGUUCUUCUUGUAAUUUACAACUCCAACAUUAAUUUACUCAUUUUUCCAUCAAUUUACUAGUUUUAUGUGGGAUUUACACAUUUUUUGUUUCAUUUCACAAUUAAUGUCAAUUUACUAGUUAUAUGUCAUUUUUCUAAGUUUUUGUUUUGUUUAUAAGUUCUUCGUGCAAAUUACAACUCCAACAUUAGUUUACUCAUUUUUCCAUCAAUUUAGUAGUUUUAUGUGUGAUUUACACAUUUUUUGUUUCAUUUCACACUUAAUGUCAAUUUACAAGUUCUAUGUCAUUUUUCUAAAUUUUUGUUUUGUUUACAAGUUCUUCUGGCCAAUUACAACUCCAUCAUUAAUUUACCCAUUUUCCCAUCAAUUUACUAGUAUUAUGUGCGAUUUACACAUUUUUUUGUUUCAUUUCAUAAUUAAUGUCAAUUUACUAGUUGUAUGCCAUUUUUCUAAGUUUUUGUUUUGUUUACAACUUCUUCGUGCAAAUUACAACUCCAACAUUAAUUUACCAUUUUUUCCAUUAAUUUAUUAAUUUUAUGUGUGGUUUACAAAUUUAUUGUUUAAUUUCACACUUAAUGUCAAUUUAUAAGUUUUAUGUUAUUUUUCUAAGUUUUUAUUUUGUUUACACUUUUUUCUUCUAAUUUACAACUCCAUCAUUAAUUUACGUCUUUUUCCAUCAAUUCACAAGUUUUAUGUGUAAUUUACACAUUUUUUGUUUCAUUUUACACUUAAUGUCAAUUUACAAGUUCUAUGUCAUUUUUUUAAGUUUUCGUUUUGUUUACAAGUUCUUCUUGCAAUUUACAACUCCAACAUUAAUUUAUCCAUUUUUCCAUCAAUUUACUAGUUUUAUUUGUGAUUUACAAAUUUUUUGUUUCAUUUCACACUUAAUAUCAACUUACAAGUUCUAUGUCAUUUUUCUAAGUUUUUAUUUUUUUUACAAUUUCUUCUUGCAAUUUACCACUCCAUCAUUAAUUUACCAAUUUUUCCAUCAAUUUACUAAUUUUUUUUUAUGAUUUACAUAUUUUUUGUUUCAUUUUACACUUAAUGUCAAUUUACAAGUUCUAUGUCAUUUUUCUAAGUUUUUAUUUUAUUUACAAUUUCAUCUUCUAAUUUACAACUCUAACAUUAAUUUACUCUCUUUUCCAUCAAUUUACUAGUUUUAUGUGUGGUUUACCUAUUUUUUAUUUUAUUUCACACUUAAUGUCAAUUUACGAGUUCUAUGUCAUUUUUUUAAGUUUUUGUUUUGUUUACAAUUUCUUCUUGUAAUUUACAACUCCAACAUUAAUUUACUCUCUUUUCCAUCAAUUUACUAGUUUUAUGUGUGGUUUACGUAUUUUUUGUUUUAUUUCACACUUAAUGUCAAUUUACUAGUUCUAUGUCAUUUGUCUAAGUUUUUGUUUUGUUUACAAUUUCUUCUUGUAAUUUACAACUCCAACAUUAAUUUACUCUCUUUUCCAUCAAUUUACUAAUUUUAUGUGUAGUUUACGUAUUUUUUAUUUUAUUUCACACUUAAUGUCAAUUUACGAGUUCUAUGUCAUUUUUCCAACUUUUUGUAUAUAAUUUAUAACUUCAUCAUUAAUUUACCUCUUUUUCCAUCAAUUUACUAGUUUUAUGUAUAAUUUACACAUUUUUUGUUUCAUUUUACAUUUAAUGUCAAUUUACAAGUUCUAUGUCAUUUUUCUAAGUUUUUAUUUUGUUUUAUUUACAAUGUCAUUUUUCUAACUUUUUGUUUUGUUUACAAUUUCUUCUUGUAAUUUACAACUCCAUCAUUAAUUUACCUUUUUUUUUCCAUCAAUUUACUAGUUUUAUGUCUUAUUUACAUAUUUUUUGUUUCAUUUGACACUUAUGGUGUGUUUACUUCUUGGAAUAAGGAAUGGGAAUGGAAGAAUGAGAAUCAAAGCUAUGUUUACUUGACAAAAUUGAAUUUAGGAAUGGGAAUAAAUUGUGUGGGUCCCACAUAAUUUGAGAAUAAAGAAUGGGAAUCUCAUUCCCAUGGGGGGUUGGGAAUGAAAAUGUGGGAAUGAGAAUGAAAUAUAAAUUUACUUUUCUAUCCCUCUAAUUUUUUCAUAUUUCCUAAAUUACCCUUGUUCAAAUCACAAUGUAAUUUUGUUAUUUUAAAGGGAAAUUUACACUCGUCCACCUGUUUGUUUUGCCUUUUUCAAAAAUACACAAACACUUUUUUUUUUUCAGCGCGCCACCUGAUGUUUGUUUUUUGUUGCAUUCAUCCACUUCCGUCUAAUUUCCGUUAGUGGAUUUAACGGAAUGUUAAUGAAAUGACCUUUUUACCCCUCAAAAUUACAAUUUAACCCAAAAUAAAUAGAAAUUGGAGAUAAAUUGGAUGAAUUUAAUUUUUUUCAAAGGUGGAUGCUAGAAAUUGGAGGAAAAUAGUGUUUUUUGCUUGCUAAAUUUAGAAAAUUUGUAUUUAUUUUUUUGAAAGAUAAAAAAAUAAAUACACAAAAAAAUAAUACAAAUUUUCUAAAUUUAGCAAGCAAUAAACACUAUUUUUCUCCAAAAAAAUAAAUAAAAAUUUUCUAAAUUUAGUAACAAACAAACACUAUUUUCCUCCAAUUUCUAGCAUCCACCUUUGAAAAAAAUUAAAUCCAUCCAAUUUAUCUCUAAUUUCUAUUUAUUUUGGGUUAAAUUGUAAUUUUGAGGGGUAAAAAGGUCAUUCCGUUAAAUUCACUAACGGAAAUUAGACGGAAGUGGACAAAUGCAACAAAAAGUAAACUUCAAGUGGCGCGCUGAAAAAAAAAAGUGUUUGUGUAUUUUUGAAAAAUGCAAAACAAAUAGGUGGACGGUUGUAAAUUCCCCUAUUUUAAAUGUCAUUAAUAAUAAUAAUAAUAAUAAUAAUUAUUAUUAUUAAAGUUUAUUAAAUUUAUUAUUUUAGUUAUUAUUAAUUAUUUUUAUUUUUAUUAAUAUGAUCAUUAUUAACAAUAAAAAUAAUGAUAAAAAUAAUAAUUAAUAAAAAUAAUUAAUUUAUCAUUAUUAACAAUAUUAUCAUUAUUAUUAUUGUUGUUGUCAUUAUUAUUAUUAUUAUAUUAUUAAUAAAAAUAAUAAUAACAAUAAUUAAUAAUAACUAAAAUAAUAAAAUAAAUAAAAUUUAAUAAUAAUAAUAAUAAUAUAAUUUUCAUUAUGUACAUACAUAUAUAAAUAUUAUUAUAAAAAUGAUAUUAAUUAAAAUAAUAAUAAUAAUAAAUGUUAAUAAUGAUAAUAUUAAUAAAAAUAAUAUUAAUAGUAAUUAAUAAUAACUAAAAUAAUAAAGUUAAUAAAAUAUAAUACUAAUAAUAUUAAUAAUAAUAAUAAAUGUUAAUAAUGAUAAUAUUAAUAAAAAUAAUAAUAACAAUAAUUAAUAGUAACUAAAAUAAUAAAUUUAAUAAAAUUUAAUAAUAAUAAUAAUAAAUGUUAACUAAAAUAAUAAAGUUAAUAAAAUAUAAUAAUAAUAAUAAUAAUAAUAAUAAUAAAUGUUAAUAAUGAUAAUAUUAAUAAAAAUAAUAAUAACAAUAAUUAAUAGUAACUAAAAUAAUAAAGUUAAUAAAAUUUAAUAAUAAUAAUAAUAAAUGUUAAUAAUGAUAAUGUUAAUAAAAAUAAUAUUAACAGUAAUUAAUAAUAACUAAAAUAAUAAAGUUAAUAAAAUUUAAUCGAGCUCUAAUAUUUAGUCCCGAGCCUAACUAUUAAAUUCGAGUCAAAUGCCAGAAAGUUCAGGUCAAGUCAAUUAAACUAAAAGUCGAGCCGAGUCUUCCUUACAUGUAUAUAUGUUUGCAUCUUGAUUUUUAUUUUUAUUUAUCAUAUAAACUCUUCUAUAAAUUUAUUAUUAUUAUUAUUAUUAUUAUUAUUAUUAUUAUUAUUAUUAUAUAUAUAUAUAUAUAUAUAUAUUGUCAUUAAUCGGAAUGGGGAAUGAGAAUCAGAAUAAAUUGUUUACUUAACUUACAAGAAUCGAAAUCGAAAUGGAUUGGAAUCUCAUUAAUGUGUUUAUUUUAUCUUGGAAUUGGCUUUGGAAUGAGUUAGAUUGUAACAAAUUACUCAAAAGUACUUAAUGAAUUAUUAUCAUAAUUAUUUUAUAUUUUAAUUAUAGUGAUUAUUUAUUCAAAAAUUAUUAUUAUUAAUUAUAAUAUAUUAAUAAAAUCAUAAAUCUAUCAUUUUUUCUUUAAAUUAGUUUAUAAAAAUCGACCAUGUCCCUUUCCCGAAUGAGAAAUUGAGUAUAAAAUCAUAAAUUUAAAAUUUAACUAAAAAUCAUAAAUCUAAACUCAAAAAAAAAAUCAUAAGUGGUUCUAUAUACAUUUUAGGUAUAUAUAUAAAUGUUUGUUUGUGUGUGUAUAUAUAUACUAUCAAUUUUAUCCUUAACUUAUUUUAAAAAAUAAUGUUAUAUAAUUAAGAUUAUUAAGAUAUAAAAAACAACAAAAAAUUAUAAAAUUUAAAAUUCACUAAAACUAUGUCAUUUCCAUAUAAUAUUCAUUUUCUUUUUUAAGUGAAAGCGGUAAAAAAAAGGCUCGGCUCUCAAGUCUCAACGACACCAUAGAAUACGAGAACGACAAAAUGAAAAAUUAAAAUUAUAGUGAUUAUGAAUUUACAGUGAGAUUUGAAUGAUAGUAACACAUUUACAAUGAUUAUGAAUUUAACUGAUGAGUUCGUAAUGGAUCAAUAGUAUUUUCGCAAGGAUGGCAAUGGGUCGAGUCGGGCCUGUGCUUAGCCAUUUCCGAGCCCAACUCUAUAACUGAAAUAAAAUUUUCAAGCCUAAAAAGGCUCGAUUAUUUGAAAGCCUGUGCUCAAUCACACUUUCAUUUAAAGUUUUUUUUUUUAAUUUUUAGUUAAUUUAAAAUUUAAAAAUUGGACAUAGCCUCCCCAUAUACAUUAAAAUAUAAAAGCUUCAAAAAUUGUUUAAUGUAACAUAAAAAUAAAAAUUACUCAAGGUCAUAACCAUAUUAUUACGUAAAUAAUAAACAUAAAAUAAACAUUUUUUUUUUUAAGUUUCAGGGUCAAGUCAGGUCGAGUCCAGCAUGUAGGUCAUGAACCCUGAUCUGAAUUUAAUCGGGCUCUAAUAUUUAGGCCCAAGCCUGACCAUUAAAUUCGAGUAAAAGGCCAAAAAAUUCAGGUCAAGUCAAUUAGACUAAAAGUCGAGCCGAGUCUUCCUUGCAUGUAUAUAUGAUCAUAUAAACUCUUCUAUAAAUUAUAUAUAUAUAUUUUUACUUGUAAUUAAUCAAAAUGGGGAACGAGAAUCAGAAUAAGUGGUUUACUUGACCUACAAGAAUCAGAAUCGGAAUGGACUGGAAUCCCAUUGAUGUGUUUAUUUUAUCUUGGAAUUGGCUUCGAAAUGAGUUAGAUUGUAAAAAAUUACUAAAAAGUAAUUAAUGAAUUAUUAUCAUAAUUAUUAUUUUAUAUUUUAAUUAUAGUGAUUAUUUAUUAAAUUAUUAUUAUUAAUUAUAAUAUAUAUUAUUAUAUUAAUAAAAUCAUAAAUUUAAAAUUUAACUAAAAACCAUAAAUCUGAACCCAAAAAAAAAAUCAUAACAUAAGUGGUUCUAUAUAGAUUUUAGGUAUAUAUGUAAAUGUUUGUGUGUGUCUAUAUAUAUAUAUAUAUAUAUAUAUAUAUAUAUAUGAAUCUAUCAAUUUUAUCUUUAACUUAUUUAAAAUAUAUAAUGUUAUAUAAUUAAGAUAUAAACAACAACAAAAAAUUAUAAAAUUUACUAAAACUACAUUGUUUCCAUAUAAUAUUCAUAUAAUAUAAUAACUUGAAGGCUCUAGUUAGAAAAUUUCCAUCAAAACAUUAGCAUUGACCACCAAUGUGUAGGAUCCAAGUACGAAUUUAACACAUAGGCAAAUCACUCAAAAAAUAAAUUAAUUAAAAUAGAACCAUGAACAAAUAAAUUUUUCAAAGUGGGUUGGUAAAAAAGGAAACUAUGGUUGCAUUGACACUUACAAUGAUACACAAAAGGCAAAACGAAAUUAAGGCUGAUUUUAUUCUUUUGGGACUGGAUGCGUAUGUUCAAAAUAAUUGUUUAUUUUGAACAAUUAUUUGAUCUUCUCUACUGCAUAGCCAAUAUUUCAUUACAGAUGUAACAUCUGUAUAAUUCUCGUUUGUCUCUUACUUAGAAACAAUAAAAAGAUCAAAUUAAAGUCCAAUGCAUACUCUAUAUAUAUAUAAUUUUUUUUUUUGUGUUAACCAUUAACAAACUCAAUUCAUAAUAUAGUCAACAAAAAACAUUAAAUAUUGUCAAUCGCCACCACAAGAAUGAAAGCAUCCAAUAUAACCAGGAUUGGUCUCAAUUUAUCUCAAAACUUCAUAACAGUUCACCAACAAGGAGUAACCAUAAAUAAGGUAAUAGGGAUAAGUCUAACUGCUGGAACAAUUAGGUUUCUCAACCAAACAUUAGUUUACUCAUAGAUCCAAGGGUGAAGGCUGCUCUGCCAGUUAAUAGGGCCAUCUGGGAACCACAAGGCAAUUUCUUUCUGGGCACUCGCAACUGAGUCACUUCCAUGGAUGAUAUUCCUGCCCAUCACAAUAGCGAAAUCACCAUGGAUGGUUCCAGGAGCAGACUGCGCAGGGUUGGUGGCUCUAAUAAUAGUGCGGCCAGUCUUAACAACGCCUUCACCCUCCCAAAUCAUAGCAAUGACAGGACCAGAGGUUAUGUACCCAAUAAGAGCACCAAAGAAAGGCUUUGACAACAAAUCCUCAUAGUGCUUCUCAGCAAAAGGGCGGUCCACAGUCAUAAGCUUCAAACCCUUCAAAGAGAAACCUUUCUUCUCAAAUCUGCUGAUGAUUUCACCAACAAGGCCUCUUUGGACCCCAUCGGGCUUGAUCAUGAUGAAAGUUUGUUCCAUUUCAUUGAGAUUCAAAGAAACCAACUUGUUUGAGAAUUCAGUGAAAUAGCACAACACAUAGGUGAGAGAAUAAUGCAUGCUCUAUAUAUAUACAUAUUUGCUAUGUCUUGGUCAAAACAAUGCAAAUGCGGUAGAGGAGAAUCAGUAAAGAAUGACGAACCUAGCCCGGUUCUCCUCUUGACUCCCGACGCCGAGUCGUUAUCGUCGGACCGAAACCACUUCACGAACACGAACCCAGCCCCUUCACCAACACGAACCGUUGUAGAGCUUCUACUUUCUCACUCCUUUUUGGCUUCAAACAGUUUUCAAAGCGAAGAUUGCAGUAAAAGAGGAAGGAUCGAGGAAACAAAAUUCGGGUUAGCCAGCAAACCCAAUUGCUUCGAAAAUACAAAAUCUGGCGUGCUACGAUUUUUAGAUUCGAUUCCGGGACCUUCGAAUUAUGACCAGACUUUGAUUCUAUUUGGACUUUCGUAGAAUUCAAUUUUAAAAUCUAUAAUUUUGAAAUUUUAACCAGUUAAUUUUUUUAAAUAAAUGUUUAACCGGUUGUAAACCUGUUAAUGAAAUUUUUUUAAAUAUUUUUAUUAUAUUAUAAUUAUUAGGUACCGUUGAUCUAAUCCAAUGGUCCACGUUUAUUACAGUAUCAAUGCCUUAAAUUUACUUACAACAUUAUAGAAUUUUCCUAAUUAAAAUACAAAUUAAUAAUUAUAACAAUAGUUAAUUAAAGUCUUUUUAGCAAUUUGUAAUAAUCUAACUCAUUAUGAUUUUGAUUAUUACAGUUUAAGUAAACAACUUAUUAUGAUUCUUAUUCUCCAUUCCCACUUCAGUUCAUUCCGAUUUCAAUUCAUUCCGAUUUUCGUUUAAUAAAUGCACCAUUAGUGCUAUAGUAAUAUUUCAAAUAGAGAAAAGUAAAAGCUACACCUAAGGUUGAGGGAAAAGAUUUCAAAACUCUCUUUUGAUCAUAAAACCUUUUGUCUUAAUUAACUUAAAGAUUUUGAAUCUAAUAUUUUAUAAUAAAUAAAAAUAUAUUCCUAAAAUAAAUAUAAUAAUAUCUAUUUUAAAAUUACUAACUGUUUUUAUUAAAGGCAAGUAAUAUCAAUUGUAAACUACAAAUUAAAAUAGAUUUUUUUUCGAUAAAUUACAAAUUAAAGUGGAUUCUUUUGAAUACAAGUGGGACAGACGAUUAGGCUCUUUUUAUUAAAGGCAAGUAAAUUACAAAUUACUAACUGUUUUUCCUUCAAAAGUUAGCGGCUCAUGUUUGCAAGUGUGAAUGUGCGAUGCUCUUUUCUUAAAGGCAAUUACAGUGGGGCCCGAAUCAGACGUGCCUAAAUCUUUUUAAAAUUUUUGCCGUAUAACGAACAGAGGUCAUUACUAAAAUUUCUCUUCCAUAGCCUACAGCAGCUUCAGUUUAUCAAACUCCAUCAAUUUUCUUUCUUAACAAAAUUCCAAAGAUGUGUAGCAUUUUUCAGAUCACAUGCGAUGGUGCUCUUUUCAAUCGUUGCUUGGAUUGCUUUCUUGGAAAAGCAGCAUACAUACGUAACCUCCAAGAUAAUCUUGAUGCCUUGGACACUGAACUGGGAAGACUAAUCGCUAAAAAGAACGAUGUGAUGAGGAGGGUUGUCGACGCUGAACGACAACAAAUGAGAAGGCUGGACGGAGUGCAAGUGUGGGUUUCGAGGGUGGAUGCUGUUAAAACUGGAGCCGAUGAACUUAUCACAGACGGCUCUGAAGAAAUUGGCAAAUUAUGUGUUGGAGGCUACUGUUCCAAGAACUGCAGGUCAAGCUACAAAUUCGGAAAACAAGUGGCUAAAAAGCUACAAGAUGUAAAGACUUUAAUCGCCGAGGGAGUUUUUGAGGCGGUGGCCACUGAGGUGGUGCCCGAGAGAGCUCCGGAACCUGUAGCAGAUAAAAGACCCACUGAGCCAACAAUAGUAGGCUUGCAAUCACAGCUUGAACAAGUUUGGAGAUGUCUUGUAGAAGAAUCAGUGGGAAUCAUUGGCCUAUAUGGUAUGGGCGGUGUUGGUAAAACCACACUAUUGACCCAUAUCAACAAUAAAUUUCUUGAGAGUCCCACAAACUUUGAUUGUGUGAUUUGGGUCGUAGUUUCAAAAGACCUGCGACUUGAAAAAAUUCAAGAAGAUAUUGGGAAGAAGAUAGGUCUCUCUGAUGAUUCAUGGAAGAAUAAAAGUUUUGAAGAGAAAGCUGUGGACAUCCUGCGGAGAUUAGGAGAGAAGAGAUUUGUAUUGUUGUUAGAUGAUUUAUGGGAGCGGGUUGAUUUAACAGAAGUGGGCGUUCCACUUCCCAGCGCACAAAAUACUACCUCAAAAGUCGUAUUCACAACCCGUUCCAUUGGUGUUUGUGGCAGCAUGAGAGCUAGGCCGGUUAAAGUGGCAUGCCUAUCAGAAAAGCAAGCUUGGGAAUUGUUCCGCGAAAAUGUUGGGGAAGAAACUCUUGAGAGUGAUCAUGAGAUCGUUGAGCUAGCCCAAACUGUGGCCAAAGAGUGUGGUGGUUUGCCACUCGCACUUAUUACUAUUGGUCGAGCUAUGGCCUACAGAAAGAAAGCGGAGCAGUGGAGACGUGCAAUUGAAGAGUUAAGAAGAUCAGCUUCAGAGUUUGCAGGUUUGGGAAAAGAGGUGUAUCCUCUUUUAAAGUUUAGCUAUGAUAGUUUGCAGAAUGAUACAAUUAGAUCUUGUUUCUUGUAUUGUUGUUUAUAUCCUGAAGAUUAUGGCAUUCUUAAAUGGGACUUGAUUGAUUGUUGGAUUGGCGAGGGAUUUUUUGGGGAAUCUGACAGGUCUGGUGCAGAAAACCAAGGCUAUGACAUUUUGGACACUCUUGUUCGUGCACGUUUAUUAGAAGAGGUGGAAGAUGAUAAAGUAAAAAUGCAUGACGUUAUUCGUGAUAUGGCUCUAUGGAUAGCUUGUGAAAUUGAGAAGGAGAAGAGAAACUUUUUGGUUUGUGCAGGUGCUGGAUUAAAAGAGGCACCGGAUGUUAAAGGAUGGGAAAAUGUGAGAAGAUUGUCAUUGAUGCAAAACCAAAUUAAAACUCUGUCAGAGGUUCCCACAUGCCCUCAUCUCCAUACUUUAUUUCUUGCCUCUAAUAUGGAGUUGGAGAUGAUCGCGGAUGGCUUCUUCCAAUUUAUGCCUUCUCUCAAAGUUUUGAAGAUGUCACGCUGCUGGAAUUUUCAAUUACCUGUUGGGAUGUCAGAUUUGGGUUCGUCACUAGAACUUCUUGAUAUUUCACGUACCAAAAUAAGAGAGUUACCAGAAGAGUUAAAGUUGUUGGUAAAUCUGAAAUGUUUGAAUUUGGGGUGGACAAGGGAGUUAAAUAAAAUUCCACGGCAACUAAUAUCAAAUUCUUCAAGGUUACGUGUGUUGAGAAUGUUCGCUACUGGCUAUGGGGGUCUUCAUGGAGCAUCAGAAGAUAGCGUUUUUUUUGGCGGGGGUGAAGUUUUGAUACAGGAAUUGCUCGGUUUGAAAUAUUUAGAGGUAUUGGAGUUGACCUUGGGAAGUUAUCAUGCUCUCCAAAUUGUUUUGAGCUCAAAUAAGUUGAAAAGUUGUAUUCGAUCUCUUUUCCUCCAGUUGUUCAGAGAUACAACGUCGAUUAUUGAUGCUACGGCUUUCGCAGAUCUAAACCACCUCAAUGAAUUACAUAUUUAUAUAGGUAUUGAGUUGGAAGAGUUGAAGAUUGAUUAUACAGAGAUAGUACGAAAAAGGCGGGAACCUUUUGUUUUCCGCAGCCUUCACCUUGUUACUAUACAUAGCUGCCCUAAAUUGAAAUAUGUGACAUUCCUCGUUUUUGCUCCAAACCUCAAGUCUCUUGAGCUAUGGAAUUGCCAUGCUAUGGAAGAAAUAAUCAGCGUCGGAAAAUUUGCUGAGACUCCUGAGAUGAUGGGACAUAUAAGCCCUUUUGAAAAUCUCCAAAGGCUUAAUUUAGAAGAUUUGCCAAAUUUGGAGAGCAUCUACUGGAAGCCAUUGCCUUUUACUCGUCUGAAAGAAAUGGCGGUACUUGGGUGCGAUCAGCUUGAAAAGCUUCCGGUCGAUUCCAAUAGUGCAAAAGAGCGUAAAUUUGUAAUUCGUGGAGAAGAAGACUGGUGGAACCGACUUCAAUGGGAGGAUGAAUCCACUCAAAUUGCUUUUCGUUCCUGUUUCCAACCUGAUUCCUGAGCGGUGGUCGCAAAAUUUGAUUUCUGGUGAGUGCGUUUGUCUUUUAAAAGAAGAAUUUAAAAGAAAUUAUUCUUGUCGUUUGUUUUCUUCUGUGUUUUUAUUUCAGUUUCUUUCUCUCUCUCUCUCUCUCUCUUUUUGGUCUUCUGCAAAUCACAAUUAAAUGUUGAAUUAAUGGAAUUAAUGCUUCAUAAAUUUGCCGGCACUGCCAUUACUGUUUUUUGGGGGGGUCGAAUUGAUGCUCUGGUUUUUUACUUUUUGUUGUCAAAUUUUGCCCUGUUCUAUCUUCUUAGCGAUUUAAUUUCCUGUCAAAAGACGAGCGAGAAGAACAUAUAUAUGACUUAAACCAAUUGAUACUUUAUUUAUGUGCAUUGUAUGUAAUAAAUAUUAAGUAUACUUUAUUUUGCCCUGUUCUCUGUUUUUAUUUCAGUCUCUCUCUCUCUCUCUUUCCUGUCUUCUGCAAGUCAUAAUUAAAUGGUGAAUUAUAUGGAAUUAAUGCUUUACAAAUCUGCCUGCACUGGCUUUUUUUUUUUUUUUUUUGUGGGGUCGAAUUGAUGCUCUGGUUUUUUUUUGUUGUCAAAAUUUUCUCUGUUUUUUCAAAUUGAUGCUUUAUUUAUAUCUUCUUCGUGAAAAGUGAUUUAAUUUCCUGCCAAAAGACGAACGAGAAGAACAUUAGAGUCAAACUAAUGCUCACAUAAAUUUCCCGUCAGAAUAUAUAAUUAGACUGGAAUAGUAGCACUCUUUACAGAAAAUGACGUGAAAGUUAAUUUAGAAAGAUAUAUUCUUGACGUGAAAGUUAAUAGUAUACAUGCCAUCACCAUUACCAAGAAUCAAGCAUGGAAUUGGAAGUCAUUCUAUAGAGUGCAGAACAUGACUCUAUGCGGUAGUCAAUUUGACACACGACGAACACCAUAUGCUGCAUAACAUACAAAUUAAUUUCCCAUAUGUGAUGCAAUUUGCUCCUCAACAUAUGCGCAAUUCUUUCCAUUCCGGCCGUUGAUUGAACCCUUUGGCAACAAGACGAGCUUUAAACUUGUCAACAGAACCGUUGGAAUGUCUUUUAAUACAAAAAUCCUUUUGCAGCCAACAAUAUUGGAAGGGAUGGGAGGUGGAACAAGCUUCCAUGUCCCGUUACGAACAAGAGCAUCAUACUCUUCUGACAUAGCUUGACGCCAGUGAGGAUUUUUGAUAGCUUGUGUCACAGUUGUAGGUUCACAAUCAGAAAAAGGGCUAAAAUGAGCACGGAGGUUAAGUUUUUGUAACGGCUUGUGAAUCUUAUUUUUAGCUCGGGUAGUCAUAUCAUGAUGAUUUGUGGGGCAAUGAUCUAGUGGAAGUUUGGGAAGAUGAUUGAACAGGAAGUGAAGAAGUGCUUUGUGUAGAGGUAGAAGUAGGUUGGGAGGAUUGCUGCGGCGAUGUUACCGGUAGAAAAGAAGGAGCAGUACACGGUGCAACUCCAGAGGGCCCACAGUAGAUGGAGUAGGUGCCGACGAUGGAGUACUAGGAAAUGAAACAGUAAGAAUUGGUGGAACACUUGCGUAAUUAGGAGUGGUUGAUGAGCUUGUAAUGAUUUGUAUGGAAAAACAAACUCUACAAAUUUAACGUGACGUGAAAAAAAAAUUUGAAAGGUGGAUGGGUCAAAACAUAAAUAAGCACUUUGAGAUAAAGGAAUAUCCUAGAAAAACACAAGGCUUAGAGGGUGGUUCGAGUUUAUGUGAUGAAACACAAACAUUCAAAAAUUUUUAAGUUUAUAUUAAUUAGGAGUGGUACCAAAAAUUAAUUAGCUAUGGGGUUGUUGGAUGUGUUUUGGAUAUUUACAGUUAAGUUUGAGUAUCUCAACUUAAAAUUUGUAGUUUUCACUUGAAAAAAUUCAGUUAAAUUUUGCAAUGCAGACUGAUUGAUUUAUCAGUUUAACGUGUGCCAGGAAUGAAGAACUGGAAUAUCACCGUCAAGCAAGCACCCUGUGGAGCAAUACCAAAGAAUGCACAAUCCGGCUUUGCUAGGUGACACUGGAGGCUUUUUGAAAAGUGCUUCACGCUCACUUGCACAGAUUGAGCAUCCCCUCUGGAUAUUGCCCUCUCUGAUCGAGUCUGAGCACUCAAAUUUCGGUCCUCAGAUGGAGCUACAGCUUUCUCUCCAAUAACCAACAAUUUUCUAAACUCAGCACCUAGUGUGAUCAGAGUUGUUGAUAUUUGUAAAUGGAGAUCCCCAUAUUUGUAAAUGGAGACAUUUAACAAAUCACCAACAUGCUUCAUCCGGUGUACAAAAUUCUGCAGCUGAUUCAAAUCCGGAACCUGAACCAGAGUCGGAGGUAUAUCUUGAGCCAUAUCUAAAGCAGUUUGAAGUUCAAGACCUUGAGCCCUUGACAAUGGUUUUGAAAUUGGAACAUCUUGGAUUACUGCAGACUUGUACCCCUUGGUUUCAAAGGUAAGGAAAGGCAUUGCUUGAGUACAAUUUGGAGGCAGCUUCUUCACCAAUUUUAUUUGGAGGCGAUUGGCAGCGGAUCCAGCUGCACCAAUUUCAGAGCAACUACUGACACUACUUCGAACAGCACACUGAAGAAGUGAUAUGUCUACAGCAAAGGCAAUGCAGUCCUCAUUUUGGCUUGAGAUGCGGUAAUCAUCGAAGAGAGUUUCCUUGUGAAACUGGGCAACACAUUGAAUCCCUUUGGCACUGAGAAGGUUGUGGAGGAAGUAAGCUUUCUCUCUAGUAAGGAAGAGGUGGCAUACAUUCCCCAUUUUGUCUAGGGCAGGUAGGAAUCUUUUUUCUAAGAGAUUUACUUCAUUCUCUGUGAGAAAUGCUUUGAACUUCAUCCCUCUGUCUCUAUCCUCACUUAUCAGUAAAAUAGUUGAAAGCGCUACAAGGAGAGAAAAGAAGAGUAUUAAGAUAUAUAUAGACAAGAAAAACAUUAGAUGUCGAUCUUACAAGCUAAUACUUCAAACAGUAUCCUAGAAAGCUAAAAACUGCAAAAUGGCUUGAAAUUUGAAAAGAACACAUGCUUUUCCUCCAUAACUUGAGAAAAUGUUUAAUAUAGUGCACCUUACAGAAACAUUUAAGCAAUUAGAACUUUGCACAAAAACAUUCAAGAAGACUAAACAAAUCAGAUGCAGUGUAUUUCUCCAAGCACAAAUGGCAUUGCAUUUCUUCCUCAACUGUAAUAUUUAUUGAUGAAAAUCAGUACAGGUCCCUCAUUUGUUAUGGAAAGCUUUCUUGUAGUCUGACCGGUUAAUUCACGGGUCUAUAAUCAUCUUGCAAAGUUACAGGCAUUUCUUUCGAUUUAAAGUCUUUGCAUCACCACCUCAUCACACACCAAGCCAAUAUUCCGUCUACCUCUACAACAAAAAGUUUUAAGUAAACGAUCCUAAUGCAUGCAGCCAAAUAAAAUGCAGUAAGAAUAUUCAACUUAAAACUCUGAAAGCCAUCUUGGUGAAUUGCCUCCUUAGGGGAAGUUCCAUGAUUUACUAUAGUUGACAGAACUCAGCAAAAGCUUCCAUACAACAGAUUUUGAAAAUGAUGAUGCCAAUAGAUACUCAUUCAAUCCAUUGAAAAUCCAAAGGUUCAUUGUUAGAUCACGAGCAAGAAACAAAAUGGAGACACGCAAUAUGAAUAUGGAGAAAAUUUGAACUCAAAUGAAAUGAGGGCACGAAAGCAAACACAUGGCAUGCGCAAACAAACCAAGCCUCAAUCAAAAACUAAUUAACCAUUAAGAAAAAAAAACUGGUCAGAGAAUGAACUCCAAAUUCGGGAGUGAAGCAAGAAGCUUUCAUUAUUUCAGAAGCUCCUGUACAAAUUAAUAAGUUAUGCUCUUUGGAAACAAACCUAAAUUCCAAGAGAAACAGAACUCAAAAAAUUUGCAAUUAUACGCAAAGGAAGUGAAGCACAGCAUUCUAUCACACGUACGAAUUGUACAACAAGAGAUCGACACAUCGAAUCAGAAGAACUCAAUUCAAAUUUGUCUCAAAAAUCAAAAUUAGAAGAUUUCACAUUUCGAGAGGAACAAGCGACAGGUCAGAUGCAAAAUUUUCAGCCACAACAUGGCACAAUUAACGGUUUAUUUCCAUGGAUUUAGAGAGAUCGCGCGCCAAAAUGGAAGAGGGAAAGCGAAAGUGCGGGUUUUAAUAGGGUAUUGGAUUAGCAAAUUUUAUUAGUUUGCGAGGGUAAAAUAGGAAAGAUAUAUCACUAUUAAGCUUUUUUUUUAAUAAAAAAAAGAAUAAUAAAGAAUAUUUUAUUGUCAUUUGCAGCAUUUAAUUUUUUUUUUAAAUGCUAUUAGAAAAAUACGACAAUAAAGAAAUGCUCUUUUUUUUUUUUUUUUUUCUGGAAGGUAAAAUCAAUUAUUUAGCUCCUUAUAUGUAAUCAAACUCCAUUUCUUACUUUAAGUCAUAUCCAACGGACCAACAAAGUAAUUUUUUUUUUUUCAUUCAUUUUUGCAGAAAAUUAAUAACUUAAAAAUAUUGAAAGCUAUUCUAAAAUUUUUUAUUAUCAACCUCAUAGUUUAAUUUUUUUGGGGAAGAAUUGAAUUUUUUUUUUUAAUUUCCAAGAAUUUCAUUCUCUAGUUUUUCCAUUAAUAUUAUUUAUCUUGAUACCCAUCUUAAUUAAAAUCUGUAGUUUUAUUCAAGAGUCAUGCUAUUCAUUCACUCACAGGCAAAAGGCUUUCCGCAGCAAUAUUAUUAUUUAAAUUACAACAAAGGGGAAAUCAAAUACGUCAUACAGAAGCAUAAAGCUGAAUCUACAAAAUCUAGAGCUCUCAACUACAUAAAUUACACUUGAUGACCCUCUACAAGAUGAAGCUUGUUCAAUAUCUCAUCCAAAGCUUGUAAAGUAACCCUGUAACGAUCUUGAGAUUGCCUGCCUUCCUCGACGACCUGCACGAUGCGUUUGUACAAAUCAUCAUACCUGUGCACCGGAUUUUUAAUAUCAAUGGCACUGCAGCUGUGAUCAAGAACAUAAGAGCGUUUAACGUCUUUUCUCCAUCGAGAAAGAAUGUACUGAGAUGGGAUCUCCUCCAUGCCACUCUGGUUUAAAACACAAAGAAUGUGUCUGCAUAAAUAUCCUCUGAAAUUGAACAACCCACAAACACAAAGCACCUCCAAGUCAGAGGCAUUGUACAAAACAUCGAAAGCCCUUGAAUCUUUCUCGUUGCUACCAACCUCAAAUUCUUCUUUCACUAUGUAUGUUAUAGGUCCAUCAGCACUGACAUGUUUUGUGCUAUAGCAAGAGUACAUAGCCUCCACCUCCGUCUGAAACUUCCUUAACAUUUCAUUUGUGUACAGUUGUGAGAGUUGAAAUUCAUAGUAACAUCUUGGUUUCUGGAUACAACUUGAAUUUCUUGGAUCCAUAUCUGCCAAGGCUUCCAGUUGAUAAUUCGCCUGCAGUGCUUGAUCAUACUUGUCUAAGAAUUCUUUCAAAGGAGUAUUCUUAUGAAGAUAUCCUUCAAAGUAUGAAGUAGAAACCUCAUUCUGCAGGAACGAAAACACUCCUGAUAAAAAAGCUUCCUUCAAAUAAAUAGGAGCCCACCUUUUACGAUCUUCAUAUAACGUUUGAAUCCAUCCGUGAUCCUUUAUUCCAUGACGUUGAAUCAUGUCUUCCCAAGCUGCUUCAAAUUUCUCAGGCCAGAGAGAGUGAUAAAUUGCUCUAUGUAAUGCAGCUUUAAUAGCUUCAUAUUCAAACAAUCCUUGGAGUUUCUCUGGAAUUUUUUGCAUGAUGCAUGACAAUGAAAAGCAAUGAUAAGCUCUUGGGAAAACAUCGCCAGCAGCAAUUUGCAAGAUUCUACAUUGGUCAGUGAUGAUUGUUUGUGGAGAGCGCCCUAACAUACAUGUAAGCCACGCCCUAAACAACCAUGUCUAUGAUUCUAUGGUCUCACUGGCAAGUAAACCACAACCCAACAACACUGAUUGUCCAUGAUGAUUCACCCCAAUGAAUGAAACCAGUGGUACAUCAUAUCUUUCAGUCAAGCACGUAGUAUCAAUUAAGACUACAUCACCAAAGUACCUAUAUGCAACUCUUGACCUGAUAUCAGUCCAGAACAGGUUUCUCAAGCAUCCCUUUUCAUUUAGUCCACUACAUUAAAAAAGUUUGGAUCUGUCAACUGCAAACGACAAAAGAAACUCUGGAUAGCUUGUGCAUCUCCUGGUUUAAGCUUCAAUUGAUUUGAGCUAUUAACAUUAUUUCCAAAUACUCCAUUAACAUCUACAUUACCAUUUCCCUCGGUAUCAAUGAUAAGAGUUCGAAACAGUUUAAUUUUUUGAACUUCUUCAGCACUAUCUAAAUGCAAUGUUCUUUUGGUUCCAAUACCUAUGUGCUUAUGUGACUUGUAAAACUUUCCACUUCUUGGGCUUAACAAGUGGUUAUGCUCAAGCUCGACUUCAAUGAUUCUCCACCUUUUGGUUUCCAUCAACCUAAACUUUAUCAUUGCUGGACAGCCAGUUCUUGUUUCUGGUCUUGGGCGGUUUGCCUCGCUUUUCUUCUUGAAGCCUGCACUACUACAGCUCAGCUUUCCUCUAUACUUUACUCUUUUGGUACCAUGUAUUGCUAACUCUAACACCAAAACCAUGUUCCUUGGCAUAGCAAUUGUAAAAGUAAAAUACAUCAUCAUACAUCUCAAACUCCAUUCCAACAGCAGGAGGCAAGGGAUUUUGGAUUAUCCCAGUUUGUCCAACAUAUUCAGUCAUCGCACAAUCUCCUACGACCUCAAAAUCAUCAGUGUCAUCAUCACCUACUGGUUCGGUGUUGAGAGAAACUUCAUCCAUCUACAAUGGAUGUUCAAUGAAGUGAGCUUUAAGGAGAAAAAGCAAAAUCAGUUCAAGGAAUGAUAAUAUAAUCAUAUAGUUACUUUCACAAAGCUUCAUAUUUCAUCACUGCUUUACCAACAUGCAACUGCCAGAGAACAAACAGACAUGUCAUAGACGCUUGAAUUAAGUAUUUGUACAAAUGAGCACACAUCAUGUGGGACAAAAUUUCAGUCACUAAACCCAAUACCACUUUUUACAUCAUACCAAGGAACAGAUUAAACCCGACACCUUCUUUUAAACCAUACCAAGGAACAGAUUAAAUCAUCAAUGAAAAAUUAAUCACAUAAUAACUUAACCAGACAAAUGAAGAGCCUGAAACAGCACAAAACUUGAAUAUGAUUAUGAUAAUUGUUGAGUCCUUGUAUCUACAGCUUUCCUUCAAUGAUAAGACAAUGAACAUAAACGAGAUGCAAAAAAUUUAUUUUAAGCUGACAGCCCAUGAUAUAAAUCAAACAAAAUCAACUCCUUUUUUUACACAUCACAUCUCAUAUUCAUUUACAUUGAAACACAAAAAGGAAGCAGGAGUGGGAAAAAAACAACAGCAGAGGAACUUAUUUCCAUAAGGUUUACGAAAUAAGGAAUCUAUUAAAACCCAAAACUUGAGGUCACCACUAAGAAUUUCGUUCUCAUUAUUUUUUUCUUCAUUUUUCACCAAUGAUGAACUUAAAAUACAAUCAUAAAUGAUAAAACCCCAUCUCCAUCUUUUUGAACUAGAGCUAAAGCAAAGCAUUUUAAGAUGUUUCAUCAUUUUUUUUAAAAAAAAAAACCUCAAUAGUACAAUGUUUUUCAAUGUUAAAUGCACAAUUCAAUCUUCUCCUAAUUUACUCUAAUAAUCUCUUAAUUAAGGAAGAUUAAGCUUCAGUUGUAAGCUAAAACAAAUUUCUUAAAUCAAGCCCCAAUGCUUUAUGCUAUUCAACAAGGGCUCAUAAAUGAUAAAACUACUUCUACAAAGAUACCCAUUUUCUAAAUUAAUUUCACAAACUGAAAUCAAACUCCUGAAACGUAACGAGCAUUAAUAUAAUCAAACCCGAACAAGAAUUGAAAAACGACACAUAAACUCGUUUACACAUUUUGACAGACACUUUGCAAUCAAUGAGCAAAAAAUUAAUGGAGAAGAUAAAAUUCAAACGAAACAUGCCUUACAUUGAUAAAUUAGAAGGGCAAAAGAAAUUUUAGUAAGAUAUGGGAUCAGGGUCUUGCCACGGUGAUGUUAUUUGUGAUGUUCGAGCGACUCAGCAGCCUUCGAGGUUGAAAAUUUGAUUGACCAAAAGCUUCCCGUUCGUUGAUUCUCUAAUAGCAGAAACGAGACUGGCAGUAUACACAACAAGUUCGCUGAUUUUAAAUUCCGUUGUUUGAGAUGGAAAUUUUUUUUGAAAAAAUUAAUGUGUUCGAUGAAUAUCAAAAUCUAAAAAACUUUUUGUUUUUCAUUUUUUUGGAAAAAGCCAUUGAGAUCCUUACUAUUUUUUCUUAUAUCAUCUUGCUUAAUAAUUUGCAAAGUCUAUCGCAUAGCACCCAUGCAUGAUGUAUGCUGCGUUGUAAUUUACAAAAUUGCACAUGAAUAAAUCCAGCUAAAAUUUGUUAAAAGAAAAUAAUAAUAACAUGUUAAAACUUAAAAAUUUGAUUAUUCGAAGAAAUUUUAAUUUAGUUAAGUAGGUGACAUGAUAAUAAAUAGAUACGUAUAAUGUCCGAGAUUUUUAUAAGAUUAAUAAAUAUGAUAAAAUUAAACAUGCAAAUAUACACACUAAUUUAGAUGUGUGAAUAACAAAUAUGGAACGACACAUGCAAAGUCAUCUGUAUAAUUGAAACGCCAUGCACUAGUAGUAGGUAAGAGAAACCAAGGUUGAAGUUGCUCCAAUGGUUACUGUUCAUUUAUUUUUAUUUAUGAUUUUUAUGUAAAAUGUAAGAAAUAUGUAGAAAUGUUGCCAGCAAUGAUUUUGGAACUUUGCAUAAAAUUUUUAUCAUUAUUGUUUUUGGUAUUAAGAAAUCCGAGGCGGUGAUUAGACGUAUGUUGCAACAAUUAAGAAAUUUCUUAUUGGAGAUAAUUUGGUAGGUUGCAGCAAUUAGAGAAUAAUUUUCCUGCCGGUUAAUCAAUCAAUAAUAAAUUUCAAAUUGCAGAAAAUAAAAUAAUACUGUCGCACUUAGAAUCAUAUUUUCUAUCUCUUUCAAUUGUGGCAAUCAUUUGUAACAAAUAAAUCAAUUUGAUGCACAUCAUUUCCCCAAUUCAAAGUUCAAGUCACUGCUCAAUUGCAGAGUAGUUAGUAGACAUGCAUGCAUGUUUAAUUAAGUACUGCAUUGUAGUAUCGAAAAUCAUAACAUCUCACCAAGCCCAGAAACUAUGGGAAACAUGAUCUCACUCUCAGUGUCACUUGAUUCCAUUUUCUGUUCUUGCCUUGAUUUCGAUGUUGGGAAUGUGACGUCUGAGUCUAAGGUUGAAGAUAAUCUCGAUGCCUUGCGGACUGCAAUGGAAAAAUAAGCGGAAACGAGAAAUGAUGUGAUAAUAUUUACAAAAGAAUGGAUCGAGUGCAGGGCUGGCUUUCAAGGGUAAAAGCUGUGGAAAAUAAAGCUGAUGAUUUGAUGAGACACAGCUCUCAAGAGAUUGAGAAGUUAUGCCUUGGAGGCUUCUGUUCCAAGAACUGCAAAUGAAGCCACAGCCGUGGGAUAGAAGCUGCUACAAUGCUACGAGUUGUGGAGACUUUAAUGGGUGAAGGAUCAUUUGAAUUGGUGGCUGAGAGGGUGCCAGAAGAUGCAGCAGAGGAGAUAAAUUGUGAGUCAACAAUAAUGGGCAUGGUGUCGACUUUUGAGAAAGCCUGGAGAUGCCUUGAAGAAGAAUAAGUUGGAAUUAUUGGCCUAUAUGUCAAUGGGAGAGUUGGAAAUAUUUACUCAAAUCAACAAGAAGUUCCUUGAUAGUCCAAAUAAUUUUGAUGUUGCAAUCUGGGUAGUGGUCUGCCAAGAUUUGCAACCCCAGAAGUUUCGGGAAAAGAUUGGGAAAAAGAAAGGCUUGUUCGAUGAGUCAUGGAAGAACUGAAGUUUUGAAGAGAAAGCACUCGAUAUAUUCAAGAAUUUAAGCAAGAUGAAGUUUGUAUUACUGCUGGAUGAUAUAUGGGAGCAGGUUGAUUUAAUUAAAAUUGGUGUCCCUCUUCCAAGCACAAAAAUUACAUUCAAGAUAGUCUUCACAGCUCCUUCUAUUACAUUUGUGGCCUCAUGGAAGCUCACGACAAGAUUAAAGUGGAGUGUUUAAAUGACGAAGAAGCAUGGGAAUUAUUCUGCAAGAAGGUUGGAGAAGAUGUGGCGACUCUGUCCAAGUGCUAAGGAGCUCAGCCUCAGAAUUUCUAGGUACGGAAAAAUAAGUAUAUCCUCUUUUGAAAUUCAGUUAUGAUAAUUUACCUAGUGAUAAAAUUAGAUCGAGUCUGUUAUACUGUAGUUUGUUUCCAGAAGACUUUCCAAUUAGCAAAAUGGAAUUGAUACUGAGAUAUGAAAUCAAGGAUACUACAUUAUUGGUGUUCUUGUUCCUUUAUGUUUAUUGGAAGAAGAGGCUCCACUAUAUGUAAAAGUGCAUGAUGUGAUACGCGAUAUGCUUCUGUGGAUCGCAUGUGAAUUUUUUUUUUUUUUUUUGAUAGGGAUAGUAUGUGAAGUUGAGAAGGAGAAAGAGAAUUUUUUGGUUCGUGCAGGUGCAAGGAUUAACUGAAGUACCAGACAUUUGGAAAUGGGAAGGGUUGAGAAGGGUGUCUUUGAUGAGCAACAAAACUGAGAAGUUAUCAGAAAUUCCUUCAGAUCCCCAUCUACUGACUUUGUUGCUUCAACGUAAUUAUUUAGAGAUGAUCAAUAAUGACUUCUUCCAAUCUAUGCAUUCCCUUAGAGUUUUGAACUUAUCAUGUAAUCGUUCUCUAACUGAUAAUUUCAAAGUUAGUUUCCCUACAACAUCUUAAUUUAUCAAUGACUAACAUACGAGAGUUGCCGAUUGAGUUAAAGUUUGUAGUGAAUCUUAAGUUUUUGAAUGUGGAGUAUGCACGGUUUCUUCAUUCAAUUCCAGGGCAAGUGAUAUCCAGUUUUACGAUGUUACAAGUUUUGAAGAUGUUUGGUUGUGGCAGGUCAUCUUCUGAUCGUGAGCCACACCAGAAGAUAGCGUUUUAUUUGGAGGCAGUAAACUUUUGAUUGCGGAGUUGUUUGGUUUGAGAGACAUUUAGAUUUGUUGACCAUCAUCCUAAGAAGCUCCCAUGCUCUGAAAGAUUUUUGAGCUCCAACAAACUUCAAAGUUGUACUCAAUCUCUCUAUCCUAAAUGCUUUGAUUCGAAGUCAGUUGAUGUUUUUGGCCUGGCUGAUCUGAAGCAUCUCAAUAGGCUAUAGAUAUUGCGAGUUGUAAGCUUUUGGAAGAAGUGAAGAUUGACUUUGUUGGGAAAGCACAAUGAACCCAUGGUUUUCACAGCCUUAUGUCACAGAAGUUGUGUAAAUACUGCACGGGUUGCUGCCAUCCCAUGACAUUGAGCCAUGUUGAAAUAUCAUUUUGCUGUAAACUGAGGGAUCUGACAUAGCUUGCUUUUGCUCCAGGCCUUCUUGUUGUUUCCAGAAAACAUUGCCAUGAUAUAGAAGAAAUACUCGGUGUUGGAAAAUUAGGUAAAGAGAUGAUGUCAAACCUGGAACCUCCUACAAAACUCCAAGGUUACGUUUGUCAUGUGGGAUUGGAUUGAACUAAAUUAUUAAGAUUGAAUUAAAUUGAAUUAUAUUUAUAUUCUUAUGUUUAGUACCGGAUUGAACUAUAUUAGAUUAUAUUUAAAUAAUAUUAAAUAGUAUUUAAGUUGGUAUUUUAAUAUAAAUAUCAAUUAUCCAUGAAAUUUUAUAAUCAUAAUUAAAAUAAAUUUAAAAAGUAAUUACUAGGAAAAUUAAAUAUAUUGCAAAAAGUUAUUGGGUAGUCAUAAUAUAAUAAGCAAAUAAAAUUAAAUAAAACAAAUUAAAUAUUUAAUUAAUUUUUAUCAAAUAUUUAAAAAUAUUAUAUAAAAUCAAUUAAUUAAUGGUUUUAUUAAUUUUCAUGAUUAUUUUUAAUAUUACAUUAGUGAUUAUUAAAUUUAAUACAAUCAAAUAAUGCAAUAAAUAAUUAAACGUUUAAUUUUAUCGAUUAAUUAUUAAAUAUACAAGUAAUAAAAAUUUAAUCUCAGGAGUUGGUAGAAGCAAAAGUACUAAUUUAAUUACAUCAUAGAUAAUAAAUAAAAAUAAAUUCUAAGUAAAUCAUAAUAAAAAAAUUAAUUAAUUGAUUCAAUCAAUCAAUAUUAGGUGUAAAUAAAAAAAGAGUAAUGAUAUAGCCACAAACUCUUGCACAAACUUAUUUUGUACAAACUCAUGUGUCAUGAUAAGAUUAAUUAAAUUAAAUAUCACUUGACCUACAUGAUUUAUUUUUAUUAUUUUAUAUUUUCAUUCAACCAAUGAAUUAACGCCACGUCAGUUUGUAUAAGAUAGGUUUGUACAAGAGUUUGUGGCUGUAUCGUCGCUUAUAAAAAAAAAUAUAAAUAAAAAUAUCAUAAAUAGACAACUUUUAUCUUUAAUCUUAUUCCAACUAAACACAUGUGUAAAUUAGAAUUAUUAAUCCCAUGAUUUUAAGAUUAAAUUCAAAUUUAUUCCCCCUUAAUCCAAUCCAACUAAACUUGUCAAACAUGGGAUAAAAAUUUAAUUCUAAAAUUAGUACAAUUCCAUAUUUAAUCCUAACAUCCAAAUAUAGCCCAAGUUGUUUGCUUAAAGAAGCUACCAAAUUUGAAGAGCGUUUACGGGAAGGCCUUGCGUUUCCCAGAUGUAUGCAGAAUUUUUGUAUCUAAAUGCCCAGAACUUAAGAAGCUGACGCUGGAUUUGAAAGGGCGGGCCAAGGUAAAAUUCUUAUCAAGUGAAAGGAAAAUCGGUGGGAACAACUUCAAUGGGAGGAUCAAGCAACUCAGGAUGCAUUGCUUCUGUUUUUCAAAUCAACUGACAAGUGAUUGAAGGGGCCAUCAUCAGCCUGGAUGGGGAGAUCCUGGAGCAGAUCAGCAGGGUUUGAAUCUGCAUCAUCAACAUCAUCAGGAUCUCUAUUUCUAUUGCUGGUCGUAAUGCCUGCCUACUGUUGCUUGAAAAAGUGAUUAAGUGAGCCAGUUUUUUGUUUAUUAAAUUUUGUCUUGUGGAGACAGUCACAAAGUAUUUUUCAAUUAUGAUAUUCUGUGGGAAAUUGCAAGUAUUUUCAAAUAUGAUCGUUACUAAAGGAAACAAAGGAAUCAACACAGCAUACUGAACCUCAGCAGUAUGAAGCUAAUGAUUAAACUCCUCACACAAUUCAUGACAUGCAAAACCAUUCACAAAAUCAUCCACAGCAACCAUAAUUGGCGUUUACAAGAAUUACUUUUCUGUUCAUGCAAUCGGCGUCUGAACGCGGCUGAUCGGUCACCAGUGUUGGCGUUUACUGUGAUUAGACAAAUUGUAGGACUUCAAAAAUAACUUCUAUAGAGGUAAUUUCGAUUUCACAUAAUUAAUUUUAGGGAAAUUUACACUCGUCCACCUGUUUGUUUUGCCUUUUUCAAAAAUACACAAACACUUUUUUUUUUUUGCAGCGCGUCACCUGAAGUUUAUUUUUUGUUGCAUUCAUUCACUUCCGUCUAAUUUCCGUUAGUGGAUUUAACGGAAUGUUAACGAAAUGACCUUUUUACCCCUCAAAAUUAUAAUUUAACCCAAAAUAAAUGGAAAUUAGAGAUAAAUUAGGUGGAUUUAAUUUUUUUUAAAGGUGGAUACUAGAAAUUGGAGGAAAAUAGUGUUUGUUGCUUGCUAAAUUUAGAAAAUUUGUAUUUAUUUUUUUGAAAGACAAAAAAAUAAAUACACAAAAAAAAUAAAUACACAAAAAAUAAAUACAAAUUUUCUAAAUUUAGCAAGCAAUAAACACUAUUUUUCUCUAAAAAAAUAAAUAUAAAUUUUUUAAAUUUAGCGGGCAACAAAUAUUAUUUUCCUCCAAUUUCUAGCAUCCACCUUUGAAAAAAAUUAAAUCCAUCCAAUUUAUUUCUAAUUUCUAUUUAUUUUGGGUUAAAUUGUAAUUUUGAAGGGUAAAAAGGUCAUUCCGUUAAAUUCACUAAUGAAAAUUAAACGGAAGUGGACGAAUGCAACAAAAAGUAAACUUCAGGUGGCGCACUGAAAAAAAAAAGUGUUUGUGUAUUUUUAAAAAAGACAAAACAAACGGUGGACGGUUAUAAAUUUCCCUUAAUUUUAUUUACAAUAUUUUAUGCCUGCUAGGUCAAUUGAGAUUCUUUCCACCGGGCACACUCUUCAUGUUCUUUUAUUUUCUGUCUUUUAUUAGACGUUGGAUUUUACUACUCUUUUAUCCAACGGCUUGCCACAACAAGACAAAUGAGGUGGUACAUUCAUUUUAUGUCCUUUCAUGUUUUUGAAUUACUGAAGACAAGUGGCUCGUCGCUUUUACUGUAGGUAAGAUCCAAAUUAUCUCGAUUAUCAAAAUAAUUAUUUUAAAAUACCUUAAUUGUUUUUAUUUUUAUGUUGCCGGAAUCAGAAUGAGCUGAAAUCAGAAUGAGUAAGAAUAAAAAUUGACUGAAAUGUAAAUAAUGAAUGAGAAUUAAAAUAAAUUGUUUACUUAAACUAUAAGAAUCCAAAUCAAAAUGAUUGCCAUUAAUGUGUUUCCUUUGUCUUGAAAUCGGAAUCAUAAUGAAUUAAAUUGUAACAAAUUAUUAAAAAGUACUUAAUAAAUUAUUAUCAUAAUUAUUAUUAAUUAAUUGUAAAAUUUUUUAAUUAAUUAUAAUAAUUAUAAUGAUAUUCGGCCACCACGAGACCAUAACGAAGCCAGAAACACAUGCUUCUUCUGCCGUUUCGAAGUUUUAAAUUUAAAAAUUAAAAACACAAUUUUCCAUUGAAAAAUAUCAAAAUUAAAUCUAAAGAAUUUGAAAAAUCCAAAAUCCUUACCCGUCCCUCUCACUGUCCCUCUUAUUCGCUUAUUCUCUCUCUCUCUCUCUCACUCACCCGAUCUAGGGAUGGGCACGGUUCGGUUCGGUUCGAAAUUAAGUAGAACCGAUUUAAAUCGGUUAUUUUAUAAAAAGAACCGAACUCAAUAAGAACCGAACUCAAACGGUUCUUUUCGGAUCGGUUCGAUUUGGUUCGGUUUUUUCGGUUUUGGGCCUAUUUUGAAUUUUUAAAAUUUUAGUCCAUUGGGCCUCAUGAAUGUAAUAAUUUUUUUCAAUAAUUAAUUUAUCCUAAUUUUAUUACAAAUAUUAACAAUAAAUACAAAGUAUUCAAAACACAGUUUAUCACUAAUAUCUUACUAACUAUUAAUAAGAUACUCCCAAAUAUAUGAAAUAUUAAAAUUUCAAAAUACAUAACCAAACUCCAAUACUCCAUCUAUAUAAACAUAAUCAUAAUGUUAUAAAGAGAAAUAACACAUGUUUGAUUUGAAUAAAAUCAAAAAAUAAUUUGGUUUUUCGGUUCGGUUUUUCGGUUCAGCUAAGUGAAUCGAAUACCGAACCGACAUUUCGGUUUUUUUUACAAACGGUAUAUUCGGUUUUUUUUAAAAAUAAAAAUCGAACCGAAUUAGAAAAAACCGUCGGUUCGGUUCGGUUUUUUUAAGACUACGGUUUUUUUGCCCACCCCUAACCCGAUCUGCCUCUUUUACUCACCCACUAGCAGGCUGUCACUCACCCACAAAACUUGUCACGCCACGGCCAUUGUUGACCAGCCAUCAUCGCUGUCACGCCACGCCCAUUGCCGACCAGCCCAUCACUGAUCACAUCGCCGUUGACGGUGUGCUUGACGAUUUUGGACCUUUUUCACCUACGUAGGUAAUUAAAUUUAGCAUGUUGAGGAAAGUUUUGAUUUAUUGUAUUUAUAUUUUAAAAUUAUUAGAAAUAAGUUAUUGGAAAUGUAGAUUUUGUUUGAAUUAUAUAUGAUUAAUACAAUUUAUUUUUCAUGGUAUAAAAAUGAAGGAUUUGGAAAAAAAACUACAAAGUCGAAGAUUUUGAAGAAUUAGAUUAACAACAAUUUAAAUGGAAAUAAUGAAAAAACUGAUAAUGAUGUGGAUGUGAAACCAAAAAAGUAUGAGCCAAAGUUUGGGAUGUUGUUUGAUAAACACCAUUAUCUUCUUAUGAGCCAAAAAAGGAAGAAUUAGAUGACAACAAUUAAGGUAAGAUUAAACUACUUACUUAAUUAUUCUACAAUUAAUUUAAUUUUAAUUUUAAUGUAUCUUUUUAUGGAUUUGCAGGAUUCAAAUGUACAAACACCAUUAUCUUCUGAGGUGGAUAUUGUAGUCCCAACGCAUGAGAGCAAUAAGGAUCCUGUAAGUUUUAUGUUCUUUGAUGUAAUACUAUUUAAUUAUUUUAAUUUUUAAUGGUCACUAAAUAAUGGUCAUUAUUUAAGAACCUGUGAUCGCAUACCAAUUACAAGGAUGUGAUAUUUAUCCAUGGUUUCCUUUUGAUUCUUACAUUGUAAGUUAUAAUCCAAUUUCUAUAUUUAUGCCUAGUUAAUUUUGCAUUUUCUGGAAUGUAAUAUGGUUCUUAUUUUGUACAAACUAGCAAUCCCCAUCACUCCCAUCUAUGUUGCCUUAUUCUUCAUCUUGGAUAUCGUAUAAAGGUUCUCAACAAAGGAGUUUUCAGUAAUCGCUACUUCAACAGAAUGAUAAUAACAAAGAAGUUUGAAGCAGACUUAACAGAUUGAUCAUUGACUUAUUCUUUUGUUGUGUUUUGUGUAUUAGUUGGUUGGAUGAUAUUACUCUAGUGCUCAAUGAUUGAACGUGGAAAUAUUUUGAAGGGUUUUUAUCCAUAUAUUCAAAGGGUUAAGUGUGUCAAUAACCAUUACAACAAUAAGAGUAGUUCAUAUAGAAAUGUCAAAUUAACCACACACAAAAGAAAAAGGUACAAAUAACUUAUUUCUAGUAAUUUUAAAAUAUAAAUACAAAAAAAAACCAAAUACUUUUCUAAUCAAAGUAUCACAUACAAGGUUUCGUAAAGGCCGUGUCAAAAGAAUUUCUUUAACUGAUUAAAUAUACUAAUUUUAGGUGACAAUAAUCUAAUAAUUUUAAACUAAAUUAACUUAAUUUCGCGAAAAAAAAUUCAAAAAACGCAUAGAAUUACGGAUCAAGUCUAAUUAACAAUCAAACGUAGUAACUCAGAUGCAUUUAUGCCAAAAAGAAUGUUCAUAAGACUACACAAAACCACCCAAAAAAAAUUAUAAAAUAAUAAAAGCAGCAGCUGCAAUAGAUUUUGCCUGAACAAGAAACACAACAAAACAAAGAGAAUAAAUCAAUCAAGGGCAUAAAUAGAUUGAACAAAAAAGGGCAAGAUCAGAGAAGAAACUGACCCACGACACUGGAUCCUCCUAAGCCUAGCGUCAUGGUUGCGGUUUUGAUGAUGCGUUAGCUGAGGUCUGACCAAAAUAUUGACAGUGACCUUGUGGGUGAGUGAGAGGUGAACGAGCUUCGUGGGUGAGAGUGAGAGCCGAGAGGGACAGAGCGGGUGAGAGAGAGAGAGGGUGAGUGAGGGGAGCGAUAAGAAUUUAGAUUUUUUUAGUUUGUUUUGAUUAGCUUUUAUUAUUUUUUAAUGGUAAAAUUUGUUUUUAAUUCUCAAAUCUAAAAUUUCAAAACGGCACAUACGCGUGUCGUUUCUGGCUUCCCUCUGUAACGAGGGCGGCCGAAUAUCAUUUUUUAAAUCAUUAUUUUAAAAUGGGUCUACAUUGCAACAGUAGUACGAUCCCAUUAUUAUUUUCAGUCAUUAAAUUUUAUUAAUAUAAUUAUAUAAUUAUAAAUUUAAUAAUUAAAAACAACAAUAAUAAUAUACUGUUGCAAUAUAAUUUUGACCUUUAAAAUGCCUUAAUUGUUUUUACUUUUAAUGUUACCGGCCUUUCUUAUAUUUUAUUAUAAAUUAAUACUAACAAGAAAAAGCUAGAUCAUUUUCCACAAAAAUAAAAGUGACAAAACAAUCAGCUAGAUUCUUUUAUUAAACUAUAAAUUAAAACGGAUUUUUUUUUAAUAAACUACAUAUGAAAGUGGAAUCUUUUGAAUAUAAGUGAGUAGGCUCUCUUUUUUUAAAAAAAAAAAACGGGGUAGGUUCUUUUAAUAAAGACAAGUCAUAAGUAUUAAGUAGUCACGACCAUUAGACUCUUUUAUUAGGACCUGUCUAUGGUACAGAUUCUGUAACAAACAUCUCCCGUCAUACCACCAUCCGAUCUUCUAUUGUUUAGUUUCUCACUUCACAUCCAACGGCUGAUGCUGCAGUCUGUAGCUUACAGAUUCUGUAAGCUAGUCAAGUCCCUUUUAUUAAAUUACAAAUUGUAGGAGGUUGCUACGUUACAGAAUCUGUAACAUACACAUUCAAUGGGAAGCAGCACACGUGUCCUGAAGAGAGAGAAAAAUCGGGCAAAUGCAGGCAAUGGCGGGUAAUGGGAGUUGGCUAAAAGUUGGAUAUGCAAAUUUACAAAAGAGUACUGCUAUUUACUCCGAAUGCUAACUCUGAAUUUACGCCCCGAGAGAUAAAACGACGUCGUUUUUUUUUUUUGCUUUGUAAUUUCAGCCAAAAAAGGUGGGCAGCACGUGGGUGAGCAUAUGCUUCAAUUAAUUUGGAACCAAAACGACGUCGUCUGUUCCUGCUUAAUCCUUCGUUUUGCUUUUCUUUCCAACCACAACGCUCGGCACCCAAAACUUCCACAAACUGCAAACUGCAAAACAUUUCCAUAUGCUAGCUCUUUAUGCAUGUGACCAAACACAACUUUCAUGUGUCUGUCUGCUUGUGUAUAUAGGAUGGAAACUUAUAUGGGUUUCUCCAAUCACCUGAAUGAUUGUAUUCUCAAAUGUUGCUUGUGGAUUCAUGGGAUUUGCUGUUCCAAAUGAUUAUGUUGAAGUCUUGACACUGAUUUGGGAAGGCUGUUGGUUUUAAUUUUGUUAACUAUUAGAGAUGUAGUACUUCUUGCAUGUCUAUUUCUUUUUCUUUUUUUGUCUUCCCUCUAAUUUAAUCAAUUUUAAAUGCACUAGAUGCCACAUGCUUUGUCUGCAUAUUUGUCUCUGGGCAUAGUCUGAAGAUGCUUUUGCCAACACAGAGCUGAUUUAGGGAAUGCCCAUGGAGCACUUGUAAGUGCCUGCUUUUCCAUAAAUCACAAAAUUUUAACAUGUCAAAACUUAAUGAUUCGUGAAAGUUGAAUGCUGAAUUUGAACGCCAACUUGUACAUGGGCUUUGGCAUACAGCAGCCAACAACGGUUCCUCAACGUAAGCACUUGUUUGAAACGCGUUUUUAUUUGCAGGCGCAAGAACUAUUGCUGCUGUUUGCAAAACAAAAAGUGAUUGCAAAACAAAAAGUAAAACGAAAGGAAAAGGUGUUUCGAUUGUAGUUCGUCAAAAUGAGUCCAAAAGAAAAGAAAAAAUGCGUCGAAACGGUGCGUUUCCUUUUAAUUUCAAAACGGCACGUUUCAUUCGGGGUGUUAGUCGAGGCGCAAGUCGGGACAAGCAGCUUCUUCCUUUAUAAAAUCUGUAACUUAAGUCAGCUCCCAAAUUGUAUAGUCUUUUUUCAAAUUGUACAGACAUUUAUAAAUUGGUGGCCCCUUGGAAAUUUAAUGCCAAGCAGACAAAAGUCAUCAUGCACAAUCCUCAAUAAUUAUUUCGCGUAUAUUUAUAAAUUGGUGGCCCCUACGUCCUCAAUAAUUGUUCAGAUACUUAUAAAUUGGCGGCCCUUGAUAAUUUAACAGCAGCUUGCAAGUGCCAACUAGUGAAAAGUCAUCAUUCACAAUCUUCCAAAUGAACCAAGGGACAUACAAAGAUUAAGACAUGUCAUUCUUUUUUCAUUCCCUUUCAUGUAACUUACAUCUAAAUACAUAAAUAAUAUAAAAUGAAUGGAGAGAUGCCGGAGCAUAUCAGCAGGGUUUGAAUAUGACCUUUGGCGCUUGUCUUUUUUUGUGAUUUUUUUUUUCAUUUUUUCCUUCCUGUCAUUUUAUCAUUUCUUUGGCUUUGUCUCUAUUGCGGGCGUUACUGCAUGCUUACUGUUGCUUGACAAAGUUUGCUAGCUUUUCCUUUUGUUUAUUAAAUUUUUUUAUCGUCGCAAAGUAUUACUCGUUCUAUUUGACAGUGAUGUGAAUCAAUUUUUCAAUUUUAUAUUUUAUCGUCAAUGUGAAUUCAAUUUCAUUUGUCAUCAUGCAUAAUCCUCAAUAAUUGUUUCGAUAUUUAUAAAUUGGUGGCCCCUGCGUCCUCAAUAAUUGUUCCGAUACUUAUAAAUUGGUGGCCCCUUAAUAAUUUAACAGCAGCCUGCAAGUGCCGACUAGUGAAAAGUCAUCAUUCACAAUUUUCCAAAUGAACCAGGGGAUAUACAAAUAUUAAGACAUGUCAUUCUUUCUUUUUUUUUGAGUGAAACAGAAAUUUACAAGAAUUACUUUUCUGUUCAAGAAAUCGGCGUCUAAACGCGGCUGAUCGGCCACCGGUGUUGGCGUUUACUGUGAUUAGACAAAUUGUAGGAAUUCAAAAAUAACUUCUAUAGGGGUAAUUUCGAUUUCACAUAAUUAAUUUUAUUUACAAUAUUUUAUUCCUGCUAGGUCAAUUGAGAUUCUUUCCACCGAAAACACCCCUCAUGUUCUUUUAUUUCCUGUCUUUUAUUAGCCGUUGGAUUUUACUACUCUUAUAUCCAACGGCUUGCCACAACAAGACAAAUGAGGUGGUACCUUCCAACCGGUGAAAGGUAGUUUUGGCCCCAAGUGGAACAAGGGAUGCACUUACUAUUAAGGACAGUUGGCGGCCAGCCAAUGCAUUCAUUUUAUGUCCGUUCAUCUUUUCAAUUGUUAAAGACAAGUGGCUCAUCGCUUUUACUACAGGUAAAAUUCAGAUAAUCUCUAUUAUGAAAUAAUAAUAUUCAAAAUAUCUCAUAAAUUAUUAUAAACCUCAAAUUUAUCUUAAUUUUAUUUAAAAAAUAAAAGAAAAAUAGGUUAUGUUGGUGAAUUUUUUUUAAUCUUUUUAAUAAAAAUAAAAUAAAUUGAUGUUUUAUAAUAGUUUAAAGUACUUUAAAGAUUGUAAUUUUAUGAGAGAGUAAUAUUUCACUUUUUUAGUGUAAAAAGUUGAAAAAGGACAAAGCAAGUUUCUCUGAUUUUUAUUUUAUUUGAAAUUAGUCAUCUCAUAUACUUCACCCUUCAACACUACAAUUUUUUUGGUUAUUUUUUUAUUUUUUUAUUUUUUACAUAUGCACGUGAAUUUCUUUUCUUUAAGCUCCUGAAUAUUUAAGACAAAUCAUAGAAGAGAUGAAAGUAUAAUAAGAUGAUCAAAAUACGUAACAAAAAUUUUUAGAAGUGAAACAUACGUUAGAGUUGAAGCAAAACUCCAAAAAUAGAGAUACUGAUUAAUUUAGAAGAGAUGCGAGCAAAAGAUAUUCCCAAACAAAAAAGGGCAACUUGUCCCUUUGGAGGGCAAACUUGUCAGUUUGAAAAAAGUACAUGCUUUGGAUUGAUAGUUGCUGGAUAUUUGUUUUGUCACUGUGUAUUAGUUGAAGAAGUCAAGCCUAGUCAAGAAUGUUGUGAAAGAGCAAAGGAUAUUCCCGAUAGAGCUCUAUUUCAUUAUGUAUCCAGUGAAUAGAUGUGUUGUUGGAAGAUAAGUGAGUGCAUUAGUUCAUUUGUGUCUAUCAAUUUGCUUUUAAUGAUUUUUCCACUUGUUUUGUUGUAAAAGAUUAUUGUAAAAUUAAAUGAAUUUGAUGUUGUAAUAUUUUGUCUUUAGUGGAAUUUCACUUGGUAUGUGUUCAAUUGUGUUGUCUAUAAUUUUGCAUUCAAAUAAGUUUCCACCUAAAAUAUUAGCACGAGUAGUAGCCCUUGAAACUUUAGUCAAAAUUAUUGUUAUAAUUUCUUAUUAGGGGUAAACUUUUUAUUAAACCUCGUUAACAUAAUUCUUAAUUAAUUGUGUGUUUACAUGGAAUAGGGAAUGAGAAUGGAGGAAUGAGAAUGAAACUCAUGUUUACUUGGUAAAAUGUAAUUUGGGAAUGAGAAUAAAAUGUGUGGGUUUUACAUAAUUUGGGAAUAAGGAAUGAGAAUCUCAUUCCCAUGAAGGAUUGAGAAUGAAAUAUAUGUUUACUUUUGUAUCCCUAUACUUUUUUUAUAUUUCCCAAAUUACCCUCAUUCAAAUCACAAUUAAUUUAUUAUUUUAAAUGUCAUUAAUAAUAAUAAUAAUAAUAAUAAUAAUAAUAAUAAUAAUAAUAAUAGUAAUUUUUAAAUUUUAUUAACUUUAUUAUCUUUGUGAUGUUGAACCAUAUACAUAUAUAUAGAGAAAAGUAAAAGCUAUACCUAAGGUUGAGGGAAAAGACUUCAAAACUCUCUUUUGAUUAUAAAACCUUUUGUCUUAAUUAACUUAAAGAUUUUGAAUCUAAUAUUUUAUAAUAAAUAAAAAUAUAUUCCUAAAAUAAAUAUAAUAAUAUCUAUUUUAAAAUAAUAUCAAUAUUUAAAAUAUGUUUUAAUAUUUUAUGCUCUAUCAGACAUAUUUUAUUAUAUUAAAGUAAAUUUAAUAAUAAAUACAAACAUAAUGAAUUUAUAAAACAUUUAAAGUAUUUUGAAUAUUAUAUAAAAUAAUUUUAAUAUAAUGCAUGAGAUAUAUUUUAUUAAUUUAAAAUGCUAUUUAACCUAAGAUUUAUUUAAGAUAAAUUAAUAAUUAAAUUUUUUAAAAUUAUUUCAAAUAUUAAAAAUUUGUAAUAUUAUUAGUCUAUUAGAUAGAUUAAAUUAUUUAUAUUAUUUUGUAUCUAUUAAAAAAUUUUAAAGUCAAUCUUUUUAAUUACUAUUGGAAGGAUAUAAUGAUUAAAAAAAUCUUAGUAUUUUUUUAUUAAAAAUUUAAAAAUUUACAUGACAAUUUCUAUAAAUAUUUAGGUCUCGUUUGGUAUGUCGGAUUGGAUUGAAUUGGAUCUGAUCGGAUUAGAUAAGAUAGGAUUUGAUUGGAUAAUACUGGAUUAUAUAUAAUAUUAUGUUGUGUUUGUUAUGCCAUGAGAUUAGCUAGUAACUAAUAAUAUGUCUUAUAUAUUAAUUUAUUAAAAUCAUCGUAGAUUUUGAAAUACUAACUAGGCAAUCCAAGAGGGGGGGUGAAUUGAGAUUUUAAAAAUUAAGCUAAGCAAACCACACACAAAUUCAAUCUAAUGCCUUAAUAAAUUCGAAAACAAUAAAUUCAAUGAAAGCACAAUAAUAAAUGAGCAAUGGAAGAGAAAGCAAACUCAAGGAUUUUUACAUGGUUCGGUAAUCCCCGCCUACGUCCACGCCUCCAAGCUCACCGGACUUGAGGAUUUCACUAAGCUAGCCUCCCAAGGCUUCAAACGCUUACAAUUGACUUCCAAGGUGUCAAUGAACCUUUACAACAAGAGAUUAUCCCCAAUCUCUUAACCCAAGUGUAUCCCAACACUUACAAUCACUCAAAGUAAAAGAUUACAAAUUGUUUUGCCUCUCACAAUAUAUAAGAUUACACAAUGAUGCUUAUAUAUAUGAAUAGAUGAAGCAAGAAUGUGUUCUAAUUAAGCUCUAUGAAGAUUGUAUUCUCGAAUAUUAGCUCAAUGGUCGUGUUGUGAUCAACCUUCUUUGAUUUUGAAUGAGCUUAUUUAUAUCUGGAGCUGAAAAACUAGCCGUUACAAACUGUCGGUCCGAAAACGGUUCGCCGUUAAUCAUUAACGGUUAACCGUUUAGGCUGGUCAAAAGUUACCGUUGGGCCAAAUUUCAAAUAAACGGUUUGCCGUUUAGGCUUACCCUUUCGUCGUUAAAUUUCAGAGACCUACAAAACAAAUUUAAUUUAACCGUUCUUACUAAACGGUUCAAGGUUAGCAAUCUGGAAAUAACCGGUUAACCGUUUUCAGUAAACGGUUCACCGUUAUUUUCCAAAAUCAUCAUUUUAACAAUACUUUGCAGAACAUGCUUUCUGUAAAUUAUCGGUUAGCCGUUUUAAAUAAACGGUUAGCCGUUUUAUACAGUGAUUGCUACAGUAAAAUUAUUUUUUAAAUUUAUAGUUUGACCUCAAAAUUUUAUAAAACUGUAUUACGGCCCAAAACGUUAUGAAACUUUGCACAUAUGUCCAAUUUCAGAAUUUUUAAAUAAUUCUUUGUCAAUCCCAAAACUUUUUGAAAUUAUGAUUUCACCCAAACUAUGUGAAAUUAUAGAAUGACCCAAAAUAUUUAAAUAGUUUCAAAUAUGUCCAAAUCUGAAAUUUUAAAACAAUAUCAAAGGUUUUAAAAUACUUUCAUUUUAGUUCAAAAUACUUUAAUUCCUUAACAUAAUUUUCUUAUUAUAUAUGAAACCUUUAUACUGUGAAAAGAAUGAUUUAUUUAAAAUAUAAAAAAAUAAUUUGAGCUUAAAAGAUUUAUCAUUCUUAAUCUUGUUUGUUGUCAUCAAAAUCAACAUUAUGAAAACAUAUAUGUUAACAGAUUUACUUUAAAAUGACAUAUAAUAUAAUAUAACUUAAAUCAAUAAUUAUUGGUAAAUUUAUUAAAAAAAUACAAAAUCUUUGCUUAAUUUUUUUUUAAUAUUUAACAUGUUAUAGUUUCUAAUCCCAUGAAUAGUAAAAGAUAAAGUUUUAUCUUAGAAAAUGUAAUCUCAAGGGUCCCAUUGGGAUGAAAUUUUGCCUCUAUUGAAAUUAAGUGGUGGGCCUAUUAUUGUUACCUUUAUUUUUUUUACACCAAACAUAAUAUAAGGAUUAUUUUACACUAAAAUUAUCGAAUCCCAUAAUAUAUAACUAAAACCAAACAGGCACUUAGGGUAUAUAUGAGCCACGGUGGAGAAGCUUUAUUUAAUAUUAUUGAUUUAAAUAAUAUCUCAUUAAAAAUGUACUGAGAAGAAAUUUCGGUGGGUAUUUUAGUCUUUUCAGCAAUCACAUGAUCAGCCUUUGGCCUUGAAACUUCGGUCGGAAUGAUUUAUUCUAACAAGAAAAAACUAGGUAACAUUCCACAAAAGCAAAAGUGACAAAACAACCAGCUGGAUUCUUUUAGUAAACUACAAAUUAAAAUAGAUUUUUUCGAUAAACUACAAAUUAAAGUGGAUUCUUUUGAAUGCAAGUGGGACAGACGAUUAGGCUAAAAAUUAGUCAAGAAUCUAAUAGUCUUUUUCAAAUUCUUGUUUUAUUAUUUUUCAAAACCAGUUUUUGGUAAUUACAAUCGGGUCAUUAAUCAUUAUUCAGAGUUAUUGUUUCCUUCAAAAGUUAGUGGCUCAUGUUUGCAAGUGUGAAUGUGCGAUGCUUUUUUUCCAAAGCGCAAUGACAGUGGGUCCCGAAUCGGACGUGCCUGAAUCUUUUCAAAAUUUUAGGGAAUUAUCAUUUGUAUACCUUUAAUUUAUUUCAUUAUCAAAAAUACUACAAUACUUUAAGGGUGUAUCAAUCGUCCACCCUAAGUUGACAAAAUAUAUCAGCUGACCACUAAAUCGUUAGUUGUCGUUUAAGUAUGAUGACGUCAGAAGGAUAAUUUAGUCUUUUUAUAUAAUACAAGUGAUAAUUUAAGAGUAUAUAAGUGAUAAUUUUUAAGGGUAAAAUUAUCAAUUCACUGUAACUCUGUUAACUUUCAAACGGCAACUAACGGUUUGGUGGUCGGCUGAUACAUUUUGUCAAUUAAGGGUGGACGAUUGAUACACCCUUAAAAUAUUAUAGUAUUUUUAAUAACAGAACAAAUAUAAGGUAUAUGAAUGAUAAUUUUCCUAAAAUUUUUGCCGUAUAAGGAACAGAGGUCAUUACUAAAAUUUCUCUUCCACAGCCUACAGCAGCUUCAGUUUAUCAAACUCAAUCAAUUUUCUUUCUUAACAAAAUUCCAAAGAUGUGUAGCAUUUUUCAGAUCACAUGCGACGGUGCUCUUUUCAAUCGUUGCUUGGAUUGCUUUCUUGGAAAAGCAGCAUACAUACGUAACCUCCAAGAUAAUCUUGUAGCCUUGGAGACUGAAUUGGGAAAUCUAAUCGCAAUAAAGAACGAUCUGAUGAGGAGGGUUGACGAUGAUGAACGACAACAAAUGAGAAGGCUGGACGGAUUGCAAGUGUGGGUUUCGAGGGUGGAUGCUGUUAAAACUGGAGCCGAUGAACUUAUCACAGACGGCUCUGAAGAAAUUGGCAAAUUAUGUGUUGGAGGCUACUGUUCCAAGAACUGCAGGUCAAGCUACAAGUUCGGAAAACAAGUGGCUAAAAAGCUACAAGAUGUGAAGACUUUAAUCGCCGAGGGAGUUUUUGAGGCGGUGGCUACUGAGGUGGUGGCUGAGAGAGCUCCGGAACCUGUAGCAGAUAAAAGACCCAUUGAGCCAACAAUAGUAGGCUUGCAAUCACAGCUUGAACAAGUUUGGAGAUGUCUUGUAGAAGAAUCAGUGGGAAUCAUUGGCCUAUAUGGUAUGGGUGGUGUUGGUAAAACCACACUAUUGACCCAUAUCAACAACAAAUUUCUUGAGAGUCAAAACAACUUUGAUUGUGUGAUUUGGGUCGUAGUUUCAAAAGACCUGCGACUUGAAAAAAUUCAAGAAGAUAUUGGGAAGAAGAUAGGUCUAUCUGAUGAUUCAUGGAAGAAUAAAAGUUUUGAAGAGAAAGCUGUGGACAUCCUGCGGAGAUUAGGAGAGAAGAGAUUUGUAUUGUUGUUAGAUGAUUUAUGGGAGCGGGUUGAUUUAACAAAAGUGGGCGUUCCACUUCCCAGCGCACAAAAUACUACCUCAAAAGUCGUAUUCACAACCCGUUCCAUUGGUGUUUGUGGCAGCAUGAGAGCUAGGCCGGUUAAAGUGGCAUGCCUAUCAGAAAAGCAAGCUUGGGAACUGUUCCGCGAAAAUGUUGGGGAAGAAACUAUUGAGAGUGAUCAUGAGAUCGUUGAGCUAGCCCAAACUGUGGCCAAAGAGUGUGGUGGUUUGCCACUCGCACUUAUUACUAUUGGUCGAGCUAUGGCCUACAGAAAGAAAGCGGAGCAUUGGAGACGUGCAAUUGAAGAGUUAAGAAGAUCAGCUUCAGAGUUUGCAGGUUUGGGAAAAGAGGUGUAUCCUCUUUUAAAGUUUAGCUAUGAUAGUUUGCAGAAUGAGACAAUUAGAUCUUGUUUCUUGUAUUGUUGUUUAUAUCCUGAAGAUUAUGGCAUUCUUAAAUGGGACUUGAUUGAUUGUUGGAUUGGUGAGGGAUUUUUAGGGGAAUCUGACAGGUUUGGUGCAGAAAACCAAGGAUAUGACAUUUUGGACACACUUGUUCGUGCAUGUUUAUUAGAAGAGGUGGAAGAUGAUGAAGUAAAAAUGCAUGACGUUGUUCGUGAUAUGGCUCUAUGGAUAACUUGUGAAAUUGAGAAGGAGAAGAGAAACUUUUUGGUUUGUGCAGGUGAGGGACUAAAGGAGGCACCGGAUGUUAAAAGAUGGGAAAAUGUGAGAAGAUUGUCACUGAUGCAAAACCAAAUUGAAACUUUGUCAGAGGUUCCUACAUGCCCUCAUCUCCUCACUUUAUUUCUUGACUUCAAUGAAAAUUUGAAUAUGAUCGCGGAUGGCUUCUUCCAACUUAUGCCUUCUCUCAAAGUUUUGAAGAUGUCAAACUGCGUGAAUUUAACUUUGAAAUUACCUUUGGGGAUGUCAAAGUUAGGUUCACUAGAACUUCUUGAUGUUUCGCAUACUGGCAUAAGAGAGUUACCAGAAGAGUUAAAGUUGUUGGUAAAUCUGAAAUGUUUGACUUUGAGGUGGACAUUUGAGUUAAAUAAAAUUCCACGGCAACUAAUAUCAAAUUCUUCAAGGUUACGUGUGUUGAGAAUGUUGGGUACUGGCCUUUUGAAUUUUCAUCAAGCGUCAGAAGACAGCGUUUUAUUUGGUGGGGGUGAAGUUUUGAUACAGGAAUUGCUCGGUUUGAAAUAUUUAGAGGUAUUGGAGUUGACCUUGGGAAGUUAUCAUGCUCUCCAAAUUCUUUUGAGCUCAAAUAAGUUAAAAAGUUGUAUUCGAUCUCUUUUCCUCCAGUUGGCCGGAGAUGCAACGUCGAUUGUUGAUGCUACGGCUUUCACAGAUCUAAACCACCUCAAUGAAUUAUAUAUUAAUAAAGGUUUUGAGUUGGAAGAAUUGAAGAUUGAUUAUACGGAGAUAGUACGAAAAAGGCGGGAACCUUUUGUUUUCCGCAGCCUUCACCAUGUUACUAUAUGGCGGUGCGCUAAAUUGAAAGAUUCGACAUUCCUCGUUUUUGCUCCAAACCUCAAGUCUCUUGUGCUACGUAAUUGCCAUGCUAUGGAAGAAAUAAUCAGCGUUGGAAAAUUUUCCGAGGUUCCUGAGAUGAUGCGACAUAUGAGCCCUUUUGAAAAUCUCCAAAGGCUUCAUGUAGAAGAUUUGCCAGAUUUGAAGAGCAUCCACUGGAAGCCAUUGCCUUUCACUCAUCUGAAAGAAAUGGGGGUAAGAGCAUGUGAUCAGCUUGAAAAGCUUCCACUCGAUUCCAGCAGUGCAAAAGAGCAUAAAUUUGUUAUUCGUGGAGAAGCAGACUGGUGGAACCGACUUCAAUGGGAGGAUGAAGCCACUCAAAUUGCUUUUCGUUCCUGUUUCCAACCUUAUUCCUGAGCCGUGGUCGCAAAAUUUGAUUUCUGGUGAGUGCGUUUUUGUUAACGCUUAUGUUUUAUUCCAGUGUAUUUUUCUUCUGUCUUCUGCAAAUCACAAUUAAAUGUGUGAUACAUGUUACGGGUAAUAUACAUGCAGUAUUUUUGGUACACUGCAAAUCACAAUUAAAUGUGUGAUACAUGUUACGGGAAAUUUAUAUACAUGCAGUAUUUUUGGUGGGGUCGAAUUGAUGCUCUGGUUUUCGACUACUUUUUGCUGUCAAAAUUUUCUCUGUUUUUUCAAAUUGAUGCUUUAUUUAUAUCUUCUUCGUGAAAAGUGAUUUAAUUUCCUGCCAAAAGACGAACGAGAAGAACAUUAGAGUCAAACUAAUGCUCACAUAAAUUUCCCGUAAGAAUAUAUAUAUAAUUAGACUGGAAUAGUAGCACUCUUUACAGAAAAUGACGCGAAAGUUAAUUUAGAAAGAUAUAUUCUUGAUUAAUCCAUUUUCUGAAGCUUUUAUUUUGUAUGGUCAAUUAUACCUUCAUACUAAAAAUUUCUGAAGUUAUAAAUUAGUGCAACUUGACAAUUUUUACUGAUGAUAUCUUCUAUUUUUCCUUUCUUUUUUUUUUUACUCUCAUUGAAUGUUACUGUCAUUUUACUUACAAAUAGGUUUGAAUUUUAUUUAGUUUUCUCAUAGUAUUUGUGCAAGUACUAGAAGGUCAAACCCCGCAUACUUUGAUUGCCAAACCACCGUCCAAUUUAAAAAAAGAAAAAAAGAAAAAAAAUGUGUAAUCCAUGAAUCUGGUUAAUUUUGUUUGUUUGUUUUUUUUUUUUAAAUAUCAUUCUUUUUCGGCCACCCAAAAUAUCAUUGAUGACUUUUCUGGUCUAAUGCUAUGUAAAUAGUAUGUUAAGUAAAACAUAAUCAAUUAUUUGUGUUUUAUCUCUAAUUAGAACAUCAAUCAGUUCAGUACCUCACAAAUAAUUCGCAAUAUCUACAAAAUACUAUAAUGGCUACAAAACAAAUCCUGCUUGCAAAUUGUCAAGGAUACCUAUCCGUUCGCUUGACAAGUCAUUUGAAUAAAUAUUGUUCACAUUCCUUACUCUGUCAAUUAUCCAAAGCACCAUCAACUUUAGUUUGAAUAGUAUACAUGCCAUCACCAUUACCAAGAAUCAAGCAUGGAAUUGGAAGUCAUUCUAUAGAGUGCAGAACAUGACUGUACGGUAUAUAUAGCCCGGUGACUUUAUUGUUUUGUUAAAUUUUUUGUUUAAUAUUCUAAAUCUUUGUUUACAAAUUUUAAGUGUUAAUUCUUCGGAAAGCUGACCUCGAAGAAAGGCGUUAUUGAUAUCCAAUUGACGAAAAGGCCGGCCAUGACUAACAUCAAUACUAAGAACAAGUAUAGCCCGGUGACUUUAUUCUUUCUUGUAGUCUUUGCAUCACCACCUCAUUACACGCCAAGCCAAUAUUCCAUUUACCUCUACAACAAAAAGUUUUUAAGUAAACAAUCCUAAUGCACGCAGCCAAAUAAAAUGCAGUAAGAAUAUUCAACUUAAAAAUCUGAAAGCCAACUUGGUGAAUUGCCUCCUUAGGUGAAGUUCCAUGCUUUACUAUAGUUGACACAACUCAGCAAAAGCUUCCAUACAACAGAUUUCGAAAAUGAUGAUGCCAAUAGAUACUCAUUCAAUCCAUUGAAACUCCAAAGGUUCAUUGUUCAUAGAAGUUUACAGAGUUUUGGUCAUCAAAUAGCUCAGACCUAAUCCCAAACAAAAAACGAGUGAAAAUUAGAUCACGAGCAGCUAAUUGUAAAUUCUAACUUAACUCUUCAUCUCCUUUGUAAACAAGAAACAAAAUGGAGACACGCAAAAUGAAUAUGGAGAAAAUUUGAACUCAAAUGAAAUGAGGCACGAAAGCAAACAAAUGGCAUGCACAAAAAAACCAAGCCUCGAUAAAAAACUAAUUAACCAUUAAGAAAAAAAUUGGUCAGAGAAUGAACUCCAAAUUCAGGAGUCAAGCAAGAAGCUUUCAUUAUUUCAGAAGCUCCUGUACAAAUUAAUAAGUUAUGCUCUUUGGAUGCAAACCUAAAUUCCAAGAGAAACAGAACCCAAAAAAUUUGCAAUUAUACGCAAAGGAAGUGAAGCACAGGAUUCUAUCACACAUAGGAAUUGUAUAACAAGAGAUCGAUAUAUCGAAUUAGAAAACUCAAUUCGAAUUUGUGUCAAAAAUCAAAAUUAGAAGAUUUCACAUUUCGAGAGGAACAAGCAACAGAUGAAGUUGAAAAUUUUCAGCCAUAACAUGCUAAAAAUGCUACACUUAACGGUUCAUUUUCAUGGAUUUUCUCGGGAAACAAACAGAAAAUUACGGUUUAGAGAGUUGAAUGACCUUUUGGCUUUUGAAAUUGAGAAGAUCGCGCGCCAAAUU